rnacentral:lncRNA from 1 species
UGAUAAGUGCCUCGUGGUGCAAGAAGCAUGGAAAUGACGACAACGAUGGUGACGACGGAUACGAUUAUGCCCUGGCAACAUGCAUGGAAGGUGUCGGCAAUGACGAUGAAUUGGAUUAUGGCUAUGCUACAGCAGUAUGCAUGGAAGGUGACGACGACGACGACGAUGAUGGUGGCUAUGAUUAUGCACCUGCUGCAUAAGAAAUAACUAGUACUAGUCUUCUUUUUCAUGUUUUAAUGCAGGUUAAUUAGCUUUGAUGAAUUGAUGAAUUAUAAUGUGCUAGUAGGAUUGCUUGAUCCCUUCGAAAUUUUUUGUUAAGGGUCGAACUAUUUACGAUGUACGUUCAAUUUAAGCCAAUCAGUUGUUGUCUCUGAUGACAUUAAUAUAUGGUUAAAUGGUGCAAUAUUGUAUAUGGUUAGCUUGUUAUUAUUAGGAUAUACAGUACCACAAUAUAUAUGGAGAGGAAGAUAAUGGAAUUCUUAGAUACUAAUUAGUGGUCAUGGGAGUGCAAAGAUUUGUCAGUUUGUCAAAAAUACGGUUUGGUACAUAAAAUUUUACAAUGCAAUUGGUUUGAAAUUUGGAAAAAAAAAAAAUCAACCAAUUGUAUUAUAACACUUGGUGUAUCAAACUGUGUUUUUGACACACUAAAAAAUUUCACAUAAAAAUGGGCACAUUAAGAGUUUUAUAAGCACGUUGUACUAAUUAAUAAGUUCUUCUGGAAGGAUUAAACCCCUUUAAAAAGAAAAAUUAUGAAGAAGAAAUAAAGUAGCCACUUACUAGCAAAAGGCAAGGAGAAAGCAAAAGGUGGAAUAUUGGAUUGGGACGUGAGUGGAGUAUAUGAUGACCAGAGAAAUAAUUUAACCAUUAAUUAAAGUUGACAAAGUUUUAGUGUUUAUUGAAUAAAAUGGUUUGUUUAUUACUACACGGUUUAAGAUUUGGUUGACUUUUAAUAUACUUUAUGUUUAAAGAGUGACCUUAAAAAUAAAAAAAGUUUAAUUAAAUCAUGUUAAUUUACAACAUUGUGGAAUGAGAAACAAAAUAAAAAAAUAGAGGAAAUUUAAAUGCGAAAGUUGCUAGCAUGCGUUCGUAAGAUCAUCUUUAAUUUUGAGUUAAAACCUCAAACUUUUAGCUAAUAAAAUUUAGGUUUUAACUCAGAAAUAACUUUUCUACUCAACCCGUCAUCAUGGUUAAAUUUUCACCAUCAGAUGAUUAAAAAAUGAAUUUAGGCUAUUUUUUUUAAAAUAACUUUUUGAAAAAAAAUUACGUGAAUUAUCAUAAAUUAAUUUUAUGAAUAUUUUAACUUAAAAAUAUUUAAAUCCUGAUAAACAUUGAAAAAACACUAAACUGACAUAUGAAACAUUAUGGAAGAAUAUGAAACACAUGAUAGAGAUGUAUAAAAACAAAACACAUGGUUUUGGAAGAUAGUAGAAAGAAAAAUCGAAAGAAUCGUAGGUGAAAAGUAAAUUUUGUGAGGAUAUUUGAACAAAUACAUAAGUAUUUAUCGAGUUUUUUGGUAAAUUUUGAAUUAAAUAAUAUUUUUAAAUUAUUUUAACCGUUGGAUUUAAAUUUUAUCUAUUAUAUCUUUCUUUUCAUUGUUAGAUUUAAUCAUAUUCGAUCAUAACAGCUAAAUUCACAAUAUUUACAAAUAUAAAUUAAAAACAUUACUUAAAUUAAAUGCGAAUUGUUGAAUAACCAACCACCCAUUUGAAUUCCCUCCAUUGAUAAACCAAAAGAGCCAUUUGGCUCACUUUCCCAUUGCCGACAUGUUCUAGACACACCCACGUAGAUGGGGCUGCACUUUGCAGCAAUCCUAAAUGUUGCAGCGCGUUAAUGUUGAGCGCGAGUGAUUUUGGGCAAUUGUCGCCCACCUCCCUGUCCUCCACUCGCACAAGUGGGCUCUCGCAUAUAUGAAUCUUUUGCGAAACUUCAAUCUAGCCGUCCACCGUCAUAUGACGCGUCGGUAGGGUUUAGGAAUUUCAGUAUCAUCGGUUCGGCCGCACAAACACAACCGCUGCCACUUUUUCAGUCGUGAUCUGAACCACUACAGUGCCAUAACAAUGGAUACCGCCAUGACAGCCCACGAAGCCUCCUCUUCAUCCUCCUCCAAGUCAAAACUUUGGAAUUACGACUUGUUCUUGAGCUUCAGAGGUGAAGACACGCGCAACGGCUUCACAGGCCACCUCCACGCGGCAUUAAAAGACAGGGGAUACCAGGCUUAUAUGGAUGAGGACGAUCUAAAAAGAGGGGAAGAAAUAAAAGAGGAACUGUUCCGGGCAAUCGAAGGGUCGAGGAUCUCCAUCAUUGUCUUCUCAAAGAGGUAUGCGGAUUCCAGUUGGUGUCUUGACGAGCUGGUGAAGAUCAUGGAGUGCAGAUCCAAACUGGGGCGACAUGUUUUGCCAAUAUUCUAUCAUGUUGAUCCUUCACAUGUCAGGAAGCAGGAUGGAGAUUUAGCCGAAGCAUUUCUGAAGCACGAAGAGGGCAUCGGUGAAGGAACAGAUGGCAAGAAACGUGAAGAUAAACAAGAAAGGGUAAAGCAGUGGAGAAAGGCUCUUACAGAAGCUGCAAACUUGUCUGGCCACCAUCUUCAUAUCACUGAUAAUGGGUAAUCAUUCAGCUGCUUUUCAAGAUUUGAAACAUUUUAGUGAAUGACUUAAAUCUCUCAUAUAAUUAACAUGCUUAAUUAACAUUUCACAUGAGCUAAACUUUAAUUAGCAUGCUUAAUUAAUACACCUUAAUUGGAAUUUAAUUAAUGAAUGCUUUCGUUCUUUUAUUCAAGUUAAGAAAAUUGUGUAUAUGAAGGAAAGAAGGAAAGAAAAUUGUUUAUGUAUUACUGAGCCUUCAUUGAUUCCCAAUAAUGUUUACGAAUUCAAUUUUCAGGCGCGAAGCAAAUCUUAUUAGAGAAAUUGUUGACAAUAUUAUUACGAAAUGGCUUAUGAGCACAAACAAACUAAGAGUGGCCAAGCACCCGGUUGGUAUCAAUUCUCGUAUUCAAGAUAUUAUCAGUCAUCUUUCAAGUGGCGGAUCAAAUGUUGUCAUGGUUGGAAUUUGGGGGAUGGGUGGAUUGGGUAAAACAACAGCUGCCAAAGCCAUUUAUGAUCAAAUUCAUCAUAAGUUCCAAUUCAAAAGUUUUCUGCCUGAUGUUAGCAACACUGCAAGUAAACAUGGUCUAGUUUAUUUGCAAAAGAAACUUAUUUCUGACAUCUUAAAAACGAAGUUUGAAAUAAGCAGUGUUGAUGAAGGUAUUGGUCUGAUAGAAGAUCAAUUUCGACAUAGAAGGGUACUUGUCAUCAUGGACAACAUAGAUGAAGUGGGCCAAUUGGAUGCAAUAGUUGGAAAUCAUGAUUGGUUUGGUCCAGGAAGUAGAAUUAUCAUAACAACAAGAGAUGAACAUUUACUAAAGCAAGUGGAUAAGACAUAUAUGGCUAAGAAAUUGAAUGAACUAGAAGCUUUGGAGCUCUUUAGUUGGCAUGCCUUUGGAAAUAAUUGGCCUAAUGAAGAAUAUCUUGAACUCUCAGAAAAAGUUGUUUCUUACUGUGGAGGUUUGCCACUAGCCCUUGAAGUUUUAGGUUCUUUUUUGUUUAAAAGACCCAUAGCAGAGUGGAAAAGUCAAUUGGAGAAAUUGAAAAGAACUCCUGAAGGAAAAAUAAUAAAAUCCCUAAGAAUAAGCUUUGAAGGGCUAGAUGAUGCACAGAAGGCUAUAUUUCUUGACAUAUCUUGUUUCUUUAUUGGAGCGGACAAGGACAUUGUCACAAAAGUAUUAGAUGGAUGUGGAUUUUCUGCAACAAUAGGAAUCAGUGUCCUUUGUGAACGAUGCCUUAUAACUGUUGAGCAUAACAAGUUGAAUAUGCAUGACUUGCUUCGAGAAAUGGCAAGAGUAAUCAUUUCUGAAAAAUCCCCUUGUCACCCUGGAAAAUGGAGUAGGUUGUGGGAUGAUCGAGAGGUCAUCAAUGUAUUGACAAAUAAAUCUGUAAGUCCAUUCCCAGUAAAAUUUUGGAUUAAUCAAUCGUACAAGAAAAGCAUAUAUGUAAUGUCUAUUAUACCUUAAACAAAAUUCAUGUGUAAUUGGGGUUGCACAAGGAAAGCUCAAAUAGCCAACAAUAGUACUUGCAUAUAUUCGCCGUAGGUGAUUUUGUGUAAUGAAUAAGAAUACAUGUAAACAUAUGCAAAUGAUCGGUUUCUUACACAUGAAUAUGACCUUUUGUUAACAGGGAACUGAAGAAGUUGAAGGACUUGCUCUACGUUGGCCUUAUGACACUGAUAUCAGUACAGAAGCAUUUGCCAAUAUGAAAAAACUGAGAUUGCUUCAACUCAACGAAGUAGAGCUCAUAGGAGAAUACAAACAUCUUCCCAAAGAGUUAAUAUGGUUGCGUUGGGAAGAAUGCCCUUUAAAGUCCAUACCAGAUGACUUUUUUAGUCAAGAUAAACUAGUUGUUUUAGAGAUGUGGGACAGCGAACUGGUACAAGUUUGGGAGGGUUCCAAGGUACAAUGAAUUACACCUGAUGAUGUUCUGUUUCUAUUUGUUUUUUGGAUUUCUUCUCUUUUUUUUUAUAACAUCUUCAUUUCGGAUAUUAAUUUCAAUUUUCUUUUGAUUUUCUGCAACAGUCGCUACAUAACUUGAAAACCCUUGAUCUCAGCGGUUCCUGUGACUUACAGAAAUCACCGGACUUUUUACGAGUCCCAAAUCUUGAAGAGUUGAUACUGCAAUGGUGUGAUAGUUUGUUCGAGAUUCACCCUUCCAUUGGUCAUCUUAAAAGACUUUCCUUGGUGAACCUUAGCCAUUGUCAUAAGCUUAUUUCUCUUCCAAGGGAUUUCUAUAAAUUGAAAUCUGUUGAGACACUUCUUCUUAAUAGAUGUUAUAAAUUCAGAGAACUGCAUGAGGAUAUAGGGGAGAUGAUAUCACUGAGAACACUUGAAGCAAAGUAUACAGCCAUAAGAGAAGUACCACCUUCCAUUGGUCAUCUUAAAAGACUUUCUUUGGUGAACCUUAAAGGAUGCAGAAUGCUUAGUUCUCUUCCAAGGGAUUUCUAUAAACUGAAAUCUGUUGAGACUCUUCUUCUUAACGACUGUUCAAAAUUCAUAGAACUGCAUGAGGAUAUAGGGGAGAUGAUAUCACUGAGAACACUUGAAGCAGAGGAUACAACCAUAAGAGAAGUACCACCUUCCAUUGGUCAUCUUAAAAGACUUUCUUUGGUGAACCUCACAGGCUGCGACAAUCUUAUUUCUCUUCCAAGGGAUUUCUAUAAAUUGAAAUCUGUUGAGACUCUUCUUCUUAAUGACUGUUCAAAAUUCAUAGAACUGCAUGAGGAUAUAGGGGAGAUGAUAUCACUGAGAACACUUGAAGCAGAGCAAACAGCCAUAAGAGAAGUACCACAUUUCGUAUUAGGAUUGAAGAAUCUCACUCGUUUAUCCCUAUCAGGUGUGGAAAGUAUUCAUUUGCCACAUUCGUUACACGGCUUCAACUCUUUAAGGGAAUUAGAUCUCUGUGUUGCGAAGUAUCACUUCAGUGUAGAGCUCAAAGGAGAAGACAAAUAUAUGUGUUGGGAAGGAUGCCCUUUAAAGUCCAUACCAGAUGAUUUUUUUAAUCAACCAAGACUAGUUGGCUUAGAGAUGCAGUGUAGCAAACUGGUACAAAUUUGGGAGGGUUCCAAGGUACAACGAAUUACACAUGAUGAUGUUCCCUUUCUAUUUGUUUUUUUGGAUUUCUUCUCUUUUUUUUUCUUUUUUUUUAUUAUAUUUUAUAACAUCUUCAUUUCGGAUAUUAAUUUCAAUUUUCUUUUGAUUUUCACAGUCGCUACAUAACUUGAAAACCCUUGAUCUCAGCCAUUCCUAUUCCUUACAGAAAUCACCGGACUUUACACAAGUCCCAAAUCUUGAAAAGUUGAUAUUGGAAGACUGCAUUAGUCUGUUCGAGAUUCACCCCUCCAUUGGUCAUCUUAAAAGACUUUCUUUGGUGAACCUUAGCUUAUGUUCCAAGCUUAUUUCUCUUCCAAGGGAUUUCUAUAAGUCGAAAUCUGUUGAGACUCUUCUUCUUAAUGGAUGUGAAGAAUUCAUAGAACUGCAUGAUGAUAUAGGGGAGAUGAUAUCACUGAGAACACUUGAAGCAGAGCAUACAGACAUAAGAGAAGUACCACCUUCCAUAGUAAGAUUGAAGAAUCUCACUCGUUUAUCCCUUGACCGCAUCAGCUACGUAGAGAUCAAAGGAGAAUACAAAUAUCUGUGUUGGAAAGGAUGCUCUUUAAAGUCCAUACCAGAUGACUUUUUUAAUCAAGAUAAACUAGUUGUUUUAGAGAUGCAUGUGAGCCAACUGGUACAAGUUUGGGAGGGUUCCAAGGUACAAUGAAUUACACCUGAUGAUGUUCUGUUCCUAUUUGUUUUUUGGAUUUCUUCUCUUUUUUUUAUAACAUCUUCAUUUCGGAUAUUGAUUUCAAUUUUCUUUUGAUUUUCUGCAACAGUCGCUACAUAACUUGAAAACCCUUGAUCUCAGCCAUUCCUAUUCCUUACAGAAAUCACCAGACUUUUCACAAGUCCCAAAUCUUGAAGAGUUGAUAUUGUUUAGCUGUUGGAGUUUGUCUGAGAUUCACCCCUCCAUUGGUCAUCUUAAAAGACUUUCUUUGGUGAACCUUCAACAAUGUUACGAGCUUAUUUCUCUUCCAGGGGAUUUCUACAAGUCAAAAUCUGUUGAGACUCUUCUUCUUAAUUAUUGUUAUGAAUUCAGAGAAGUGCAUGAGGAUAUAGGGGAGAUGAUAUCACUGAGAACGCUUGAAGCAUAUGAUACAGCCAUAAGAGAAGUACCACCUUCCAUAGUAAGAUUGAAGAAUCUCACUCGUUUAUCCCUAUCAGGUGUGGCAAAUUUGGAUCUUUCAUGGAAAUUUUUUCAUACCCUACCCAGUCUCAGUGGUCUUUCAAAGCUUGAAACUCUACGGUUACGUCACUGCGAGCAACUUCGUACAAUCACAAAUUUACCAACAAAUUUGAAAUUUUUGUUGGCGAAUGGAUGCCCUGCAUUGGAAACAAUGCCCAAUUUUUCAGAAAUGUCAAAUAUAAGAGAACUGAACUUAAGUGAUUCACCCAAAGUCAUUGAGGUUCCAGGCUUGGAUAAAUCAUUAAACUCCAUGACAUGGAUUAAUAUGAAAAAGUGCACCAAUCUCUCGACCCAUUUAAGGAAGAACAUCCUACAGGUAUCUCUCUCUCUCUCUCUCUCUCUCUCUCUCUCUCUCUCUCUCUCUCUCAUUGCCUUCCUAUCGUGUGUAUACAUGCAUAUAUAUGACACUUAUAUUGUAUAUGUAGGGAUGGACUUCUUGUGGAUUUGGUGGAAUUUUCCUUCAUAGAAACUAUGUUCCUAAUUGGUUUGAGUUUGUCGAUGAGGGCACUAAAGUCACCUUUGAUAUUCCCCCGAGUGAUGGUCGUAAUUUAGAAGAGUUAACUCUGUUCUGCUUGUACCACUCAAACAGAAGCAAUCAGCUUGCCAUUAUUGUUAUAAACAAUACCCAGCGUAUUGAGUUGCGAGCCUACAUAGGCAGACAAGAAUAUGAUGACGACCUAUAUGAAGAUGAUUAUCUUUUGCAGGGACAACUCUCGAACAGUAAGCUCAAUUUGCAAGGUGGGGAUGAAGUUGAUAUACUUUUUGAAAACCCAGCCAUUUCAAUAACGAGAACAGGGGUUAAUCUAGUAUGGGACAAACCUAUGAAGGAAAAUAUGCAUGAUUUGGACAAAGCUGGAUAUGUUUUUGACACACAUCCAACUCGGUUUUAUGAUGAGGGAGGACCAAGCCAUGAAGCAUCUGAUAAUAAUCGUCCCAGGAAACAAAUGAGAAUUACCAUAGAUGACUGAAAUGGGAAAAGGCAAGAAGAAAUGAAACAUCAUCUGUCUUGAUUAUGUCACACCCAGAUCGAUUCUAUGGUGAAGCACGAUCAAGGCGGUGAUGCAUCGUCAUCAUCACAUAUCUGAGUAAGGUCAUAACCAGUUCAUCAAACGCCUCUUUCAUUUUUCAUUUUACUGGUUCGAUAAUGAAGACAAGUCCUUAUUUCAUACUUCUUUAGAUUCCUACGAUUUUUUCAACAAGUAGUUGUUUUGAAUUUUGAAGAAAUAUUGCAUCUAAAAAACAUUUCAACAAUACAACAAUCAAUAUAAGACAUUCAUCCAAAUAUUUGACAAAUACUCAAGAUGCCAGUCAAUAUGUAGUUUCUACUACGUUUUCAUUAUCUUGACUUGCCCUGACAUGUUAGCAGAAAAUUGACUCUACAUUUUAGUAGAAGAUCUAUUACCUUUCUACUACCUUUGAAGUCGAUGAACGCGUUUGCACAAUCAAAAAAUAGUCCUGUUGAUUCUCCAAAACUGCAGACGGAAGUUGUUUGUAACAUCAUAGAGCUGUUCCUGUUAAGAUCAAACCCCAGCCCAUGUUGUGCCCUUCUGUAAACACCAUCAAAUUAAGAUGUCACAAAGUUAAAAAAUAAAUAAAAAUAAAACAAGAAAUCAUCAAAUAUAGCUUUGAUAUCUUUGUAGGAUUUCGAUUGAAAAAAGAAAAAAAGAAAAAAAAAAGAGAGAGAGAUCUUUGUUGGCGUAACAAUUUCUAUCUGACUUACAAAGGGAACAUCUAUAAUUACAACAUAACGAGACAAAACUCUUGUUCAGCAAAUCAGUGCAAAUGUAGCUAAACCACCAAAAUUCAAAGAUUGGAAGCUACGGUUUCACCAUCACCAUAUUCAUCUCAAGAACAAAAAUUACCAAACAGAGUAAAGUGUGAUGAGAACAAAAGAAAUGACAAAAUCAAGCAAUCCUCUUUCCCCCAAACGGUCUGCCUCUUGAAUGCAUGUCAUCCCGGUUUUGAUGUCUCAUUUUUUUUAAGAAGCUUUUGUGCGGCCGCUGGGUUUUGAACAGGGACAGCUUCAAUUUUUGUGGAAUCCAUAAUACAUCAUCAUUAAAUUACGAAUUAAAAAAUGUAGAACAUUUAUAAUAAAUAAGUUAACUAAAUGUGUUUCUUGGGUGAUUCAAGUAUAAUUCCAUUUUACAUGAUUGUUGACGUUGAUACAGACAAAACUUCUACAACUAUAUACGCACCAGUAGAAAUAAUUAGUGAACAAAUCGAAGUGUAAAAACACCGGUCGCUUCUCGACCCCUUCCCCACAACUAGAUGACAUAAAAUUAAGCUUAAUACUACACAAAACCCGGAUGCUGCAUAGGUUAAUAGUAAAAUUUAAUAACAAGCUACAAGUUGGACACAAAUUUAAAUCCACCUUCUUUUGUCUUGAGUUCUUUCAUCAAAGGAAUCUGCCUUACGAGUGUUACCUGUCUCACUUUUUUUAUAAAAUUUAUCCUCAUCAUUUGCUUUCAAUUGAAGAUUCCACCGUCUUCCAACUGGUCUACCCUCAAUAAUUCUGGCAAUAGGCUCAGUACUCUUGGAGCUAACAUCAGAGUAAUCUGCCAAUGAUUGCAUCUUGCCCAUGAGAUAUGCAUGCAAUAGCAAUAAUGAGUGGUUUAACAUUAUGUUAAAAGACAUAAACUAAUAUUAUGAAAUCAAUAGCUCAAGAAUACUGAUGUGAAAACUUGUCCUGCUCAGGAAACCGACUUUUAGCUGCCCCAACUUGCAACUUCUCAAAUGGAGAGGGGCCGUUACCAUCACUUUCCUGUGAAAUCCUUAAAGAUGAAUGUGAAAACUCGGAAUAUUUUGUAUUCAUCUGCCAUUCUUCGUUAAGUGAUUGAACAACACCUCCCAACACAGUCACAACUUUAGGACUCAAACAAACUAUUCCGUUACGUACAGUAACUUUACCUUCCAAACAGACCUGCCGAUCAAAAAGUAGGACAAACAAAAGAUGUUCAGUUAACUCAAAAUACGACCUUUAUCUAUGCACCUGUUUUCCCUGAAUCACUUAAGAAAGUGGGACUAGAGAGACCCAUAAAACUUCUUGUGAAAUUCAUUGAGUUUCAUGAAAAAAGUACUCAUAAUAAUUGUCAAAAUUAAAAACUUUGUCGGGGUCUUCCAGUGCAGUGUUGAGCUAAUGUCCCAUAUGGGAUACAAAAUAAACGAAAUUAUUAAUUUUCCUACUGGAUGUGGAUUCACUUCAAGAUUGCAUAAACGAAGACGGAGCACACAGUGUUCAUCACUAAGUUCUACGAAAGUGUGGUUUCCGUUGUUUUUCAUAAUCUAGCUCAAUUUUGUACCAGUUUGAAUACUAAACUGAACAUAUACAAAAUCCAAAAAGUGAACAAUCAAAGAUAUCUCUAGCUUAUUAAAUAUAAAACACAAGCUGAGCAUUGAGAAGGCAUCAAGAAGCAGAAAGUACCUUAGUUCCAGGAACGACGUCGUCAGGGAUUGCCGGGGUAUGAGAGUACUCCACAGCUGUGGCCGUCGUCAGGGAUCGUCAGGCAUCAAAAGCCGCCGACGACUCAAAUUCCUCGAAAAAUCCUCCAUACUGCUUUUAGCAACGUCCCUUACCCAAGCCAUUUGAUAACAAAACACAAAGGAAAGACCACAUUUUUCUUUCUCUUUAUCUAUUUUCUCAGCAACCAAAGAAAAAAUUAACGAGAAACACAGAGAGGUGUGAUUUACCUGGAGGAGGUGAGAGGACCUUAGGAGCGUAUGCGGGUCGGGCAUGGACCUGGCGGAGAUGGAUUUAAGGUUCAUGUUGGUGAGCUCGGCUUCCACUGAGUUCACUACCGUACGCGUGUCGUCGGACAAGGCUGGGUAGAUCAGGAUCUUCUCCUCCACUUGUUCGAGGUCGCCGAAGCACCACCCUCUGGUUCUUAGGGUUUCGAUUGCGGCGUCCCCUCCAUAUUUUUGGUGCCAGUUUGCCGCGUAGUUUGAUUUUGGGGGUUUUCUGAAUUUUGCAACAGAAACGUCAAAUGUACGGUACAGUCCCAGACUCCCAAAUAGGUCAUGAAACGGCGUCGUAGGUGGUUUUCCUUUUUUUUUUUUUUUCAAACGAAUGUCUUAGGGGGUAUUGGUUUCUCUUUUAUGAGAAUGAGGGCCAAUGGACCAAAAUUAACGUCUAUUGGUAGUUUUCUUUAUUUAUAAGUGUGAGGUUUUAUCACUUUGUACUACGAUUUAAUAGUAUUUAUCUUUAUUGGUAAGUGAGAUUUUAGGCUCAAUUUUAGCUAAAGGUGAAUUUGAACCACAUUAUUGCUAGCCCAUUGUGAGGCUAAACCCACCCCACCCCCUUCCCUUAGCGUAGAUAAUAUCAAUUUUUUAGAGAAAAAUGAAAGAUUUUAAGUUUAAAUCUCAUAAAUGGCAUGUUCAAUACAAAUUUAUACCCCCAUCUUUAAUGUAUAUGUAUCGUUGUAUAAAAACCAAUUAAAGUAGUUUAGUUUGACUGUUAUAAUGAAAAGGUGCAAUCAAUCUUAGAUUGAACUAAAUCAAAUUAUAAUUAGCUUGGUUUGGUUUGUUUCGGUUUGACGUGGUGGGAUAAUGCUAAAACAAAAACCAAUUUGAAUAAGUAUUUUUAGUUGUUGGAUUUGUUUGUACCAUACUUGACCAAUCCCGAAACUACCGAGCACCGGCCAACGCUAUACUGUCAAGGACCCAGAAGAGUUCCCCUCCGACCAGGAGGCCAAUCACUACUCGACACGUGUCAAGAUUAGAAGCCAAUCAGAGCGCAGCACGUGUCGACAUCAAGAACCAAUCAUAACAUGACACAUGUCAAUGUGACAAAGCUACAAGUUUUUCUAUAAAUAGGGGUCAUUCCCCCACAAUAUUGCCUAAUGCCAUUUUGUGUUAAAUCAUUCACAAGAACUCACUAAAUUGAGAGCUUGAUCCUUUGUACUUGUGUAAGCCCUUCACUACUAAUAAGAACUCCUCUACUCCGUGGACGUAGCCAAUCUGGGUGAACCACGUACAUCCUGUGUUUGCUUCUCUGUCUCUAUUCAUUUACGUACUUAUCCUCACUAGUGACCGAAGCAACCAAGCGAAGGUCACAAAACCUGACACUUUCUGUUGUACCAAAGUCUUCGCUGAUUUUGUGCAUCAACAUUUGGCGCCGUCUGUGGGAAACGACACUUAUUCCUACUCUCUUCAGCUGUGUCAAGCUGGUUUCUAUCAUUCGUACACUUUCUUUUGAUCAGGCAUCCCUCUCCAACAUGGGAAGCGAAGGAAGCCACAGCACACAGAAUGACACCCCCCUUGCACAUAGUGCGAAACAACGAAAGAAGGAAGGAAAACGAGUUCUUCUUCAAGCUAAAGUCGAUGAGUUGGAAGCUCAGAACAACAAGAUAGCAAUGAGGAAUGAGGUCCUCCAGGAGCAAUAUGAGAAGCUCUUCGAGACACUCCACGAAGCUAGGCAAGCUCAGACACGCGAGCUUGUUGCCCCCGUGGAAGUCAACCAUCAACUGGGUGCCCUCCAACAUGGAGGGUCACAUGCAUUCGACAUAGAUAUCCCUGAUAGGGAACAGAUUACCCCUCGACUUGAUAAUCAACAUGAGGCUUCUCUUAACCCAGUUGCUUCGACCCGAACCAUGAGAAGUGGAGGGAGACACCUCUUUGCUGAAGGGGCAGAAGGAUCGAAAGCCGUCUUUCGCGAUUGUCGGGAUUUCCUGAAGCAACGUCGAGAGAAUUCCAUCCAUAUAAGCUCAAAGAUUAAUGACCCAAGGAUUUCUGAGAGACUCGGUCCCCUGCCACGGCCCAAGCCGGCCACCAAUUUGGGGAAGGGGCAACAAGUCCUAGAGAGACAUGAGGGUACAGGGGACUCAGAGGUGUUCCGACAGACAUACCCUGGAAGCCAGUACAGCGAGUCCAGGGAAAAAUCACAUGCCCUUGAUCAAACCUUCCUAAUUCCAAGAGGAGAUGGAGAUUUACGAAAGAAAGCUCCAGUGACACAUAACUCCGCUCAGGACCCCCUUGUCCUACAACUUCUUGAGGAAGUAAACAAGUUGAAGGCUGAACGUCAGGCUGAAAUACCUGACUGGAACCAACCCAGGCCUGGCCCUCUUACAAGGAGGAUCCUCAACACCCCCCUUCAAGCAAAGACAAAGCAAAAGCUUGGCUUGCAACUUUAUACUGGAAAAGAGGACCCGAUUGAGCACCUUAACCUCUUUGAGUCCACCAUGGCAUACCGGAUGCACACCGACGAAGAGCGAUGUCUUCUCUUCCCCUCCACCCUCUCUGUGGAGCUCUAAAUUGGUAUUGUCGUCUUACACCUGAGACGGUAGACUCAUUUGAGGAAUUGAGGAAACUAUUUGUUUCCCAACACAUUUUCCAAACCGAUCGCUUGCACUCUGCAGAUGACUUGUACACUAUCCGCCAGAAGCCAGACGAGUCAUUACGUAUGUAUGCUGGCCGCUUCAGCCAUGAAUACUCCCGGUGUGCCGAGGCAGACGACAAGACUGCCCUCAAAGCCUUCACGGCAGGCCUACGUGAUUGUUUCUUUAAAUACAUGAUCAAUGCCAAUACUUGGAAGACUUACUCUGAGGUGAUGGCGCAGGCUUAUAACCAUGCCUCCGCCGAGGCAAAGACAUAUCAGGAGAAACCCCCUACAACCAUCCUUUAUCAACAAGUGGGAGGUGGAAGCCAGACUCACCUAAAUGAGAAGACCUCGACUUUCCAAACAGCAGUGGCACCUCCCCAUGCCUUGCAUAAUGCUUCACCGAAUCAACAGACAUAUCAAUUUCAAGGCAAGAGGAAGGAUUUCCAUCCUCACCACUCUCCUUUCAGUAAAAAGAGUAAGGGACACUAUCCCGAUAACCAAGGGUAUCGCCACAAUAACGCUCGCCCCCAGGCAGUCAAUGCAGUGGGUCAAACCCGCGUCAAGAUACCCCCUACCCCAAGGUAUGAGACAUACACGCCCUUGAAUGCCACAUGCGCGGCCAUUUACCCCAGCAUAGCUCACCUGAUACCAAAGCCAAAGCCGAGGCACCCAGAUUACACGCCCCCGAAUAACGCGGGCAUGUUUUGUUGCUACCAUGAGCAUAACGGCCAUGAUAGCGAGAAAUGUAUCAUCCUCCGUGAUCGUAUUGAAGCUUUGGCACGAGAAGGAAAAAUUGAUCAAUUCCUUCUUCACCCUCAAAGGGAUAACCGUAACCAACGCCAGGUGAAUGUCAUAUAUUCCAUAAGCGGCGGCACACCCAUAUCUGAAUCUUCCAAUAGGGCCAUGAAAAACAGUGAACGAAUUCUGAGGCCUGGUCACCAAGUGUUUCACGUGGAAGACAUCAGGGGAGGGAAGUAUCAAAAGCCUAACUGGGAUCCGAUAUGUUUCUACCCUGAGGAAGAAAGAGGCAUCAUCUACCCUCAUAACGACCCAUUGAUCGUGGAGGCUCACAUAGCCAACUUUGAUGUUCGACGAAUCCUCGUAGACACAGGGGCUUCGGUCAAUAUCAUGUUUGCCGAAGCUUUCAGGGCACUCAGUGUAGCUGAACACUUGCUCGAUCGCUCGAUUUCUCCUCUGAUAAGCUUCUCCGGUGAUAUCGUGCAACCCUUAGGGAGCAUACAUUUACCCUUUACUAUUGGUACAGGCCCUUACACGGCUACCAUUACCACUAACUUCCUAGUGGUUGACUGCCCAACGGCAUACAAUGUCAUCUUUGGGCGCACAGGCAUCAAUGAUCUCAAGGCUAUGGUAUCCACGCAUAUGCUGUUGAUGAAAUUUCCAACCCCCCAUGGCAACGGCUACAUCAGAGGAGAUCAGCUUAGUGCACGAUCAUGUUACAACACUUCAGUUAAGCAACAACACUUGCCCGGACCCAAGGAAACCCUGUCUGUACAUGACCAAGUCACAAAGACCAGCCUAGAUGAAGCGAACUUGGAUCUUCCUGAUAGCAACAAUCAACCCGAUGAUCCUCGAGAUGACUCUUUCACCCAGCAAGCCCAACCUGCUGAAGAGUUGGAGAAGGUACCUAUCUCAAGAGAUUAUCCAGACCGCAUGGUGAAGAUUGGCACCACAUUGUCACCACCCCUUCGGUUAGCAUUGAUAUCUUUUUUGAAAGAGAACACUGAAGUCUUCGCCUGGUCAUACGAGGACAUGCCAGGCAUCUCUCCCGAUGUCAUCUGUCAUCGUUUGAGUAUUGACCCCAAGAUCAAGCCGGUGAGACAGAAGCGAAGAUCUUAUGACGCUGAACGAUACGAGGCAAUGAAAGCAGAAGUUGAAAAACUCAAAGGCAUAGGCUUUGUCCGCGAAGUCAAUUACCCGACAUGGGUAGCAAAUGUGGUCCUUGUUAAGGAAAAAUCCGACCAAAGAAAGUCUUUUGCUUCAAAAGGUCUUGUGGAGAAUGUGUGUUGACUACACCGACCUAAACAAAGGGUGUCCGAAAGAUAGUUUCCCUCUUCCUCUUAUUGACAGACUUAUAGACUCUACGGCAGGGUGUGAGCUCUUGAGCUUUCAUGGACGCUUAUUCAGGAUACAACCAAAUCCUCAUGAACCCCUCAGACCAAGAACACACGGCCUUCACUACUGACAGGGGACUAUAUUGCUAUAAAAGUCAUGCCUUUCGGCCUAAAGAAUGCAGGAGCAACUUAUCAGAGACUGGUCAAUUCAAUGUUCGCCGAACAGAUUGGGAAGAGACAUGGAAGUUUACGUUGAUGAUAUGCUAGUCAAGAAGCAAACAUGCUGACCAACACAUCACCAACCUAUCUGAAACUUUCACCAUUCUAAAGAGGUAUCGAAUGAGGUUGAACCCCAACAAAUGUGCCUUCGGCGUGGGCUCUGGCAAAUUCUUAGGCUUCAUGAUUAGCCAACGAGGCAUUGAAGCUAACCCUGAAAAGAUCAAAGCAAUCCUCGACAUGAAAGAGAGCCAAUAACUUCAAAAGACAUCCAAAGCCUUACUGGCAAGGUGGCAGCCUUAACCAGAUUCAUCUCUAAGGCCACAGACAGAUGUGCUCCUUUCUUCAAAGCACUCAAGGGAAAUAAGAAGUACAUUACAUGGACGGAGGAAUGUGCCAAGGCAUUCAGGAACCUCAAAGAGUACAUGAGUAAAGCCCCUCUGCUCUCCAAACCAGAAGUUGGUGACACUCUCAUCAUCUAUCUAUCGGUUUCGGCUUCAGCAGUCAGUUCUGUUCUUAUUCGAAUGGACAGUGGUGUCGAACGGCCCCGUCUACUACGCUAGCAAGGCCCUACAAGAUGCGGAGACACGAUACUCCAACAUUGAGAAAUUAGCUCUAGCAUUGGUCAUGUCUGCUCGGAAACUUCGCCCUUAUUUCCAAGCACACGCCAUCAUCGUGCUUACCAAUCACCCUCUUCGACAGAUACUCCAGAGUCCUGACACGUCUGGACGAAUGAUCAAAUGGGCGAUAGCAUUGGGUGAGUUUGACAUCUCCUACCAACCAAAACCAGCCGAAAAAGGUCAAGCAGUAGCAGAUUUCAUCGCCGACUUCACAUAUCCUGUUGACAUUGCUUCUACACCUGAAGCAGUAGCUUCAUUACCAUCGGAAGCUCAGAAAGUAGAAUCAACGACCUCAGCAUGGAGUCUGUAUGUUGAUGGCUCAUCCAACCAACAGGGCUGUGGAGCGGGACUAGUCUUGACUACGCCCGACAAAGUAGCAAUGGAGUAUGCUCUUCGUUUCAAAUUCAAGGCAUCAAACAAUGAGGCCGAGUAUGAAGCCCUUCUAGCAGGAUUACGUUUGGCCAAACACCUCGGGGUUAAACAAAUUGAUAUUUUCAGUGACUCCCAAUUAGUGGUCAACCAGGUUACCAACAACUUUGAUGCUAAGGACAGCUCCAUGGCAGCAUAUCUUGCGCAAACACAACUUUUGCUCAAGCACUUCCACUACCAGAUCACCCAAGUUCCUCGAGCGGCAAACAGUCAUGCAGACGCCCUGGCUCGCCUCGCCUCAGCUGUGGAAGACAAGAUUGGAAGAAAAAAUUCAUGUCGAACUGUUGGCAACACCAAGCACCAUGGCCGCAGAAGUAUGCAACUUACAACAGGGGGAUAGUUGGAUCACCCCGAUCUAUAAUUUCCUUGCUCAUGGCACCCUCCCAAAUGAUAAAGUCCAGGCUAAGCAAAUUCGAUACAAGUCUACCCGCUACCUGAUCAUCAAUGAUCAACUCUAUAAGCGAGGUUUUAGCCUGCCAUACUUAAGGUGUCUUACGCCUGCCGAGGCGGAAAUCGUCCUUCGGGAAAUACAUGAGGGAGUCUGUGGAGAUCAUGCUGGAUCUCGGUCCCUAGCACACAAGACUUUUCGCCAAGGAUAUUACUGGCCAACACUCCACCAGGAUGCCAUCAAAGUAUCCCGCUCAUGUGACAAAUGUCAACGAUAUGCAACUAUUCCUCAUUCCCCUCCAGAGCCUCUUACUCCUAUGAUCAGCCCUUGGCCCUUCGCCCAGUGGGGACUUGAUUUGAUCGGCCCAAUGCCGGCAGGGAAGGGCAAAGUCUGUUACGCAGUCGUUGCAGUGGACUACUUCACAAAGUGGGCCGAAGUAGAACCCUUGGCAACCAUUACUGAGGCAAAGAUAGAAGACUUCGUGUGGAAGAACAUCCUUUGUAGAUUCGGCAUUCCCAAUGCGAUAGUCACUGACAAUGGGCGACAGUUUGACAACAAGAAGUUCAGGUUGUUCUGCUCUAAGUUCAACAUCAACUUAUGCUUUGCCUCUCCAGCUCAUCCCCAGUCUAAUGGACAAGUUGAGGCCAUCAACAAAAUAAUCAAGCGCACUUUGAAAACCAGCUUGGACAAAGCUAAAGGCUGUUGGCCAGAAUUUGUACCCCAAGUUCUUUGGUCAUAUCGCACUUCAUAUCGGACUUCAACAGGAGAAACUCCAUUCUCACUUGCCUUUGGCACAGAGGCGGUUGUCCCUGUUGAGCUCGAGCAAGCAACAUUCCGAGUCCAGAACUACAUUCAAAGUGAAAAUGACAAACAACUCACCCUCAACUUGGAUUUAGUCGAGGAACACAGAAACCAAGCUCACUUGAGGAAUGUCGCCUACAAGCAGCGCAUCUCCAACUAUUAUGACUCUAGGGUCAAGCCUCGUUCUUUCAAAAUAGGAGACUGGGUCUUAAAGAAAAGAUUACUCUGCGACAGAGUCCCGAGUGAAGGCACACUUAGUCCAAACUGGGAUGGACCGUAUGAAGUCAUUGGCAUCAGUCGCCCUGGCUCUUACACACUUAGAAGCUCCGAUGGCAAGACCCUUGGCCAUCCAUGGAACGCUGAUCACUUGAAGUACUACUACAAAUAGACUCACGAUGUACAAGUGUUGAGCUAUAGCCGUUCGGCAUCCUAUGUAAUGAAGGCCAUUUGGCAAUGAAUUCAAUAAAGAGGUAAUUUAGCCAACUCAGCCCUCACUCUUUUACAUUCCUAGCAAUGGAACACUCAAGUGUUGAAACCUCAAAGCAGAUAUAUCCAACACGAAACAAAAUCUAAGUAUGUGUCGACAAGACUAUACAAAGAAAGGAACAACCAAACAAUGGCUUAUAUCCAAACAAUAGAUCUAUUCAUACAUAGCCAAACAUGCAUUAAUAAUAGUGCAAACACUCAUAAACACCUAAAAUCCAAAACUCUCAAGCUUAUAACAUGGGCACAUGUUAUACACACAUCAGACUACUACAUCCAGAAUACAUGCAGAUAGUAAAGACACUGCUAUUCAUUCUCAUCUGAAGCCGAACCCCUGGCAGUAUCACUCCGCGUCCUACCAUCAUCCUCUGCAUCCCCAAGAUCCUCUUCACCAUGCUGAGUCUGUGCAUCAGCACUACCUUCAUUAUCAGACUCAUCUUCGCUGCUAGGAUCAACAGCAAGGACAAAUGUCUCGCCCUUUCGAUGAUGCUCAUCUAUAUCUUCGUGGUAUUUUCGAAGAAUGCUCCCAUCAUCAUAACGAUCAAGGACGGCCAUCCAUUUCCUUUUUUCAAAGCGAGCUUCUUGAGCACAGUAGGGUUUAAUAGCAAGAUGAAAGGUCGAAGAACUUAAGUAUUCUUGCACAGCAGCCUCCCUUUCAGUUGGAAUGCUCUUCUCCAGUUCAGAAAUCUCAACUAAGGCACCAUCCAAUUCUCCCCUAACCUUGGAUACCUCCAAGGUAGCCACCUCCAACUGUUUUUUAGUUGCCUCAAACAAUUUCUUAAGCCUUAGGUUCUCACCAUUUCGCCUUUUCAAGCUCUCCAUGGUUUCGUCCUUCAGUUGGAGAGCCUGAGUCAAAAGUCCCUUAUUCCUUCGGGCCUCGUCCACAAGCUGCUUAUUCUCCUUCAGUUUUGCCUUGUACCGCUCAACCUCUUGCAGUCUGUCGUGAUACUCGGCCAUGACCUGCAUGGCAAGACGAUCAUCACUACCUAAAUAAUGAUAAUAAAGAGGAAAAAGUAAGGAAAUGACAAAGUAACACUCACAUAUGAAGACAGCUUCAACAUCCGGUCGCAAUCCGAUUCAUCCUUAGCUAAGGGCUCUCCGAGCUCAUCGAAGGCGAAUCGACGCCCUGCCAAGCAAUUGUUGAUAUCCCCAAAAUCCUUUGGCCGCGUGGCAACCCUCAAGUCCUUCCACGGGACACUGCCAGCUCUUUCCUUGCCUUUCCCCUCAUGGCGGGAACCAGGAUCACUUUCCUGGACAGUGUGCUCCAUAGUAAGAGGAGGAGGCAACAGUCGGCUCCCUUCUCCUGCAACUACGGCAGCAGCAUUUUCAACGGCCUCGACUCCAGUCUUCCUAAAGGCAGGCCCCUUAAGGACCCCAUCUUGGGACUUAGGUCUAACGGAUGGUUCCCCUCGGAACUUAUGAAUUUUCUUAUGCGGUAGGAUGUCUUCCGAAGGAACUAACACUGGUGCUUUCCUUUUAUUGGGUGCUAGUCCCUGUUUUCUUGCUUACCUUCUCCACUGCAUAAGGAAAAUCAAAAUAAGAAAUACAACUUUCCAAAUAAAGUAAGGAAAAGAGCAAAAGUUUACAUGAAGGAUACAACUUACUCGAUCGUCCCUGGCUCUCGGAAACUAAGGGUUGGAAACCGUACCGACGAAAUAAGGGUCGUAGCUUGCUUAAGUGUCUAUCCUCUUUGGGCACCCUCAACACCUUCUCUAUGUCAGAUAGCUCCUGCCCAAACAGUUUGGAUGGUGCCCCGCGUCACUACAUGAAGCAAAGUGUUAGAAGCAAGAAAAGACCACAACAAAUAGCAAAUAGUACGAACGGUUGAUACGUUACAACCUACAGUCUGGAAGUGAGUAAGCACACGUCGCUCAGGCGUGACACCCUUAUCAUACUCCCAAUCAUUAUACAGAAAGCACCAACGGUUUUUCCAUGUGUAGUAUGCCUUUUUCUUACCAUACACAAUACGCUCUCUCUCACUCCGACAUGCACACUCGGCAUAACCAGUGCAUGAUUUUGCUGGGCGCAUCUUGUAACAGUAACGCCACUGAUGGAAGGAAGGCUCACACAACCCACACUCCAUCCAAAUGAUAUAAAAUCCAAUCAAAGUAUCCCAGAAACCAGGAUUGAGUUGCCCAGGUGCAUAUCCGAUCAAAGAUAACAUCUUUUGCAACCACGGAUGUAAAGGUAGUCUCACCCCUAAAGUCAGUAAUAUCUGGGUGUAGAACAUAACAUGACCCUGGGGAGGCUCAGAAGGCCAUUCUUCAUCAUGUACCAAACGUAUCCCUACACUACGAGGGAUAUUACAUGACUGCCUUAGCGCCUCAACCUGCUUCUCAUUAUCUAACAAGUUAUUCUUUAGAUGGUCUGCUGUGAACUCAGAGCGAACUAUGGGUAUGGCAUCAAAAACAACCCCCUCACCCAACGCCAUGGAGGAAGAACUAGCAAUAGCUAAAGUUUGACGGUUGGGAAGAUCAUCCAAUGUUUCUCUAGUACAGGACUCUAACAAAGACCCUGAAGACUCCGACAUUGCAGACUCAGACUUAGAGCUAAAGCUAGAAGAGCCCUCAUCACUAGAACUUCCAGGCUCUGACAUCUACAAUAAGAAGAAACAAAUUCUAUCACUACAUGCAUGAUCAAAACAUAAGGAAGUUCCUAUAUUACCCACAUGAAGAUGGUGCAAAGCGAUGCCGGAACCCUUCUCAAUCAGAAAGCAAUCCGUCUUCCACAGUCACUACAAAACAAGCAAAUGAAGACCGUGUCAAGCGCCAAAAAAAAAAAAAAAAAAAAAAAAAAAAAACAGCUUCAUCCAAAAAGCUUCACCCGAAAAAGCUUCACCUCCAAAACUUCACCCAAAAAGCUUCACCAAAAAAGCUUUCACCAAAAAAGCUUCACCUAAAAAAAGCUUCACCCAAAAAAAAAAAAAACUUCACCUCCAAAAAGCUUCACCUAAAAAAGCUUCACCCACAAAGCUUCACCUAAAAAGCUUCACCCACAAAGCUUCACCCAAAAAACUUCACCCGAAAAGCUUCACUUAAAAAAGCUUCACCUACAAAGCUUCACCUAAAAAAGCUUCACCUAGAAAGCUCCCUCUACAUACUUUCACCAUCAAAGCUUCACCUAGAAAGCUUCACCUAGAAAGCUUCAUCUACAAAGCUUCAUCUACAAAGCUUCACCAUCAAAGCUUCACCUAGAAAGCUUCAACACCAAAGCUUCACCUACAAAGCUUCAACACAAAACCUUGCUCCAAAUAAACAAAUUUUGUUCACAAAACCCAAGAUGCCCUUGAACUUGUACAAAAAAACACUUGGGUAAACAUAAACAUUUUUUUGUUUUACACCCACAAGGGCCCAAAAUCUUCCUUCUUAUUUAUUCACUUAUAUAUGUUCCCAAACAUAUUAUAAUAGAUCAACAAUAAUUCAAAGUCCCAAAAUUUAGUUAAUGGACAAAAAUACAAGCAAUUCACCAGUACUGAAGUUGCUACAAAAAUUGGAAUCUUCCCCAAAAUAGAAAUCCAACCCAAGAGACUUUUUCUCUCUCUCCCUCUUCCGCCUCCUUUCAUCUAUCAAAUUUUGCAACCUGCUGCUCUUCUCCAAUGGAGCUGAAUUUUGGACACCCUCUAGUUCUUGAGCAGAUGAACAACUUUCAAGAAGGAACCAUUUCUGUUUGAGCGACGGAAAUUAAAGUGUUGAAGCUCCAAGCAUGACAGUCGGAUUCUUGCAGAUUUCGAAGCUGCUGUGAUGUUUCGAAGAUCUGGAAAUAUUUAACCAUUAGUUCAUUCUGAAUUUUUGAUAUGUUAUGAAAGAGACGAUGAGGAACAACUUCAAUGAAGAAAGCAUGCUGAUCUGAACAAUAGAAAAUGGAGUUUCGAAGCUCACAACAAAUCUGACGGGUUGACAGAAAAAAUAAUAACCAGUCAUUCAUCAUACCUGAAUUUCUUGAGUUAUACAGCUCCGAGGGAUCUCAAAUUUGGAUAUGUUGUAGUUCACAAGCUGAAGGAACAACUUCGAAUGAAGAAAGUAUGUUGAUCUGAGCAAGAGAAAAUGGAGUUUUUGAAGCUCACAACAAGUCUGACGGUUGACAGACAAAAUGAUGAACAGUCACUCAUCAUACCUGAAUUUCUGGAGUUGUACUGCUCCGAUGGAUCUCCAAAUUUGGAUAUGUUGUAGUUCACAAGAAUUAAGGAACAACUUUCAUGAAGACAACGUUUUUGCGAUCUGAGCUACAGAAAAUGGUGUUAUAUUGAAAAAACUAAAGGCAGACUUAAAGGGAAAAAUGAAAAGCAAUUCCAAAAGAAAAGCAUAAAGGAAGUUUCAAAAUCAUGGCACAUGAUUAAUGAGUCAUACCCUAUCCCCUCAUUGGAUUCGAAAUACACCCAUCCUCCAAAUCAUGACAAAAGGCCACAUUAUAGAUAUCUGUACAAACAUUCCAAAGAAAAAAGGGAGGGAGUAAAAAUUAAAAAAAAAAAAAAAAAAAAAAAAAAAAAAAAAAAAAAAGGGCCUAGGCCUCCACUUCUUUGGGCCUAAACACAUUUGACAAUUGACUAUAGCAAGACACCUCAUUCGGCAACUCUCUUCGCCUGAAGACUUGGGGGACUCCCACCAUAUGCUACUGCACCUUGAUACUCGGCAAGUCUCACAACCACUCAGUGACUUGGAUUUUUCAAGUCUCCAACCGAGAAGUUUUCCUCACUCGGGAAAUUAAGGGAACACUACCUCAAACUACAUGCUUCACUCACAAAGCUUCAACAAUACAGGUUUCAACAAAAGCAAAAAUUCAAAGAACUUUAUGAAGAAGGCUUUGGUGUAUUUAACACAAUAUGUUGAAAUGAAGCAAAGCUUAUUUAUUAAUAUUUUCGAUAAGCCACAAAUAUGUACAUAUACAUGAGUCAAAAUAAACAAACAAAAGGGAGCCUUCACAAAGGUUGCUUAGGGGAAGUCUCAGCAGUCGGUAGAGCCCCAGAAAGAGAAAGCACCGGAGGGUGGUUAUCCGGAGCCUCAGUACUUGACAAAACCCCAGAAGGAGGAGGCAUUGGAGGUUCAUCAUUUGAAGCUUCAUUACCAGGUACAGCCCCAGAGGACGAAGGCAAUAAAUGCCUUUGGAACAAACCCACAAACCGCUGAUGAUCAAGUAAAACCUUACCAUCAGAUUCCUUCAUCUGGUCAAGCUUCCUCUUCAUGUUUGUAGCAUAGUCAUGGGCGAGCCGGUGCAACUGCUUAUUCUCAUGCUUGAGCCCUCUAAUCUCCUGUUUGAGACUCAUCACUUCAGCAGCCAAUGAUUCAACUUGGCGGGUUCUAGCAAAUAGGCGUUGGGCCAUAUUAGACACAGAACCUGCACACUGAACACUAAGAGCCAGAGAGUCCUUAACAGCCAACUCAUCAGACCGUUUGGAAAGUAGUCUGUUAUCUUUGGGAGUGAGAAGGUUCCUGGCCACCACUGCAGCGGUCAUAUCAUUCUUCAUCACAGAAUCCCCAACGGUAAGAGGACCAGUAGGGGAUAUGAAGGAUGGGCGCCAUAUGUUGUCUGGAGAAGGCGUGGCUGUCUCUUCUCCAAGGUUCAAGUCAAAACGACGGUCGGAGGGUCCAGACAUUUUCAAAUGUGUUGAAGAAGGAAGAGGUCAGACAAAUCAAGAUCUUAGAAGUGCAAGAAAUGAGCUUCUACUGGUAGAGAUUCAAGUGUGCUGUGGAACUUAAUGCCAGCCUCUAUAAAAAUCUGCACUCGACGGAGCUUCAGAAAUCGAAGAGGCGUUUGCUUUCUCAAAAGCUGGGCUGCUCAGAGACCACGAGGGCCGAUCUCAGAAAUCGAAGAAGCACCUGCUUUUUCAGCCUCGUCAGCACCUGUCACAUGCACAAUCAGCUUUGCGGAAAUUACGGGCAAUCUGUCGAAGAUUUCUGGUGAAGUAGAAAGCACGUGAAUCUUACUGUUCAAUCACCGCUCUCCAUAUGCACCAUCAACUCCUCGGGUACCACAUAUAACUUUGUCAAAGAUCUCUGACAAAGUUUAGGCACGAGAAUUUCGAAGUUCCAGCUACCCUACUAUUACCCAUAAGGGUAAAGGAACAGCACCACUGCUUGACAACUGGAAAGUCCCUAUGUGUGUCGACCUCCGUGUUUUGCGGCAAGACAGGUUGGCAAGAACGUCCAACCUUUACUCACAUUCGAGAAAAGACUCCCAACAUAAUUACUUUCUCAAAAAACCGGAGUAGCACCGCUUUCCGAAUCUCGAGAGUCAGAUCCUCGACGGGAUUGCUUGUUCGAAAACCGAAGAGGCACAACUCUCAGAACUUCGAGAGCCAGAUUUCCUUAGAUAAAGCUUGUCUGUAAUCUUCACACGUAACAUCAGCUUUCCAGAUACCACAUACCACUUUUUCAAAGUGCUCUGACAAAAUUAAAACACGUGAAGCUGGCAGCUCCCACUACAUUGCUGUGACCAAGAAGGGUAAAGGAAUAGCAUUACUACUUGUUAUUGGGAAAUCCCUAUAUACAUUGACCUCCCUCCUCAACGGACAGGCAAACCUGCAAAAAUGCUCAACCCUUUCUCGCAUUCGAAAAGGCACCCUCAACAUAACCUCUCGAAAUACUCAGCUUUAUUUCCCCCCGAUAAUACCUCAGCAAAUAAGCCACACCAAGAACAAGAGUAUCUCAUAUCAUCAGGGUCGAAAGCAAGAGUAUCCCAUAUCAUGCUUUCUCCCUGUCUUUGUCUUUGUCCUUGUCCACACCUGCAGGACAAGGAGAAAGAGAGCAGUCAGUCGGAACCUGAAAUCAAACCUCCAAUUUGGAACUGACUGCCUGGAGCCUUUGCCUGGUUGCUUACUUAGCAUUGCUCUCGAGUACUCAUCCUCAACUGCUGUCAAGGUCACGAAUUCCACCGGCAAAUACCUCAUGACAGUUGAUCAGAUAUUGGCUCUUUACACUGAAGCUGCCAAGCGUGGAUGAGUCACUAUGAAGGAAUGUUCUGAAGGACCAUUUAAAUGCAAAGGUUGCACACCACUUCUGCCAUGCAAAAGAUUGAAGCAGAAGGUUCAACGGUGAGCUGAAACAGAUCACUACAGCACGACACCUUUCCAUACCACAUUCAUUAUUCCGUCAACAGCAAAAGUAUCCCAUAUCAUCAAGGUCGAACGUACUCUAGAUUUGAUGGACUUGUUUUGACCCUCAAAUUUUUGAGUCGGCCUUAUACUCUGAAGGGCACCAGAAAACCCUCCAGCACAGUUCAAGAAUAAGCCUGUGGAAAGUUACUUCUUCAAAAGCAAAAGUAUCUCAUAUCAUCUCUUAUCCAUUUGCUUCUCCUUAUCCUGGCAGUUGAAUGAGAGACAAGGAGAAGGAGAACAAUCAACCGGAAGCCGAAGUCAAACCUCUGAUCCUGGGUUGCUUACUUGGAAGUUUGACUGCUUACCUUGUCUGUCACCUCUUUCGGCAGAUCUCCUAGCUCGGCGACUUGGGGGACUCCUACUAUAGGGUUUGUAUCACACUUGACCAAGCCCGAAACUACAAGUAAGCUUCAAGUGAAAUUGAUACAUUACCUUGUGCAUCAACAUCAGCUAAAUACACCAUUCCCGGAUGGAGGAAAGGUACUUCCAGAGAAGGGCAGAUGAAGAUCAGACCACACUUCGGUACUUAGAAGUUUCGUGAUUACUCAAGGGAUUGGAUCUUGCAAGUCCCCAACCGAGGAGUUUCCCUCACUCGGGAACUUAGGGGAGCACUGUUUGUACCAUACUUGACCAAUCCCGAAACUACCGAGCACCGGCCAACGCUAUAUACUGUCAAGGACCCAGAAGAGUUCCCCUCCGACCAGGAGGCCAAUCACUACUCGACACGUGUCAAGAUUAGAAGCCAAUCAGAGCGCAGCACGUGUCGACAUCAAGAACCAAUCAUAACAUGACACAUGUCAAUGUGACAAAGCUACAAGUUUUUCUAUAAAUAGGGGUCAUUCCCCCACAAUAUGGCCUAAUGCCAUUUGUGUUAAAUCAUUCACAAGAACUCACUAAAUUGAGAGCUUGAUCCUUUGUACUUGUGUAAGCCCUUCACUACUAAUAAGAACUCCUCUACUCCGUGGACGUAGCCAAUCUGGGUGAACCACGUACAUCCUGUGUUUGCUUCUCUGUCUCUAUUCAUUUACGUACUUAUCCUCACUAGUGACCGAAGCAACCAAGCGAAGGUCACAAAAACUGACACUUUCUGUUGUACCAAAGUCUUCGUUGAUUUUGUGCAUCAACAGGAUUAAAACGUGUUUGUAAUUUUUGAAAAGAGAGGAGUGAAAUGACUCCAACUUUAGGAAGUUUUGUGAUUUUGGUUUGUAUGAGGAAGAGGGAGAGCACGAAGUGGGAGUGGAAGAUACAAAAUAGUAAGUUUAAUACUGUUAGUGGAGGAACCCGUCUGUUGGGUGAAGUGGUAGGUCUAAAAAUGGAUAUCAUCCAGUGGAAUAACCUAUAUGUGGUGGGAGGUCCAUACCAUUUUUCAAGUUCUUUAUUAAUGUGAAUGUUUAUGUUAUUCUGAUUAGGAACUUAAGUGAAUAAAUCGUUUUCAAAUUUGUAAACAAAUAAUUGCUUACAAAAUAAUGAACUCUGUCAAAUAAAAAUAAUUGCUUGCAGUAGAGAAUAACUAUAAACAUUAUUGAAGUAUAUAUUUAAAUAUUUUUAAUUUAUAUAAAUUGAUAGGUUGCUAUUGCAUAAAUCAAAUCACUAACUUGAACCAUGCUCUUUAUUUGGGAACUGUGCGUUUUUCUUAUUUGAAUUAGUAGGGUUUGUAUUUUUGUUUUCCAAAUUAGAUGUGUGAUUUCAUUUUGAUAGAUAUUUCAGAAUUUCAGUAAGCAUGUGUGGAUUGAUCAAUUAAAGCCAACCUGAAUUAUGGAGGUCUGAUUACAUGUACACUACAAAUUACCUCACUUUUCUACCAAGAGUCUGCUGCUUUUUCCAAAAGGAAAAGAUUAGCUUGGUUUGAUCUCUUAUUUGAAUCGUGUAGAUUUGGUUUGAUCUCUUAAUUUGUGUUGUGCAAAUUUUGUUUGAAUUAAUUUGGGUUGGGCAGAGGAAGCAAAUAAUUUUUUUAAUUAAUAAAUUUAGUUUGGUUUGUACAGAUGCUGCCCAAAGCAUGAACAUGUCAAGAAACUGUAAGUUACAAACUAUUCAUUACAACUUUGCACCAACUGUUUUUGUUAUGUCUAACAGUUUUACCAAUACCAUCGCGCGGGCCCUUUUGCUAGUAAUUUAAAAAGAUGGUUUCUCUAACAUUUUUACUUUCUUUUUGCAACUGUAUAUGAACCAACACUGGAGAGUUUUUCAACGUGUUCGAAACACGGCACAAAACGUCAUAUGUUAUUAUACAAGUGUCAUAAUACAAUUGGCUUGACACUUGAAAAAACAAUUUCAACCACUUAUUUGAUACUUAAUGUACUAGAUCGUGUUUUUGACACACUAAAAAACUUCUCAUAAAAGUGGGCACAUUAAGAGUAUUAUUAUUAUAAGCAAGUGGUGGUAAUUAAUAAGUUAUUCUGGAAGGAUUAAACCCGAAUUAAUAAGAAAAUUAAGAAGAAAUAAAGUAGCCACUUACAAGCAAAGGCAAGGGGAAAGCAAAAGGUGGAAUAUUGGACUGGGAUGUAAGUGGAGGACACGCAGGCGUUCUUGUACAUAUCUGAGUGGUUUUUUUUUUUUUUUUUUUUUUUUUUUGAAACCACGAAGCCUUUAUAAGAACACAGGGCAAAAGCCAACAGAAAACAGAAAGCCCACACAAGGGCAAGCACAACAAAACAAACAAAGGGCAGUGUGAGGGAGAACAACAGAAUAAGGACGCUACCACAAAGGUAAAACGUCAUCCCAACACACACCCACAUCAAAAAACACUUACGGAGGGCAAGGAAGACCAUCUUUGUUGAGAAUGUGAACCAGCAAAGAUGGGGGUCGCCUGACCCAAAUGUUGCCGCACAUCUCCACAAUAGACCUCGACGCCAGACGGUCCGCCGACUGAUUGGCCAGUCUUGGAACCCAAGACCAGCGACAACCCUGAAAAGAAUUCCCCAACCACAAAGUAGAUUCUAGGAUUGGGAACACUUCUCAGCUGCCAUUUGAAAUAUUACCCUUCAAAGACGAGACCACCUCAAGCGAAUCUGAUUCCGCAACAAUCCACCGGAAGCCCAUCGUCGCCGCCAACUCACAGCCCUUGAGCAUCGCCAUAGCUUCAGCGAACAUCACCGACGGAGCACUAAUAGACAACUUGUGAGCCACAACAAAUUGCCCAUUAUGAUCCCUCAGCACCGCAGCCAACGUAGCCUUACCAUCCAUCUGAAACCAGCUUGCAUCAACAUUAACUUUUAUGAAGAGAGCAGAUGGGGGGGACCAACGAGGAUCCAGAACGGGGGAUGGUCGGGAGCGGGACAAAGGGACCUGCACCUCCAAAAAAGAACCCAGGGAUAAAGAAAUAGUAUGCAGCACCUGUGAGGGAGCUAAGGUAGAAGCCUUAAAGACAAAAUUACAUCUAGCUUUCCAAAUGUACCAGCAAGAGAAAGCUAUGACAGAAAGAAGCCUCGAUCUGUCCUGAAGAUUAGGAGUCUGGAUGAUCAAAUCACUGAGCCAUUGAUGAAAAGAAGACACACCUUCACCAACCCUCCGAAGACCAAGCAGACCACCAAACCAAAUUGGCUCAACCCAAGGGCACCGCAGCAGCAGAUGAAGCACAUAUUCCUCCUGAGUCUUACAAAUAGGACACAUGAAUAGGACACAUGGGAGAUGAAGCAGACCUGCGCCUAAAUAAACCCCCUAUAGUAGCCAAAGCCUCACUCACAGCUCGCCAUAAAAAGUGACGAAUUUUAGGCGGGGCAUUAAUUUUCCAAAUAGCUUGCCAAAUCGAGGUCCUCGAAGUACUUGGACCGAAUGAAGCAUGAGCCCCCGUCAACCCCCGCAAGGAAUGAAUCCAAUGAUAACCUGACCGAACCGAAUAUUUACCUGUCCUACUCAACGUACAGAUCAAACGGUCCCGGCGAGAACAAAUUCCCAAAGGAGUAUCACAUAUAGCUUUGAUAUCUUCCUCAUAAAUGAAUGGACGUAAAAAUUACAUAUCUGAGUGGUUUGGCAUUGAUCCAUCCACCUUUUCCUUGCCCUGCCCGUCAUGUGCCAAAACUAUAUCGCUCUUACCCUACUUUCUCUGCCUUCAAUAUUUCUACAUGAAGAUCGAUCUGGUUCUACCGUUCUACUUUCAGUGUUAAAUAAAUAUGAUCAAUCACUUAUAGUUAUUAUAAAAAUACUUUCAAAUAAUUUUUAAAAUAUCAAUAACUUCUCGUAAAUAUCAACUGUCAAUUUUUUGCUAAUAUACUUUUCAUCUUAAGACGCCCAGCGUUGUGGUUUUGAAAAACGUAGCUCCUGCUUUUCCACUUUGUUUUUAUUUUCCACUGUCCUACUUUGUGCCGGUACACUUUUGUCUGCCAAGGGCCUGGACUUAGGCCCCGUUUGGGAUUGAGGUGAUUUUAAAAAAAGCCACUGUGAAAAAAAGCUGAGGGUCAUUUUUGUGUUUGGUAAACUGAAAAAAAAGGGCUUAUUUUGGAAGCUGCUGUGAGAAUAAGCUGAAAAUCAAAGGAAAAGCUGAAGCUGCUAUUUGCUGCUUUGAAAAAAAGCCAGUUUUUUCAAAGCACACGGAGCUACAGUGCUCCUUUAAUGAAAAGACACACUAUCAUCCUGCUUUUUUUUCCAAAAGCACUUUCACAAAAAAGUUUACCAAACACUCUACUGGCUUUAUUUCACAGCCGCUUAUUCUCACAGCACAGCCGCUUAUUCUCACAACAGCUUUUUUCAAAGCACAGCAAUACCAAACUAGCCCUUAAGAUGCUUUACUUUGAAUAAGAAUUAGUUCAACACAGAUAAUAUGAUUUGUCUUUUUAUUAUAAGGAAAUGCUAAGAAGACUCGUUAGAAAAUGAGAUUCUGUAUGGAUUUUUCAUCAAUUCAUGUUUUUGGCACAAUAACUCAUGUUUUUUGCACAAUAUUUGAUAAUGUUGACAUGAAAACUUUGCCAAAAACAUGAGGUGAUGGAUAAUUUCUAGAAAGUCUAAUUGUGAAGAGUCUUCUUAGUAUUUCUCUUUACUUUAUUAUAUAAUAUUUAGAUUAUUGAAUUUGGUUGAACUUUAACAUAAUUGAUAUUUAAAGAGUAAUAUCGAAAACAAAGAUUUAAAUUAUGACAUUGCAAAAUAAAAAACAAAAUAAAACAUAGAGCGAAAAUUUUUAAAGGAGAAUGUGACUAACAUUGGUUGGGAAUUAAUUUAAGAGAAAAUAUAAGGAGGUAGAUCUUAAUUGUUUCUACCCUCUUAUUCUUGAAAAGCAAACACGAGCCUCCCUUUAACGUGAAUAAAGCAUAUUUCAGAGUUUUCAAGAAUCUUUUGUAUAGUCUUUGUCGUUUUGUGUUCCUUUCCACCUUUCCUCUCUUUUUCCCUGCACCUUCUCGCCCAGCUGUAUGUUGUUUCUCGAAUCAAUACCAAAACAUUAUUAUAUUAUAAACUUUUGUUCUUGUAAAUUGAAGGAUCUUGACUUGGGUUUAGGUGUUUGGGAUUUGGAUCCUCUCCUGAGCCCAAGAAGAGGAUCCUCAUGACUAAAUAGUGUGGGUCGUUAGAUUUUUAUUCAACGAUUACAAAUAAAAGAUUCAUUUAAAGUUAUAUUCAUCCAACGGUCAACAUUGUUUGGUUAGAGGAUGUUCUUUAUGGGCUCAGGAGAGGAUCCAAAUCCUAGGGGUUUGAGUAUCAUCGGUUUGGCAAAACAAACACAACCACUGUCAUAUUUUUCAGUCGUAAUCUGAACCACUGCAGUGCUAUACAGUGGAUAUAGCCAUGGCAGCCCACGGUGCCUCCUCUUCAUCAUCCUCCUCAAAACUCUGGAAGUACGACGUGUUCUUGAGCUUUAGAGGCGAAGACACACGCAAGGGCUUCACGGGCCAUCUCCACACAGCAUUGGAAGAAAAGGGCUACAAGGCCUUUAUUGAUGAGGACGAUCUGGAAAGAGGGGAAGAAAUAAAGCCCGAACUAUUGCGAGCCAUCGAAAAGUCAAGGAUCUCUAUCAUUGUCUUCUCAAAGAGGUACGCAGAUUCGAGUUGGUGUCUCGACGAGCUAGUGAAGAUCAUGGAGUGCAAAUCCGAACUGGAGCAACAUGUUUUGCCAAUAUUCUAUGAUGUUGAAGCUUCAGACAUCAGGAAGCAGGAAGGUAGUUUAGCCCCAAUGUUUCAGAAGCACGAAGAGAACAUCCGUAAAGAAGAAGAUGACAAAAAACGGGAAACCAAGAGAGAAAGGGUAAAGCAAUGGAGAAAGACUCUUACUGAAGCUGCAAACUUGUCUGGUUACGAUCUUAAAAACACUGAGAACGGGUAACUAUUUAUUUUAUUCAGCUUUAAUUAUUUAAAUGAAAAAUUUAUCUUUCCCCCUUAGAACUCCUUUUUCUUUGCCUUUAACCCAUCAUAUAUAUUUUUCCAGACUGCACGUCGUAUUUGUGUCUCUUCCCCUCCACUUAACUCUAGAAUUAACACUGUUAAUUAUUAUAUAGGAAUUUAAUUAAAUAAACACGAACACCCGACAACCCAUCCUCUAUCACAUUAUUACCUUCCCCUUCACUUUCACUUUCACACGUUCAUUUUCCUUUCUCUCCUCUUCAUCAUUUCUAUCUCUCUCCUCACACUCACUCCCUUCACCGUCGUCGUCAAAGCACAUGAUUUCCGGCUUCAAAUUGCGGCGAAGGGUCGAGAUGAGCGGCUGCGAUUGAAGGUCGAUUUGCUGCCAUAUCUGCUCGGCAUCGAAUCCGUCGACCAAGACCUGAUGUAACGGCGAUUUGGGAGUGAUUAGCGCUCGGGACUACUUGUGCUGUGUAUUAAUAUUUUUUUUGGUUGAAAAGGAGAUGAAAAACGGAAGGGGGUUAGGGUUUGGGGUCUCUCAGUGAGAAAAUCACAGAGAGAGAUGGUUGAGAGAGGGUUUAUUAAUUUGGGCAUGAUUAGGAACAAGGUAUUAAAUCGAAGUCAAAUAAUUUAACGCUGUAGUUUUUUUAAUUAGUUAUGUGUAUAUAUGUUUUAAAUACGUAUUAAUCUAUUAAUAAAAUCUUAUUUGUGAACCAAAACUUCUUAAAAUUAUUAUGCUAAUCCUCUCAUUAAAAUUGUACAAAACAGAAUAUAUGAGCAAUUUAGUAAUUACAUACAAUAUAAAUUUUGUUAUUUUUUUACACAAACUUCACAGCCUGAUAUACAUAACACACCUACUUAAAAGUUAAAAAUUAGAUGCAAGUGGCCCUUUACAACAAUGGUGGAAAGAAGUUGAGUUCUUGCAUGACGUCGUAAAUUUGAAUUUUAUCGAUGGCUAAUCUAACAAAAUUUAUCAUAUGACAAAAAAAAAAAAAAAGUUAAAAAUUAGAUUAAAAAAUUAAGUAGGUUUUCUUUAAGCUCUCGUCUCCCACUUCAGCCUCUUCCCCUUCUUCCAAGUUGCAUCCCAAUUUUAUUCUUUUUUUUAUAUAAUUUUUUUUAUUGCUAAUCCAUUGUGAGGUUAAGUUUACUCCCUCUCUUUUAUUAUAGAUAAUAUCGUUUGUUAAAAAAAGUGACAAAUAUUUUUAUAAAAAAUAAUACACGAAUUUAAUUACAAAGUUUUAUUUUAAAAAAAAAAGUGACAAAAAUAUUUUUAUAACAAUUAAUAGUCAAGUUUAAUUACACAUGUAUAACGUGUGAGCAUAUGACUAGUAGUUUUUAUUUAUUUAUUUUGAACAAACGAUAUUAUCUACACUAAAUGAGAGAGGUAGGCUUAGUCUCACAAUGAACUAGUAAUAAUGUGGUUCAAAUUCGCCUUUGACGAGAAUCAAACUUAAGACAUGUCACUUAUAAAUGAAGAAGAAUACAACUAAACUGUAAUACUAAAUGACGACUAUUAGUUAACAAUGUUAACUUUAAAAUUAAGUGAAAUGACACAUGUAAAAAUAAUAACAAAGAGUCAUGCAACUACGGACAGCAAACCCUUGGUCGUUGACUGUGCUUUAAUUAGAAAAAUUCAUUAAAUUUGCUUUAUGACUUAGAUUACAUAAUUUUGUAGUCCUGAAGCCCCUUAUUAUGUGAUGAUACAUUUAGUUAUGUUUGUUUGUAAAUUUGGCUAAUUAAUGAUUAUUUUAAACUAGUUAUGUGCAUGAGCAUUGGUAGGCGAAAUUUUCAAACUAGAUUUUCAAAGUUGUAUGAUAAUAAUUUACCUAUUGAUGCUAAGUAAAUCGUUGUACAUGAUAAUACUCUGUGGGCCCGUUCUGUGGGUCGGAUGGGGGAUAGGCUGUCAACCAUUAAAAUUGACUCAAUUCCACUGUCGGCUGUUUGAUGUGAAUAAUGAGCAUUAGAGCAAGUCCACCGAAGUGCACUUUGCCCAGGACCCAGCACAAAAACAAGGCCAGGACCCUGUCAAAUGACUCCACCCCCUCAAGUUGACUGGUACCCAGCCCGAGCUGGGCAAUGGACCAGCCCAAAUGAAACUGAGCAAGAAGCCGGGAUGUUGGCCUGGCGCGUGCGCUUCACGGCGACGUGGGGCGAGUGCCCGACAAGGUUUCAGAGGGCUGUCAGCCCACUUGUGCUCCGGAGUGACGCGGCAUGAUCAUAGCCGUUGGAUUUCCAACGGUAAAAAAAAUUUAAAUUUGACUUUUAAAAUGGACCGUUCGAUCAUAGAUCAACGGUCCACGUUAAUUAACUAAAUUAAAAUUUAUUAAAAAAUACAGAAAAAUUAUUAAAAAAUACAGAAAAUUAAAAUUUUUUUUUCUAUAAAUACCUAACCCUCAUCUUCCACCUUACACCACAUUUCAAUAUUUUCUACACUUUCUACCAAAGCUUUCAUAUACUUUUUGUGUGAAAAAAAAUACCAAAAAGCUUGUGGUUGAAGAAUAAAGAGUAUUUGAUGAGUUUAUGUAAUUUCAUUUUAGUGUGUUUUUUUUAUAGUUUAUUUGAUGAGUUUAUGUAAUUUUAUUUUAGUGUGUUUUUUUUUAAGUUUAUUUGAUGAGUAUGUAAUUUUAUUUUAGUGUGUUUUUUUUUUAAGUUUAUUUGAAAUUUUAUCCAAAAUUGGUUAAAAAUCUUAUCCGAAAUAAACUUAAAAAAAAAAAACACACCAAAUAAAUGCGCUAGGUGUCCCGCUAGGUGUCAGCGCAUGGGGUGAAGAUGACUUCGCUUAUUACUGUUCAUUAAAGUCUGUUACUGUUCAUUUGAGUGGAUAAAUGCACCUGGCGUAAAGUCGUUAGGUGGAAUUGCUCUUAGGGAUGAUGGGUUAUGAGUCCAACAUCGUCUUCCUCUCUUCUCUGCGUCGACAUCAACAUAUUUUUUUUCUUUUUUUCCGUCGUCGUCGUCAUCGUCAUCAGAAGGCUCUCUCUCUCCACAUAUCUGGUCGUACAAGGUGGGGUUGGUCGUCGCGAGCUGAGCCGUGGAAUCAUCGGGAGCAGCUGCGUGGGGUCGUCAUAAGCACAAACCCAACAUUCCAGAAACGACCUCUCUCUGACGACUCUUCUACCACCGUCGAUUGCGAUGACAAUUACUGCGAUUCCCACCUUGAUUAAUUCCCUUCUGCUUCUUCGAUUGUCUUCUCCUUCGCCUCCUCCCCUGUCCAGUAAUUUUCUGCUAUCCUUUUUGCAUUUUCUUUGAUCUCAUUUGCUUUGUUUCCGUUUCUGGAAUGUUGGGUUUAGUGCUUGGGAUCGACCUUUCUGUGUUUUCUUUGCACUUCUACUUUUCAAUCCAAUCCUAAUUUAGUUGGGAUAGUCCACACCAAACAGUAGAUGGAUAGCCCAACCCAUCCCAUCCCAUCCAAUCCUAACCUAACCACUCCAACAAACGUGCCCUAUAGGUAUUAACUUGCCUAUACUAUCUAGGUGAAUAUGCAAUAUAUAUGUAAAUUACUCAAAAAACAAAUUGUACAAUUACAAUAAGCCCACAAUGCCUCUAAUUUAAAAAGGUAAAUUAGUGACCAUGCAAUCUAAGUGAAUAUAUGUGUAUGUACACACACACAACAUACAGUCUUGCAGAUUACGAGAAACUCAAAAUGCAUAGAUUAUAGUUAUUGAACACGCAAUACAAUAUUUAAAACACACAAAGAAAAUAAUUCCCUUUUAUUGUCUAGAUUGUGUAGGUUAUCUAAUGGCGUAAGAACGAAUUUGAUAAUAGGUGUUACCGGUAUAAGUUGUAAUAAUUUGUAAUAAUAAGAUCACUUAUUUGUUUAUGUGACAACUUAUGUAAUAAUAGGUCACUUGUUGAUAUAUUUCUUCUAACCAGUUAAUUCUUGCAAAUAGUAAGUCACUGCAAGUCUGUACCGCCAUUUAUAUUUUCUUACAAAUUGUGUUUUCAGGCAUGAAGCAAAGCUUAUUAAGAAAAUUAUUUAUGAUAAUCUUUGGAAAUGGCUCCCCAAAACAAAAAAAUUACAUGUGGCCAAGUUCCCAGUUGGAAUCAAUUCUCGUGUUCAAGAAAUUAUCACUUAUCUUUCAAGUGGUGAAGGAAAUAAGGUUCUCAUGGUUGGAAUUUGGGGGAUGGGUGGAUUGGGUAAAACAACAGCUGCCAAAGCCAUUUAUAACCAAAUUCAUCCUAAGUUUGAAUUCAAGAGUUUCCUUGAUGAUGUUAGCGACACUACAAGUAGACAUGGUCUGGUUUAUCUACAAAAAAAACUUAUUUCGGACAUCUUGAAUCCAAAGUCUGAAAUAAGCAGUGAUGUUGAAGGCAUUGGUCGGAUAAAAGAUAUAUUUUCACAUAGAAAGGUAUUUGUCGUUAUGGACAACAUAGAUAAAAAGGAACAACUGGAUGCAAUAGUUGGAAAUCAUGAUUGGUUUGGUCCGGGAAGUAGAAUUAUCAUAACGACACGAGAUAAACAUCUACUACUAAAUAUGGACAAAGUAUAUUCGGCUCAGAAAUUGAAGGAUGGAGAAUCUCUAGAGCUCUUUAGUUGGCAUGCCUUUGGAAAUAGUUGGCCUGAUAAAGAUAUCUUGAACUCUCAAAAAAGUUUGUUUCUUACUGUGAUGGUUUGCCACUAGCCCUUGAAGUUUUAGGUUCUUUUUUGUUUAAAAGAACCAUAGGAGAGUGGGAAUGUCAAUUGAAGAAAUUGAAAACAACUCCUGAAGGAGAAAUAAUAAAACCACUAAGAAUAAGCUUUGAAGGGCUAGAUGACACACAAAAGGCUAUAUUCCUUGACAUAUCUUGUUUCUUUAUUGGAAUGGACAAGGACUUUGUCACAAAAGUAUUAGAUGAAUGUAAAUUUUUUGCAACGAUAGGAAUCAAUGUCCUCAGUGAACGAAGUCUUGUAACUGUUGAACGCAACAAGUUGAAUAUGCAUGAUUUGCUUCGAGAAAUGGCCAGAGUAAUCAUUUCUGGAAAAUCUCCUUGUCAUCCUGAAAAAUGGAGUAGGUUGUGGAAUCCUCAAGAUGUCAGCAAUGUAUUAACAAAUAAAUUAGUAAGUACAUUCCCAAUUCAAUUUUGGAUUAAUGCAUCGUACAAGAAAAGCAUAUAUGUAACCCUCGCAUGUCAAUUAUACAUUAAACAACAUUCAUGUGUAAAAUAUAUUCACUGUGGGUGAUUUUGGGUAAUGCAUAAUAAUACAUGUAAACAUAUGCAAAUAUAUUGUUUCUUACCACUAUAACCUUUUUUGUUAACAGGGAACUAGAAAAAUUGAAGGACUUGCUCUAGAGUUCCCUCAUCCUUUGUUAUCAAGCAUUGUAGACACUGAGAUUGCUGCUAGUUUCAGUACAGAAGCAUUUGCCAAUAUGAAGAAUCUGAGAUUGCUUCACCUCGACAGAGUAGAGCUCAAAGGAGAAUACAAACAUCUUCCCAAAGAGUUAAUAUGGUUGUGUUGGGAAGAAUGCCCUUUAAAGUCCAUACCAGAUGAUUUUUUUAAUCAACCAAGACUAGUUGUGUUAGAUAUGCGGAGGAGCAAUCUGGUACAAGUUUGGGAGGGUUCCAAGGUACAAUGAAUUACAGCUGAUGAUGUUGUGUUGCUAUUUGUUUUUUGGAUAUCUUCUCUUUUUUUAUAACAUUUUCAUUUUGGAUAUCAAUUUCAAUUUUCUUUUGAUUUUCUGCAACAGUCGCUACAUAACUUGAAAACCCUUGAUCUCAGCGAUUCCUAUUCCUUACAGAAAUCACCAGACUUUUCACAAGUCCCAAAUCUGGAAGAGUUGAUAUUGAAAUACUGUAUUAGUCUGUCCGAGAUUCACCCCUCCAUUGGUCAUCUUAAAAGACUUUCUUUGGUGAACCUUACGUGGUGUUUCAAACUUAUUUCUCUUCCAGAGGAUUUCUAUAAGUUGAAAUCUGUUGAGACUCUUCUUCUUAAUUGGUGUUCAAAAUUCAGAGAAGUGCAUGAGGAUAUAGGGGAGAUGAUAUCAUUGAGAAUACUUGAAGCAGAGGAAACAGCCAUAAGAAAAGUACCACCUUCCAUAGUAAGAUUGAAGAAUCUCACUCGUUUAUCCCUAUCAGGUGUGGAAAGUAUUCAUUUGCCCUUUUCGUUACACGGCUUAAACUCUUUAAGGGAAUUAAAUCUCGAAUGGUGCAAUUUAGCUGAUGAUGCAAUCCCUAAGGAUCUUGGGAGUCUAAUUUCUUUACAAGAUUUGGAUCUUUCAUUAAAUACAUUUCAUACCCUACCCAGCCUCAGUGGUCUUUCAAAGCUUGUAACAUUGAGGUUAAUUGGAUGCAUAUCUCUUCGUACAAUCCCUGAUUUACCAACAACUUUGAAAUUUCUGUAUGCAUUUCAAUGCCUUGCAUUGGAAACAAUGCCCAAUUUUUCGAAAAUGUUGAAUAUGAAAGAACUGGUUGUGAGUGAUUCACCCAAGCUCACUGAGGUUCCAGGCUUGGAUAAGUCAUUAAGCUCCAUUACAUGGAUUAGUAUGCUUAAGUGCACCAGUCUUUCAGCUCAUUUAAGGAAGAACAUCCUACAGGUAUCUCUCCCUCUCUCUCUCUCUCAUUGCCUUCCUAUCUUGCGUAUACAUGUAUAUAUACGACACAUGUAUUGUAUAUGUAGGGAUGGACUUCUUGCGGAUUUGGUGGAAUUUUCCUUCAUGGAAACUAUGUUCCUGAUUGGUUUGAGUUUGUCAACGAGGGCACUAAAGUCACUUUUGAUAUUCCCCCGAGUGAUGGUCGUAAUUUUGAAGGGUUAACUCUGUUCUGCUUGUACCACUCGUACAGAAGCAGUCAUCUUGCCAUUAUUGUUAUAAAUAAUACCCAGCGUACUGAGUUGCGAGCUUACAUAGGCAGAGUAGAAUCUGAUUACCACCCAAAUGGAGAUGAUUAUCUUUUGCAGGGACAACUCUCGAACAAUAAGCUCAAAUUGCGAGGUGGGGAUAAAGUUGUUAUAUUUUUUGAAAACCCAUCCAUUACAAUAAAGAGAACAGGGGUUAACCUAGUAUGGGACAAACCUAUGGAGGAAAAUAUGCAUGAUUUGGACAAAGCUGGUUAUGUUUUUGACACACAUCCAACUCGGUUUUAUGAUGAGGAAGGACCAAGCCAUGACGCAUCCGAUAAUAAUCGUCCCAAGAAACAAAUGAGAAUUACUAUAGAUGACUGAAAAGGGAAAAGGCAGGAAGAAGUGAAGCAUCAUCCAUCUUGAUUAAGUCUCCCAGAUCGGUUCUAUGGUGAAGCACGAUCAAGGAGGUGAUGCAUUGUCAUCAUCACAUAUCUGAGUCAGGUCAUAACCAGUUCAUCAAACGCCUCUUUUAUUUUUGCUUUACUGGUUCGUUAAUGAAGACAAGUCCUUAUUUCGUACUUCUUUAGAUUCCUAUGAUUUUUCCAAUAAGUAGUUGUUUUGAAUUUUGAAGAAAUAUUGCAUCUAUAAAACAUUUCAACUUUACAACAAUCAAUAUAAGACAUUCAUCAAAAUAUUUGACAAAUACUACUUGAAUUCGCACAAAACUGCAGACGGAAGUUGUUUGUAACAUUGUAGAGCUGUUCCUGUUAAGAUCAAACCCCAGCCCAUGUUGUGCCCUUCUGUAAACACCAUCAAAUUAAGAUGUCAGAGUGUUAUAAAAAAAAAAAAAACAUGAAAUCAUCAAAUAUAGCUUUGAUAUAAAAAAAAAAAAAAGAGAGAGAUUUUUGUUGGGGUAACAAACUCUAUCCGACUUACAAAGAGAAUAUCUGUAAUUACAACAUAACGAGAAAAAACUCUUGUUCAGCAAAUCAGUGAAAAUGUAUGUAGCUAAACCACCAAAAUUCAAAGAUUGGAAGCUACGGUUUCACCAUCAUCAUAAUCAUCUCAAGAACAAAAAUUACCUAACAGAGUAAAGCGUGAUGAGAAUAAAAGAAAUGAUAAAGUCAAGUAAUCCUCCUCUUUCCCCCAAACUGUCUGCCUCUUGAAUGCAUGUCAUCCCGGUUUUGAUGACUCAUUUUUUUAAGAACCUUUUGUGCGGCUGCUUGGUUUUGAACAGGGACAGCUUCAAUUUUUGUGGAAGGCAUAAUACAUCAGCAUUAAAUUACAAAGCAAAAAAUGUAGAACAUUUGUAAUAAUUAAGUUAACUAAAUGUGUUUCUUGUGUGAUUCAAGUAUAAUUCCAUUUUACAUGAUCGUCGACGUUGAUAUAGACAAAACUUAGCAGAAAUUUGGUUUUCCCUCCAUUCAAUUGAUUCAAGUUUUAUUCUGCCACCUUACACCUGCCCCAUCUACAACUAUAUACGCACCACUAGAAAUAAUUGGUGAACAAAUCCAAGUGUAAAAACACCGGUCUAUUCUCGACCCCUUCCCCACAACUAGAUGACAAAAAAUUAAGCUUAAUACUACACAAAACCUGGAUGCAGCAUAGGAUAAUAGUAAAAUUUAAUAACAAGCUACAAAUUGGACACGGAUGAAAAUCUACCUUCUUUGGUCUUGAGUUCUUUCAUCAAGGGAAUCUGCCUUACGAGUGUUAUCAGUCUCACUUCUUUUAUAAGAUUUAUUGUCGUCAUUUGCUUUCAAUCGAAGGUUCCACUGUCUUGCAACUGGUCUAACCUCAGUAAUUCUGGCAAUAGGCUCACUACUCUUGGAGCUAACAUCAGAGUAAUCUGCCAAUGAUUGCAUCUUGCCCAUGAGAUAUGCAUGCAAUAGCAAUAAUGAGUGGUUUAACAUUAUGUUAAAAGACAAACUAAUAUUAUGAAAUCAAUAGCUCAAGAAUACUGACGUGAAAACUUGUCCAGCUCAGGAAACUGACUUUUAGCUGCCCCAACUUCAACUUCUCAAAUGGAGGGGGCCGUUACCUUCACUUUCCUGUGAAAUCCUUAAAGAUGAACGUGAAAACUCGGAAUAUUUUGUAUUCAUCUGCCAUUCUUCGUAAAGUGAUUGAACAACACCUCCCAACAGAGUCACAAUUUUAGGACUCAAACACACUAUUCCAUUGCGUACAGUAACUUCACCUUCCAAACAGACCUACCGAUCAAAAAGUAGGACAAACGAAAGAUGUUCAGUUAACUCAAAAUGCGACCCUUAUCUAUGCACCUGUUUUCCCUGAAUCACUUAAGAAAGUGGGACUAGAGAGACCCAUAAAACUUCUUGUGAAAUUCAUUGUCAAAAUUAAAAAAUUUGUCCGGGUCUUCCAGUGCAGUGUUGAGCUAAUGUCACAUAUGGGAUAAAAAAUAAACGAAAUUAUUAAUUUUCCUACUGGAUGUGGAUUCGCUUCAAGAUUGCAUACACGAAGACGGAGCACACAGUGUUCGUCACUAAGUUCUACGAAAGUGUGAGCAAUCAAACAAAUCUCUAGCUUAUUAAAUAUAAAACACAAGCUGAGCAUUGAGCAGGCAUCAAGAAGCAGAAAUACCUUAGUUCCAGGAACAACGUCGUCAGGGAUUACCGAGGGAUGAGAGUACUCCACAGCUGUGGCCGUCGUCAGGGAUCGUAAGGCAUCAAAAGCCACCGACGACUCAAAUUCCUCGAAAAAUCCUCCAUUCUGCUUUUGGCAACGUCCCUUACCCAAGCCAUUUGAUAACAAAACACAAAGGAAAGACCAAAAUUUUCUUUCUCUUUAUCUAUUUUCUCAGCAACCAAACAGAGGAUAAGAAAAAUUAGCGAGAAAUACAGAGAGGUGUGAUUUACCUGGAGAACUUUGGGGCCGAGGAGGUGAGAGGACCUUAGGAGCGUAUGCGGGUCGGGCAUGGACCUGGCGGAGAUGGAUUUAAGGUUCAUGUUGAUGAGUUUGGCUUCCACUGAGUUCACUACCGUACGCGUGUUGUCGGACAAGGCGGGUUGGAUCAGGAUCUUCUCCUCCACUUGUUCGAGGUCGCCGAAGCACCAUCCUCUGGUUCUUAGGCUUUCGACUGCGCCGCCGGAACUCCCCUCCCUAUUUUUGGUGCCAGUUUCCCGCGUAGUUUGAUUUUGGGGGGGUGAAAACGUCAAAUGCAUGGUACAGUCCCAGACUCCCAAAUAGGCCAUGAAACGGCGUCGUAGGUGGGUCUUCUGUUCUUUCUUUUUUCCUUUUUUUUUUUGGUCAAACGAAUGUCUUAGGGGUAUUGGUUCCUCUUUUGUGAGAAUGAGGGCCAAUCGACCAAAAUUAAUGUCUAUUAGUAGUUUUCUUCAUUUAUAAAUGAGAAGUUUUACUAUUUAGUACUACGGUUUAGUGAUAUUCAUCUUCACUGAUAAGUGAAAAGUUUUAGGUUUGAUGCUCACCAAAAGCGAAUUUAAACCACAUUAUAGCUAGUUCAUUGUGAGGCUAAGUCCACCGCACCCCCUCCCCUUGGUAUAGUACUUAACGAAAACUGACCGCACAAUCACAAGAUCCUGAAAUCCCCAGAAAAAGAAUACAAAGAGGAUCAUUUUCCAUUGCAUUCUGUGCCUAAAUCAAAUCACUAACUUGAACCAUGCGGAACUGUGCGUUUUUCUUAUUUGGAUUAGUAGGGUUUGUAUUUUUGUUUUUCAAAUUUGAUUUUGUGUGAUUUCAUUUUUAUAGAUAUUUCAGAAUUUCAGAGUCCGCUGCUUUACAGAGGUCUGAUUACAGGUACACUACAAAUUACCUCACUUUUCCACCAAGAGUGCUGCUUUUUCCAAAAGGAAAAGAUUAGCUUGGUUUGAUCUCUUAUUUGGAUUGUGUAGAUUUGGUUUGAUCUCUUAAUUAGUGUUGUGCAAAUUUUAUGUUCCCUCGAAGCUGGUAAUGAUUGAUAACCAUGGCAGAAAGAGACGGGGUAGGAUUGAACAAACUGCAGUUCACAAUCAAGAUUCCAAAGUCCUUAUGUUUAACAGCUGUCUUAGCGAAAAGCUCAUCAAUGGCACCAAGCAUCACAGCCUCAGCUUCUUUUCUAGCUUCUUUCAUUGACGGAUUUGGAGGAAUGUUGAGAACUGCCUCGGGAAGGUAAGUCGAGUCACCAAGGCCGGAUCUCUUAAGGAUCCUACGCUGGAACUGAAGAUUGUCCUCUGUAAAUGUACCAGUCAUCUGAGACUGUUCCAUGAAAAUCUUUUUCGUGCAUUUUCGAGAUUCUUCUGGCUUGUAGAACGAAAAGUUAACAAGGUACACCGGGCGAGGGCGGGUGACAAAGUACACGGUGGAUAGGAAAACAAGGAGAGUCGAGCAGAUAAUCACCGAAAUCAGGUUGUACUGGAGGUGCUCCCAAAGAUCAUAAAGAUCCUUGAGAGAAAAUGUUGAAAUCUGGGCAGCGAUAACGACAACAAGAGGGGAAAGAAAGAGGUACAUGCCAUGGGUGAUGAGAAUAUGGUACCCAAGCUUCACAUAUUUCAGUUUAACUUAUUUUUUGAAGUCGGGGAGGUUCCGUGACGAGGAUGAUAAUGAUGACGACGAUGGUGGGAUCAAGGGUGUGUCGGGUUUUGGGUCUGCCAUUUUUCCCUGAUAGAUAAUAUACAACAAAAUCGAUCAGAUCAAAUGACCUCAAGAUCAUAAUACCAGUCAUUUCUAAAAGCACAAGAACAAAGGUAUAAUAAUACAUCAACGCGCCUCAAUUCGAACAGAUUUCAUAGAAAUUGGGCCAGAAAUGCCUUAAAAAUACACUAUUUCUCUAACUUUUAUAAGUCACUAUAAAGAAACGUUUGAUUUACCCCUUCAAAUCACCUUGUCUCCUACAUCCAAGGACUAAAAUAAAAGCUGUUCACCUUCAUAUUUUGAUUCGGGAAAGUUUCAAACUUUUGGUUUUUCUUAUCGUUUGCAGAUUAAAUUUACCACCAACAAAGUAAUCCCAGAUCAGAUCAGAAUUUACUACAGAUUUUUUUUUUUUUCAGAAAAGAUUACUAGAACUAAACGAAGAUUAACGACGAUCACACAAACCCCAUAUGCAGAUUUACAUCAAGCAUUGAACUUUUUCAAAGAUUAACGAACACCAAACAAAACCCAGAUGCAGAUUUACAUCAAGCAUUAAGCUUUUCAUAGAUUCGAAUCAAAUUUCACAGCAAAAAGCAAAAACCAUCCAGAUCUCAGAAUGCCACCACAGAAGCCAAACAGAAAUGGAGAGAGAGAGAGAGAGAAAUUUGACAGAGUCAGAUAGAGAGGACAACGUGCGAGGUCCAAACGGUAAGAAACAAGAAACUAAUUUGAAAAAUGUUAAUUGGGGAUUAGACUAUAAUUAGGGAGUGCGAGUGGAGAGACAGGUGAGGUUAGUUGUGUAUUACUAAUUAAUUUAAGGUUUAAACAUAGAGGUGGUGCGGAGGAGGAGAAGCCAUGAAGGCGGCAACUUUCAACAUCAUCAGCUUCUUAUCAAGUUUUUCUUUUCUUAAUUUCUCCGUUGGAUUGGUUUGGAUUUUUUUGAUUGAUUUUCUCAACCCAAAGAAAUUUCCGUAAUUUGUCGUGUUGUGUUGGAAGAGUCCUUCUUGUAUUUUGAUUUCUAAUUUUUCUAAUUUGUGUCUUGUUUGCUUUGAAUUACUAAUGUGAAAUGUAACCGAAUAUAUUCUUAUCAAUUUGAAGUGUUAUAUGGUGUUAUUGUUUACUUAUAUUAUAAUUCGUGUGUAUAAAUUAUAUGUGACGGUAUAAUAAUCACUUUGGAAUCAGAAUUGUUAUGAACAAUUUAGUAGUAAAAAGAUGUAAGCAUGCAUAAACACUUGAAACUCAUGAACCAUGUUUCACAUUUUGCGAAUAGGUUUAUUCCUACCCAAAUGAAGGAUAAAAAAGAUGAAAUCGAAAAUGAUACCGAGCUAGGUCAUAUAAUGAGUCAAACAUAAUAUUAUAUAUCGUCGUCAUCUAUAUAAGUUAAAUUUAAAUUUUUUUACUUACAAGUGAAAAAAAAAAUCAUUGAAUCAUAGUAUUAGUUGGUAUCAUAAAUGUUUUUUGGGAAAUCACGUUGCACCGGCAGUUGUGAGGUGUCGAAUACAAAGCCCUUUGCAGGAUAUUUAAUUUCAGUCGACUAUAUGUCAAGUUGUUUACUUCGCUUUGUUCAUUCUUUUCAUCUUAAUUAGUAUAAAGGCUGAAUCCUGAUGAGUCGGUCACAUGGAUACACCUCCCUGUCUUUGCCUGUCUCCCUCUCCAUCUCUCUCAUGCCGCAUGGCAUUACUUGAAGAUUAAGUUGUUAUGGGACUCACGUGCGAAGUUGUUCUUUUAUUUUCAUUCGUGGACAAUAAUUUAUAUGGCACGAGUAUAUUAUCAUAAUUUCAUAAAUGCUUUGUGCUAAUGAAAUAUCUGUAAAUUUUUGUCCACACAUCUUUAUUUGACACAUAACACUAAGUGAUUGCGGGCAUUUGUCAAGUAAAUUGUUUUCCCAUCCAUGAGCUACCUAGGAGGGGCAUUGAUGAUUUAUAGUGUAAGUGUAAAUGAAAUCAGAAAGUUCUAAAUUUGUUGGUUUAUAAAUGCUUUUGAAACUGCUUUGAUUUUAUGAUUAUAACAGAUGAAGCAUCCUUUGUCAGCAGUUGAAAUGGAAAUGUGACCGACUUUGUUGGCUUGGGUUAGCAUUUUGGCAAACUUGGAGUUGCACAUGGCCUUAGGCAUCAAGCACAGGUAUGUCUGCUCGUGCCUUUUCUAAUUGUCAAAUGUCCAAAGGUCACAUAUUUGCCUCAUAGGGCUCAUUGUUCAAGACUGACGUUAUUGUGACGGUAUCUCAAACCAAUUACGCAUUGAUAAUAUGGCAUCUUUGUUGUGUGAAAGUCAUUUUCUUAUUGUUCGGGCCCACAAAUCGUUUUGAGAUUUGCCAAAAGAUUUGAAAGUUGAAGCUGUAAGUUGUAAAUAAUUGACAAUUCAAAGGAAAAGUUAGGACUAUGUGAAUAUAUUCAUUCAAUAGAAGCCAUCAACGGGAAGAUGUUACAGAGGGAGAAUCCACUAAGGAUUCCAUGCUUAGGAUAUGAUUACUUGUAUCUCAAGUCACUUGUAUUCUUAUAAAUCAAGUAACUUACUUUUAUCUCAAGUCACUGACUUGUGUAAAUAUGUACAUUAAGAUAUGAAUAUAAUCUCAUAAUUCUACAUGGUAUCAGAUCAUAGUUCUAUAAAUCAAACUCCUUUGGUACCUUGUUAGCCGAAAAUAAACUCUUACUGUGCGUGUAGGGAAAAAUGAUCAAUGGGGAGAGUUUGUCGAAGAACGCGUUCAAUAUGCUAGUCCAAUGUGAACUCUUCCAGCCCUAUCAGCAAUUCAUUCCUCUUCGAUGCAGAUCAACCCCAAUACAAUUUCAAAGGUCGAAAGUCAAUUCAAAAUGCAAAAUAGAAGCAUAAGAUCAAUUUUCAAAAGUAUAUAAGAACAGCCUUAAUUUAUAGCCAAAUGGAGCAAAGAGUAAGAAGAUAACUAGUGAUUUCUAAAAACCAUUGAGCUUUGAGGUUACUGCAACAUACUAAUAUAAAGCUCCAAGUCCGGCCUGGAUCCUUGUCCAGUGGAAGACAUAUUUUGAUGGAUACUUUGGAAAGUUUUGCAUCAGAUACCUCAGUGAAGACCGGAGUAGUCAUCGGUAUCUUCUCCAUUUUAGAGUUCUUUCCAAAGAUGUACCUAAACAGAUUCCAUCAUCCAAAUCAUCCUAAGUGAAGAAAAGAAAAACAUGAUUGGCUAGGGAUAACGCCUCACCCAGUAACAUCACCGAAACCAGCUGACCCGGACAGCUUGUCUACUGAUCCCUCUACUACUACUUAAGGUGCAUACUUUCUUAUCUGUGGAAUCAAGACAUGCAUGGUAAUUCAGUUUUAGGCACCAAACGUGGCUUUAAGUUUUUACAAAUACAACAUGACUCGUUCGGGGAAAAGCAAACACACUUCAUAGUUUGCAGUUCUUUUUAGAAUAUCAUAUUUGGGUGUUUCCAAGUCUGGAGUUUUGUAAAUCCUCAGCUGCAGAGGUUUUACAUACAAAAAGGGUAAGAAUCUGUACAAAUGUUCAAGGGUUAAGGUUUUUGAAAGUGAAUACUGAGACUGCAGUACCUGCUUGAAUUCAUCCAACAAACCUUCUAAAGAAAAGCAGUCAUUCUUCUUUAUAGAAUCCCAGAAGUCCUACACAUCAAAGGAUGGUGAACUACUAACGUUGUUAUAGAUAGUACCAAUACGCCUCUGGACAAGACCUUUGUUCUUUAUUGCAGUAUCGACAUUACCAAAUCAAUACAAAUAAUGACAUUAGACGGGAGUUCCUACCGCAUGGCUGCAGAACUUCCCGGUCUCGGGUUUGAUGCCCAUGACAGAGGUUCCUGUGAAGAUCAAUUCUGGUCUACAGGGUAGAGGGAUGAGCUUCGUAACCGUAGUCCACCUUGUAGUGAUUUCAUUUGGUCCUGUCUAUAGCAACUUUGUCAGUAAAACCGGGCACCGUCCACAUAAAAAGUGUAGCAUUCUUGAAGUGUGAUCAACACGAAUGCUGCAAUUACAAAUUUCAACUGUACCAUUUCAUUGAAGGUAUUGUUUCUCUAAUUCAAAUAGUUACUUGGCCUGCCCCAACAACGUCAACGAAAAUAAAAAUGAUAAAAUCUAAAAUGCUAGUUACACUAUUUCAUUAGUUUUGUGAUAAAACGAUAUUCUAAUAUACUCCAAUUACAGGGAAGAAAAUUCGAACUUAAGUGCAAACAAGCAAACAUGUUGUCGUGACCAAUUGAGUAAGCAAAAACGGUUACCUGUUUGACCCAGUGCAAGUGCAACUUGGGCAUGAAUACAAUCUUCAAGAAGGCUAUGUUCAACAGGUACCCAGUUAUAGCGCAUGCUUAUUGAUUGGGUCCCUGAACUUCAGACGCUCAUCAUACGCCGUCCGAUCAAUUCCCUGAUCAUCAAAAAGAUGAACCAUAUCCUCGUACGAAAGCCCUACUAACCGUUCCACGUCAAACGUUGAUUUUGGUGGGCUUUGGUCCACUAAGCUUAGCCUAACAGCCCAUUUGGAGUUUUGGGCUAAGUGUUUGAGUUUCAAAGGUUCAGGGCGUGGGCAGGGCAGUAGUUUGGACUUAGUGGUGCUCAGCCGCCGGAAACUGACACACGCGGCGGGGAUUAAUGGCCGGAAGAUUUGAUCUGAAAGUUUUUUGCUGAUCAUUUUGUGGCUGAGCUGCUAAGGUUCUGGUGGUUGUGUUAGUUCUGGUCGAAUGCAGGACUUUGGUGUUGGCAUAUGAAAUCUUAGCCAAAAAUUGAUUGGUUGGUAUUGAGUUUUGAAAAGUGUCAUCCACCUUACCAUUCAGAAUCCCAGAUGGAUGUGUCGGUCGUCUGAUAUUUAGAGCUCAUUUAGUUGUGCUUUUGAAAUAGCCAAAAACGCUUUCUAAUAAGUAAAAAUGCUAAGUUAAAAAAAAUGGUUGUUUAGCAAACAUUUUAAAAGUGCUUUUAGCUAGAAGUAGAAGCAUUUUCUAAGAAGCACUUUCUAAGAAGCACCUAGGAGGUGCUUCCUCUUAAAAGUGUUGCACAAAGAAAACAAGGGAAGCAUUUUGCUCCCUUUAAUGAUUUUUUUUCAAUUCCAAAAUUAUCCCUAUUUUUUUAAUUUGCAAAGUCUAAAAUGCCAUUCCACUUUAUAAAAUCAUCAAAACUACCAUCACCAAUUUUUUCUAGGGUUGCACGUUGAAAACCCAAAAGGUUUUUUAUUUUCAGAUUAUUUUGAAGGCUAGAGUAGUCCACUUGGUCUUUAUCUCUUCCUCUCCUUCUUCCCAAAUCUCUCUACAUCUUCAUAACCUGAAAUUUUUGUGGAGGUAUGUAUGUUAUUUUUUAUUUUAAAUCUGUAUGUGGUAUGAGAAUUUUAUUGAUUAUAUAUUAUUUUUGUUGAAAUCGUUGUGAAUUGACUCGAAAGCAAUAAAAUAUGGCCUCAUAAUUGAAACAAAAAGGUGAAAACAUAAACCAAACCUUCGGCCUCCUGUUGAUAGAGAAUAAGUGUCCCCUGCAUAUAUGGAUCUUUAAAACAUCACCUUGUUUAAGAGAAAAGAAAGCCCUCUCUUAUUAUUAUCUGUAGCAUUAUAUGGAUCUUUAAAAUACAGAUCAAGAGUUCCAACCUUAUGAUGGUGAUGAUGAGCUACUUCCACCUGGACAUGAGGAAGAUCAUAGAGAUGAAGAGAUUGUUGAUGAAAAUUUUACUCAUAGGCGAGAGUUAGAUGUUGAACGAGAAAAAAUUGCUAAUCUUCUUAUAUCUAGUUAACACUUAUUUCACAUUUAAUUGUCAUGCAAUUAUAAUGUGUGUUUUUUUUUAAGAAACAAACAUAUAUUCUCAAUAAGUAUGUAUCAUUUUGUUAAUGAUCAUUAUUUCUUUAAUUGAAUUUUCAUCAACACUUUAUCAAGUUGUAUGCUAAUUAUAUACAAAAAAUACUUAUGAAAACAUUAUUGAGAAUUAUUAAGGAAAACCGCUUUUUUAUUUGAUAACCAAACACUCUAUUUAAUAUAUAAAACGCUUCUAUACAAUACAAAAAACACUUAGUGGUUGCAUACCAAACAACAAACUGCUUCAUCAUAAAAGCAUUAGGCAAAAGUGCUAUAAACAAAAAGUGCUAAUGAGUAAAAGCGUUUUCUAGAGUAGCACAUCCAAACGAGGACCCAUCUAAAAUGAAUGGUCUCCAAUGCCUUUAUGUGGCAACAGAUGGACAUUAGAAUUCCAUUAGUGUAUAAACAAUGUUAAUGGGGUUUCCUUGCUUAGAGAUGACGUUGUAUGGUAGUAAUAUACUAAGUCAAUCAUGUACUGUUAUGUCAAAAAUUAAUAACAGCAUAGAUAAGUUGUAUGUCCACAAAGGUACAACGUUUUGCUCAUAAUCUAUGGCUAUACUCUAUAUUCCAAAGCAUUUAAGCAAAAGAGGGAGGGUCAAGGUUGUUGAGAAGAAUCCCACAUUGAUAGAAGAAGAGAUUUUGCAUGAACUUAUAAGUAAAUAGGGAUACUCCUCAUAUUAUCAAUUUUUAUGGUAGAACCUCAACUUUAGUCAUGGUACCAGUGCUAGGUUGUCACAGGUUUGAAGCUUAACCCCUGCACUGGCUCCACGUCACCCUGUUUGUGUUGUUCACAUGUUAGGCUUAAAAAUUCCUCAUACAUGAGGGGGCGCGUUGAGAAUGAAUUCCACAUUAAUGAAAAGAGGGACAUUGCAUGAACUUAUAAGUUGCCUUACUCCCCCUCUUUCCAUAUUGUCGAUUGGUUAUGAUAGAACCUCAACUUUCUUCAAAGGCAUCCUUUAAUCUAUGACCAGCUCCAUCACUAAAUGUUAAAAUACAUCACAGUGCAUGUAUGAUUUGAAAUAUAGUUAGAGUGUUAUUCUAGAUGCUGCACCUGCAUAUCUGGUAUUAGUGCAUGCAGACAGAAUUUAUCCCAGAUUAAGCUGGACCACGUUAAUGAUAUAUAGUGGGCAUAUUUCACAUGCAUGCAGUGGAAAAACACACCUUUGAAGCACAACUCCACACUCCCACCACGCGACGAAUUGUGGAGAAACAAGCCCAACAAACUUCUUCACUCUAUAUAUAUGGCGACAUACAAAGCUCACUUAUUCAUAUCGAAUCCAAACUUCAUAAACCAAACUCCAAAUUUGCUCUUGUUCUUUCUUUGAUUUCAAAUACAGUCCAAACUAGAGCAAAAAAAGAUAUGUUUCCCUUUCAAAAUUGAUGAUAAGUGCCUAAUGGUGCAAGAAGCAUGGAGAUGACGACGACGAUAGUGAUGACGGAUAUGAUAUUGCCCUGGCAGCAUGCAUGGAAGGUGUCCGCAAUGACAAUGAUUUGGAUUAUGGCUAUGCUACAGCAGCAUCCAUUGAAGGUGACAAUGACAACGAUGAUGGUGGUGGUUAUGAUUAUGCACUUGCUGCAUAAGAAAUAAUUAGUACUAGUUUUCUUUUUCAUGUUUUAAUGCAGGCUAAUUAGAUGCUAAUUAUUGGUCAUGGGAGUGCAAAGAUUGUCAGUUUGUCAAAGAAAUUCAACAAAUUGUAUUAUAACACUUAAUGUAUCCGACUGUAUUUUUGACAUACUAAAAAAUUUCUCAUAGAAGUGGGCAUUUGUAUUAUGUUAACUUUUGACUUCAAAAGUUUUGAUAUAUAUUUCAUACUUGUUUACAAGAGAGAAGGCCUCUUAGGCCAUCUCCAACCAAAGGAGGGCCAGAUGGAUCGUUUUAGCCCUAUAGUCCUUCAACAAAUUAAUAUUUUAAUGAACAGUGCAGAGCCAUAUUUCUUACCAUCUCCAACUGAGGGGCCAGAUGGCCAUAGGCCAAACAUAGCCCUGUGACAAAAGAUCAUCUCCAACCGAGGGGGCAAAAGGUCAAACAUAAUUUAUUUUUUAAAUUUAAAAACUACAACAACUUAAAUUUAAAGUUUAUAAUCAUCAUCCGCCAUUGUAGGAGUAGUAUAGUCGGAGGUAAACAAUUGCUAUCGGGCCAUAAUUUCUUUCUUUUUCCUAGCGGAAUAGGCCUUACUUAUUGGAGUGUAAUUCAAAGUGUUCAUUUGCAUAUUCUUAUCGUUCAUCUCUUCUUGUAUUUGUUUGGCCCGUUCUUCAUGCCUAUGGUUCAUUUUUUUCCACGGCAAUGACAUUUUGCUUCGCCAUUAAUCGCAAAGAGGCCGUCAUUUCUUAUUGAAAGGUGAUAUCAUCAUUUGCCUUGCCAUUUUCCUUCAAUUUUCAAGCCUUAUUUUGUCCCAUAGCCCUGGCCCCUAGGUAUGGAACCUUCACCCGAAGACGGAUUUCCUACCCUUGUUUCUUGAAUGGCAGGAGAUCCAUCUUCAUCCCUAUCUACAACUGAGGAUGCAGUUCCAAACAUCAGCGUAUGACCUACUCUAUGUUAUUGUGGAUCUUCAAAUAACACCUACCAUUUACAAAUUUCCCAACUACCAUUAUGUUGAAAGGGUUUCGAGCUGCUCUCCAUAUACAAUUCCUCCGCUUGAUGUACCUAGAAAAUAUAAUUACAAAAAUUAAAGGAAAUUAAUUUAUGAAAUUAAAUGUAAUAUAAUUAAAUAUUUUAAAUAAAUUGUGAAACAUUUACUUUGUCGUAGUAAUUAGCGCCGCUUUCAUGUCUACUUGCGAUUGUUAACAGUGCUUGAUGUCGUUUAUUCAAACUUGGACGAAGAUGUUUCUUCCAUCUUGAAGAACAACUCUCGUGGUUUCGGGUAUUGGUGGAGUGGUGCCUUCGUAUAACUCAUAGUAUUUUUUGAACACACGAGUGCAAAUACCUUCACUUGUUUGAAAACUCCCCCCACACUAUCUUCCGAGACCCAUCUAUAAGCCCUUCAAAGAGCUUCAUCUUCUUUUCGGGUCCAAUCCUUACCUUUCAUUGCAGAUGUGGUCAUUUGAAAAUUAUUGAAAAAUUUGAAGGAAAGAUUAUUGAAAGAGGUAAGAAAAUAAAAUGUGAAGAAUUGAAAUAGAAUGAAGUGAGAUAGUAUGGAAUAGUAAAAAUUAUGUAAGAAAUUGUGUAAGAAUGAUUUAUGUAUUUAUAGGAAAAAAAAGGGAUUUAAAAAAAAAAUUCAAAACCAAUGGUAACUGACGUCAACUACCAUUGGAUUGAAAAUUUUGCCCAACCUGGGCCGGCUGGCUGGGUUGGGCCAGCCUGUUGGCCAUUUUCUCUUUUUUUGCCCAAUGGAGCCUACUAGCUCUUUAACUUGGCCUUUGAUUAAAGAUGAUUUUCGUGUCAUUUUGAAUUAUUUUCGACUCUCUGACCAAUGGGUUGAAAAUUGCCUUAGGGAGAGCCGAAACUAUCCUGACAAGUGGACAAACCAAAAUGAUGAUUACAUGUGGAAACAAAGAAUAGGAAAACACGGAAGAGAAAAACAAGGAAAGUAAAGUGGUGAUGAUUACAACCUAUUAGCUAGUGUGAUGAUUGCAACCUAUUAGCUAGAGUGAUGCUUACAAGCUAGAGUGAUGAUUACAACCCUAUGACUUAACAAGUGGUCUAUACAACAAUCGGUUUUCAAUAUAAUAUAACACUUGUUGUUUUAGAUUAUAUUUCUAAUACAUUGAAUUUUUUUUUACAUAGAAAUGAAAAUAUUAAGAGCAUUAUAAGCACACGGUACUAAUUAAUAAGUUAUCUGGAAGGAUUAAACCCCAAUUAAGAAGAAAAUUAAGAAGAAGAAAAGUAGCCACUCACUAGCAAAGGCAAGGAGAAAGCAAAAGGUGGAAUAUUGGAUUGGGAUGUGAGUGGAGUACACGUAGGCGUUGUUGUAUAUAUCUGGUGCUUUGGCAUUGCUCCAUCCACUUUUUCCUUGCUCUCACUACUACAAAAAGGCCUUACAGUGUUCAUAGAUGGUGUCGAUUUAAUAUAAUACAGUGGCAGACAAGACAGUUAUGACACUAACUGAACAUCACGUUGGAUUUACUGUCGCUUAUAAGCGUCAUAAAAUGUCUACGUCGCUUUUAAACCGACGUAAACAUUUAAUGUCGCUUAUAACCGACAUAUAUUUUAAUAUUUUUUAAAUACUGGCAUCGCUUUAAACAAAACAGUGUCGCUUUUAAGCGACAUAAAGUAUUGUGCUUAAAUAUUUUAUAGCCUGCGUCGGUUCUGAGCGACAUAGAUUUUAGUUUUUUUUAAAUAUCUAUGUCAAAAUGAUAGAUUCACUAACACUUAGAAUUUAUUUAUACUUUCAUUAAAUAUAACAUAAGAUUUUGUGGUAUCUACGUGUAAAUAUUUUAAAUUGAAGAUCGGAUUCAUUCAUUGUAUUCAUAUAGGGUCAAGGAGUGUAGCUGUAAAAACUCAUCUAAAUCAGAGUUAAAAUAACCGUUAAAUCGUGAUUUUUCGUUUAUAACCGUCGAAAAGUUUUGUCCCGUUACUUAAUCUCUAAAUGUUUGUUUUUUUCCAUUUUUGGCGUAUGAGAUCUGGAAGCAUAUAUAAACAAGUUUGAUGGUUAGAUCGUUGAAAUUAGUUUCGUAUAAUGCAUAUCCCAUCAAAACGAUAGAUUCACUAACACUUAUAAUUUAUUUAUACUUCAUUAAAUAUAAUAUAAGAUUUUGUGGUAUCCACUAGUGUAAAUAUUUUAAAUUAAAGAUCGAAUUCAUUCAUUGUAUUCAUAUAGGAUCAAGGAGUGUAGCUGUAAAAAAUCAUCAAAAUCGAAGUUAAAAUCACCGUUCAAUCGUGAUUUUUCGUUGAUAAAUGUCGAAAAGUUUUAUCCCGUUACUUGAUCUCUGAAUGUUUAUUUUUUGCGAUUUUUGGAAUAUGCGAUCUCGAAGGAUAUGUAUCUCAUCAAAAUGAUAGAUUCACUAACACUUAAAGUUUAUUUACACUUUCAUUAACUAUAACAUAAGAUUUUGUAGUAUCCACUUCUGUAAAUAUUUUAAAUUGACGAUCAAAUUAGUUCAUUGUAUUCAUAUAGGAUCAAGGAGUGUAACUGUAAAAAUUCAUCAAAAUCGGAAUUAAAAUAGUCGUUAAAUCGUGAUUUUUCAUUAAAGUGAUGCUAUGUGAAUUUCAAAAAGUAUGUCAGAAGUUGGCAUCGAUUUUAACCGACGCUAGUUUCAUUAAAGCGACGCGAGUUUCAUUAAAGCAACGCUAUGUGAAUUUCAAAAAGUAUGUCAGAAGUUGGCGUUGGUUUUAAUCGACGCUAGUUUCAUUAAAGCGACGUUAUGUGAAUUUCAAAAAGUGUGUCAUAAGUUUGCGUUUGUUAAAUCUCUCUAGACGAUGAAAAUUCGACAAAGGCCACACACGUAUAUAUAAACAGGGGCCGCUUCUAAGUAUUUUCUAGGUAGAAAAUUCUAUAUGUUUCUUAUAUUAUAGAUCAUGAGACAAAUAGUGUAUAUGAAAAUUUUAACUGAUAUUUAUCAUAUGAUGACAUGAGUAAUAAUUUAACUACUAAUUAAAGUUGGACAAAAUUUCAAUGUCUAUCGAAUAACAUGAUUUGUUUAUUACUACACGGUUUCGGAUUUGUCUAAUACUUUAUGUUUAAGGGUAUGCUAUCCACACACCAAUUUUUACUUCUUACACACCCUUUGUUAAUUUAUGUUCAUUGAUGUUAUUCAAUUCAUUCGAUCCGAUGACUGAAAACUAAAAAUAUGUGGAAGAAGUAAAAAUGAGUGUAAAUAUCACACCCCUAUGUUUAAAGAGUGACCUUAAAAAUAAAAAAGUUUAAUUAAAUCAUGCUAAUUUACAAAGUUGCGGAAUGAGAAACAAAAUAAAAAAGAUAGAGCGAGAAAAUUUAAAUGUGAAAGUUGCUAGCAUGAGUUCGUAAGAGGAAAGCUAACUAUUAGACGUUUCUACCAUAAUAUUGAAAAGCAAAUAUAGCUUUUUCUUUAAUGUGAAUAAAGCAUCAUCUAUCACUUUCAGAGUUUCCAAUAUUAUUCCCACCACAACACACAUUGCCAAUUAUCUCGAUCGUAUUCAUAUAUGAAUCUUUUGCGAAACUUCAAUCUAGCCGUCCAGUGAUCGGAUAGUGGCAUCGUGGUUUUCCACUGGAAACGUCCUUGGUUUUCUUCAAAAUGCAGCUCCUGCUUUUUCACCGUCCUAUUACGUGUCGGUAGGGUUACAUGACCACUUUUGUCUCCCUGGGGCCUUGACCGUAUGUGAUUUGCUUUCAGAUGAGACUUAAAAGAGUAUUUCACCAAUGAAAAUAAGUUCUAAGUCAACAAAUUAAUCACCAGUCAGGUCCCCAUAGAGGGAUACAGAUAGCAUUUUGGUCCAUUUCAUCUCAUUUUAAUGGACGCGGAUGACUGGCUUUUGUUGUUUGAAGGAGCUUGNNNNNNNNNNNNNNNNNNNNNNNNNNNNNNNNNNNNNNNNNNNNNNNNNNNNNNNNNNNNNNNNNNNNNNNNNNNNNNNNNNNNNNNNNNNNNNNNNNNNNNNNNNNNNNNNNNNNNNNNNNNNNNNNNNNNNNNNNNNNNNNNNNNNNNNNNNNNNNNNNNNNNNNNNNNNNNNNNNNNNNNNNNNNNNNNNNNNNNNNNNNNNNNNNNNNNNNNNNNNNNNNNNNNNNNNNNNNNNNNNNNNNNNNNNNNNNNNNNNNNNNNNNNNNNNNNNNNNNNNNNNNNNNNNNNNNNNNNNNNNNNNNNNNNNNNNNNNNNNNNNNNNNNNNNNNNNNNNNNNNNNNNNNNNNNNNNNNNNNNNNNNNNNNNNNNNNNNNNNNNNNNNNNNNNNNNNNNNNNNNNNNNNNNNNNNNNNNNNNNNNNNNNNNNNNNNNNNNNNNNNNNNNNNNNNNNNNNNNNNNNNNNNNNNNNNNNNNNNNNNNNNNNNNNNNNNNNNNNNNNNNNNNNNNNNNNNNNNNNNNNNNNNNNNNNNNNNNNNNNNNNNNNNNNNNNNNNNNNNNNNNNNNNNNNNNNNNNNNNNNNNNNNNNNNNNNNNNNNNNNNNNNNNNNNNNNNNNNNNNNNNNNNNNNNNNNNNNNNNNNNNNNNNNNNNNNNNNNNNNNNNNNNNNNNNNNNNNNNNNNNNNNNNNNNNNNNNNNNNNNNNNNNNNNNNNNNNNNNNNNNNNNNNNNNNNNNNNNNNNNNNNNNNNNNNNNNNNNNNNNNNNNNNNNNNNNNNNNNNNNNNNNNNNNNNNNNNNNNNNNNNNNNNNNNNNNNNNNNNNNNNNNNNNNNNNNNNNNNNNNNNNNNNNNNNNNNNNNNNNNNNNNNNNNNNNNNNNNNNNNNNNNNNNNNNNNNNNNNNNNNNNNNNNNNNNNNNNNNNNNNNNNNNNNNNNNNNNNNNNNNNNNNNNNNNNNNNNNNNNNNNNNNNNNNNNNNNNNNNNNNNNNNNNNNNNNNNNNNNNNNNNNNNNNNNNNNNNNNNNNNNNNNNNNNNNNNNNNNNNNNNNNNNNNNNNNNNNNNNNNNNNNNNNNNNNNNNNNNNNNNNNNNNNNNNNNNNNNNNNNNNNNNNNNNNNNNNNNNNNNNNNNNNNNNNNNNNNNNNNNNNNNNNNNNNNNNNNNNNNNNNNNNNNNNNNNNNNNNNNNNNNNNNNNNNNNNNNNNNNNNNNNNNNNNNNNNNNNNNNNNNNNNNNNNNNNNNNNNNNNNNNNNNNNNNNNNNNNNNNNNNNNNNNNNNNNNNNNNNNNNNNNNNNNNNNNNNNNNNNNNNNNNNNNNNNNNNNNNNNNNNNNNNNNNNNNNNNNNNNNNNNNNNNNNNNNNNNNNNNNNNNNNNNNNNNNNNNNNNNNNNNNNNNNNNNNNNNNNNNNNNNNNNNNNNNNNNNNNNNNNNNNNNNNNNNNNNNNNNNNNNNNNNNNNNNNNNNNNNNNNNNNNNNNNNNNNNNNNNNNNNNNNNNNNNNNNNNNNNNNNNNNNNNNNNNNNNNNNNNNNNNNNNNNNNNNNNNNNNNNNNNNNNNNNNNNNNNNNNNNNNNNNNNNNNNNNNNNNNNNNNNNNNNNNNNNNNNNNNNNNNNNNNNNNNNNNNNNNNNNNNNNNNNNNNNNNNNNNNNNNNNNNNNNNNNNNNNNNNNNNNNNNNNNNNNNNNNNNNNNNNNNNNNNNNNNNNNNNNNNNNNNNNNNNNNNNNNNNNNNNNNNNNNNNNNNNNNNNNNNNNNNNNNNNNNNNNNNNNNNNNNNNNNNNNNNNNNNNNNNNNNNNNNNNNNNNNNNNNNNNNNNNNNNNNNNNNNNNNNNNNNNNNNNNNNNNNNNNNNNNNNNNNNNNNNNNNNNNNNNNNNNNNNNNNNNNNNNNNNNNNNNNNNNNNNNNNNNNNNNNNNNNNNNNNNNNNNNNNNNNNNNNNNNNNNNNNNNNNNNNNNNNNNNNNNNNNNNNNNNNNNNNNNNNNNNNNNNNNNNNNNNNNNNNNNNNNNNNNNNNNNNNNNNNNNNNNNNNNNNNNNNNNNNNNNNNNNNNNNNNNNNNNNNNUGAUCGAGAUGUCAUCGAUGUAUUGACAAAUAAAUCUGUAAGUACAUUCCUAAUAAAAUUUUGAAUUAGUGCAUCGUACUAGAAAAGCUUAUAUGUAACCUACGUAUGUGUAUGAUAAAGUAAACAACAUUCAUGUGUAAAUAUGCAAUUGCUUUAAGAAGCUCAAUUAGGCAAAAUCACGUAAAUAUAUAUAUGCAAAUUAUCCUUUUUCUUACUCAUUUAACCUUUUUUAACUAACAGGGAACUCGAAAUGUUGAAGGACUCGCUCUACAUUUGCAAAGCUAUGAUGAGGCUAGUUUCAGUACAAAAGCAUUUGCUAAAAUGAAGAAACUUAGACUGCUUGACCUCAGCAGCGUAGAGCUCAAUGGAGAAUACAAACAUCUUCCCAAAGAGUUAAUAUGGCUGAGCUGGGAACGAUGCCGUUUAAAGUCCAUACCAGAUGACUUUUUUAAUCAAGAUAAACUAGUUGUUUUAGAGAUGCGGUGGAGCAAACUGGUACAAGUUUGGGAGGGUUCCAAGGUACAAUGAAUUAUACCUGAUGAUGUUCUAUUUCGAUUUGUUUUUUGGAUUUCUUCUCUUUUUUUAUAACAUCUUCAUUUCAGAUAUUAAUUUCAAUUUUCUUGUGAUUUUUUGCAACAGUCGCUACAUAACUUGAAAACCCUUGAUCUCCACGGUUCCGAUUUCUUAGAGAAAUCACCGGACUUUUCACAGGUCCCAAAUCUUGAAGAGUUGAUAUUGGUAUGGUGUAAUAGUUUGUCCGAGAUUCACCCCUCCAUUGGUCAUCUUAAAAGACUUUCUUUGGUGAACCUUAUGGGAUGUUUUAAGCUUAUUUCUCUUCCAAGGGAUUUCUAUAAAUUGAAAUCUGUUGAGACUCUUCGUCUUACUAUGUGUUUGAAUUUCAGAGAAGUGCAUGAGGAUAUAGGGGAGAUGGUAUCACUGAGAACACUUGAAGCAGAGCAUACAGCCAUAAGAGAAGUACCACCUUCCAUAGUAGGAUUGAAGAAUCUCACUCGUUUAUCUCUGGAGGGUACUGUGAGGGGUAUUCAAUUGCCCCAUUCGUUAAGAGAAUUCAAUCUCUUAUCACGCUAUGAUGAUGCAGUCCCUAAGGAUCUUGACUGUCUAAUUUAUUUACAACAUUUGCAUCUUCAAGGUAAUAAGUUUCAUAGCUUACCAAACCUCAGUGGUCUUUCAAAGCUCGAAACAUUGUGGUUAAAUGGAAGCAAAUAUCUUCGUACAAUCCCUGAUUUACCAACAAAUUUGAAAGUUCUAUUUGCCGAUGCUUGCCCUGCAUUGGAAACAAUGCCAGACUUUUCAGAAAUGUCAAAUAUGAGAGCACUGAGUGUAAGUGAUUCACCCAAACUCACUGAGGUUCCAGGCUUGGAUAAGUCAUUAAACUCCAUGGCGUGGAUUGACAUGAAAAGGUGCACUAAACUCACAGUUGAUUUUAGGAAGAACAUUCUACAGGUAUCUCUCUCUCCAUCUCAUUGCCUUCCUAUCAUGCGCAUACAUGUAUACAUAUACAUAUAUAUACAUAUAUAUAUGACACUUGUAUUGUAUAUAUAGGGAUGGACUUCUUGCGGAUUUGGAGGCAUUGUUCUCCAUGGGAAUUAUGUUCCUGAUUGGUUUGAGUUUGUCAACAAGGGUACUAAAGUCAGUUUUCAUAUUCCCCCGACCGAUGAUCGUAAUUUUGAAGGGCUAACUCUGUUCUGCUUGUUCCGCGUAUACAAAUGGAAACAUUUACCUCAUCUUGACAUUACUGUUAUAAGUAAUACCAAACUUACUAAGUUGCAGGCCUACAGAUCCAAAGGAGGUGCUGGGGCUGAGAAUUAUGAAGAUGAUUAUCUUUGGCAAGGACAACUCUCGAACAAUGAGCUCAAUUUGCAAGGCGGGGAUAAAGUUGAUAUAGUUUUUGAAGAUCCAUGGGCGAAUGGGGAUUAUUCUGUUAAAAUAAUGAGAACAGGGGUUAAUCUAGUAUGGGACAAACUUAUGAAGGAAAAUAUGCAUGAUUUUAGGGACACUAAAUAUCUUUUUGACUGAGAUCCAGAUGAGGGAGGACCAAGCCAUGACGCAUCUGAUAAACUCGUUUGUGCAGAAUGAAGGUGAAAGCAUCACAGUCAAUUCGUCAAACACCUCACCAUUUUUCGCUUUCCUAGUUUGAUAACGGAGGCUAGUCCAUAUUUCAUGUUUUUUUUUCAGAUUCCUAUGAUUUUUUCAGUUAGCUUUUUUGAAUUUUGAAUUUAUUGCAUCAAGUAACAUUUCACAUUACAACAAUCAAUAUAAGACUUUCACCCAAAUAUUUGAUAAAUACUACUCGAAUUUGCCCAAAUACUUGCCCUUGUUCCGCCACAUAUUCAAGGAAUUCACUUUUAAGGUUAGAAAGAAAAUCAAUGAUAUCCUCAAGAUGCCAAUCAAUGGUUUCUACGACCUUUUCAUUAAUCUUGACUUGCCCUGACAUGUUAGCAGAAGAUUGACUCUACAUUUACUAAAAGAUUUAUUACCUUUUCUAAUACCUUUGCAGUCGAUGAACUCGUUUGCGCAUUAAAAAAACAGUGUUCUGUUGGAUUCUCCAAAACUUUAGAAGGAAGUUGUUUGUAAGAUUGUAGAGCUGUUCCCGUUAAGAUAAAAAAUCUCAUUUGCAAGACUCAGAAAUGAUGGAUUGCUCAAUAGAAUAUCUCGGAAAUUUUCUCCACUUCCCUUCCACUCUGAGUCUCUGACUGAUGAGUUCAUAAGCUUCAGUCUCUGAUUUUAGUUUCUACUAGUGAUGCUGCAGGUUUUAAAACCAUAUAAAACAUGUCAAAAGUUCUAAGUAUAUAUACGAUAUGCAAUAUUUCCAUACAUGUGAUUCAUGUCUUCUUAACCAUUGACAGAACAAACUGAAAAAAUGAAAAGCAAAAAUAUGAAUUGUACAUGAAAUUGUGUUCAAUCCAAAAACUACAAUUCAGAAGGAUAAAUAUACAUGCGCUUUGCAAUUUCAUUUCUCAGUUCUACUACUGCUACUUGUUCUAAACACGGUCAACUUCGACUGUUCCCUACUUUAUGAGUGCUAAUUACAUCCCUUACCUGAAAACCAAUUGCAAACACCAGGCCAUUAUCAGUUUCUUUGGCCCUUACAAAACACAUUUGCUACAUCUAAAUGUUGUGUCCUUCUGUAAACGCCAUCAAGUUAAGAUGUCACACAGACACAGUAAAAAAAAUAAAUGAACACAAUAAAUAUAGCUUACAUAUGUUUGUGGACUUCAAUUUAAAAAAAAAAAAAAAAGAGAACUUUUUGUUGGGGUAACAAACUCUAUCGGACUUACAAAAAGAGUAUCUAUUACGACACAACGAGAAAAAACUCUUGUUCAGCAAAUCAGUGCAAAUGUAGCUAAACCACCAAAAUUCUAAUAUUGAAAGCUACGGUUUCACCUUGACCAAUAUACAUAUCAAGAACAAAAAUUACCUGACAGAGUAAAGUGUGAUGAGAAUAAAAGGAAUGACAAAGUCAACAAGACCCUCCUCUUCCCCUCCCUCUACUACUCUGCUGUCCCCUUCCUCCUCUUCCUCUCCCUUCAUAAUCUCUGUCAUCUUCUUUUUGGUAGCUAAACAUGCUCAUUUUAAUAUUCUCUGCAUCCACCACAUCAUGAGAACCCUUUUGUACCUGAAGUUGCAGCACAAUAACGUCAGAAAUCUUGCAAUACAACAAUAAUACCAAUUUUAAUGAUCAGAAGAUGCUGACACGCUGACAUGAUAAUCAUCCAAAUCAAAUUGAUUUUGGAGCUGCCGUGCAAGUUCCUCCUCACGACAACUACUUGUACAGGCACCUCCAAUUGAAGGCUUUGCCUGGCUUUUUUCUUUUCUCAUACAUGCAAAGUGAACACCACGGGCUCUUCCUCUUGCCUCCCGUUCCCCCCAAACUGUCUGCCUCUUGAAUGCUUGUCAUCCCGGUUUCGAUGACUCAUUUUUUGAGGAAGCUUUUGUGCGGCUGCCUGGUUUUGAACAGGGAUUGCUGUGGAAGCCAUGAAUAUAUCAAUAUGAAAUUACAAAGUGAAAAAAUGUAGAACAUUUAUAAUAAAUAAAUAAAUAAGUUUAACUAAAUGUGUUUCUUGUGUGAUUCAAGUAUAAGUCCAUUACAGACAAAACUUAGCAGAAAUGUGGUUUUCCCUCUGUUUGUACCAUACUUGACUAAUCCCGAAACCUGAGAGUUUCUUCUCAACAAAAGGCCCUUCAAUGGCGAACAAUGCGACAUCAGCUCGCAUAAAGCUUUCACUGCCGACACUGUAACAUCAGAAGCCAUCACAAAAGAAUGUGUGUCAAUAUAGCAAAACUAGAAACUCUCUCUGCUAUAAUAGGGAUCAAUUCAUCCACAAUAAUGCGAAUGUCAUUUUGUACUAAACUUAUUCAUAGAACUCACUAAAAACCAGAGCUGUAGCUUGUACUUUCAGGUAAAUUAAGAGAACUCUCUACUCGUGAGCCAAUCUGGUGAACACGUACAUCUGUGUUUGCUUUCCUCUUUCUAUUGCUUAACUUAUGGUCACCAAGCAACAAGCUUAGGUUGACGCUUGUUAAUCAACAUUUCGCCGUUGUGGGCGGCACGGUGGAACUUAUUCUUUUUUGGGCUUGUCACAUACAAGCACCUAACGAAGCCAAAAAUGUUAUGUGACAAACGGAUCCAGAUGAAGAAACAACAGGUUGCAUGAAGAACUCGGAAUAUCAUGGGUUUGCUGUGCAAUCAACUCUCUCUGCCCUCAAGGAAACAUCACAAUGUAGCUAACUUUAAGCCGGAGAGUUUCUCGAGUGAACGUCGUUUCCUAAGCCUCGAUAAUCCUUCUCUGGCGACUCGUCUCCAGAGGAAUCGGCAACCACUUUAUUGGUGACGUAUUAUCACUCUGUACCGAGAAUGACGAAAACGGCGAUUCAGGUACACAGGGCCUUUUGACAGGGGACAAGCUACUCUUCCCCCAACUUCCUGGUGACGCAACGUACGCUGCACUACAAUUCGAGUCUUACCACCGACAGUAAGGCUCAUUUGAGAGAGCAAAGGAAAGAUCACAAUAUCUCCUACACCCUCUUCACGCCGAUGGGUACAUCAGGAACCGAUGAUCAAAACUUAUGCAUCAUGUUUCAAACCUUCCAGCCGAAGUCAUUACCUCUCCGUCCCCAGGAGACAUUCUCUCCUACGCUGUCGCAAAGAGAUCCAGACCCUUCCCACUCGGGGCUUUCACUGCAGCGACGUGAACUGUUUCAUUCACAGCACCAGCACCCGCAAACGAAGAACAGGGAAGGAAGGGUGUCCAACAAGGACCAACCAAACUGCCGUGAAUAGGGAAGGCACAUCCAUCAAGCGGAAAUCGGGUUGUUCAAGCUGAUUCUCUAAACAGCAAGGACGCCGAGGUCUUCGCUUCGCAGUCAAUUCAAGGCCAAUUGUCAGCAUUCUAGCCCACUUCAAUUUAAUGAAUACAAAACAAUGGACCGGUAUCAAGGGCAAAUGAACUCUCGUCGCAGGCUCUGCAGGAUAUGUCAAACAAGUCAAUAUCAGCUUCGAAACUGCAAUAUGUGCAUGUACCCACAUGGGUAGCAGUUCAGUUCUGCAUUAUUCUUAGAAAAUUCCGCACGUGGAAUUGAAGUUCCUUGCUUUCAAGGAUAACGUCUUAGAGAAUCUUCCAAUAGGCCACAAGCUGAACGAAACGAGACAUCACACUCAAGAGGAACCCGAGGGAUCCAAUAUUACCUGCUUCCUCUUCACAUUGAUGUUAUGAUGUGACUCUACACAAGUCAGGGUUUGUUUUAUUUAGCUGCACGACGCUUAUCUCUCCAGGAUAUCGGCUUACCAAAUAUGCUCCCCCUCAGACUAGAAGAGACGUAUGCUCAACACUCUGGGGCUAAAUGGGCGUAUCGUGAACAUCUCCUUCAACACAUAAAAUAAAGCAGUCCGGAAGCAACUGGCAUCAGAGACUCUCGGUCAAUACCAUGUUGUUAUUGGCGAACAAAGAAAGAGCAUUAGAAGAAGCUCAUCUUGAAGUAGAGCUAGUCAUACCCAUGCAUGGAGUCUGUUGCAAUCAACCACCCUACUGAAACUUUCAACCAAGUCUCUAACUAAGGUAUCACAAACUAUGAGGGGAUGGAAUACAACGUUUUUGCCUUCAAUUACGUGGGCAAUGGCGAUUACACGAUUGAGAACCUUCUAUAUAAUGCUGUUUGGCCAGUCCCAAUCCCCAAAAGAAUGAAAUCUGAAAGCCAAUAACUAUCAAGACAAUCUUCAAGGCCUUUAGUCUGAUUAAACGCUUGAAAGGCACCUAUCUCCAGCUUCUAAUCUCAGCAAUUACUGGCAGGUGGCAGCAGAUGUGCUACUUCUUCAAAGCACUCAAGGCACAUGGCGGAGGAAUGUGCCAAAGGCAUCAGGAACUCAAAGAGAACAUGAGUAAAGCCCCUCUGCUCUCUCCAAACAGAAGUUGUGACACUCUCUCAUCAUCUAUCUGAUCAACAGCAGCAAGCGCUUGGUUAUUCGCGAAGGAAUGGACAGUGGUGUCGAACGGCCCGUCUACUACGCUAGCAAGGCCCUACAAGAUGCGGAGACACGAUACUCUAACAUUGAGAAAUUAGCUUCAGCAUUGGUCAUGUCUGCUCGGAAACUUCGCCUUUAUUUCCAAGCACACGCCAUCAUCGUGCUUACCAAUCACCCUCUUCGACAGAUACUCCAGAGUCCUGACACGUCUGGACGAAUGAUCAAAUGGGCGAUAGCAUUGGGUGAGUUUGACAUCUCCUACCAACCAAAACCAGCCGAAAAAGGUCAAGCAGUAGCAGAUUUCAUCGCCGACUUCACAUAUCCUGUUGACAUUGCUUCUACACCUGAAGCAGUAGCUUCAUUACCAUCGGAAGCUCAGAAAGAAAGUAGAAUCAACGACCCCAGCAUGGAGAGUCUGUAUGUUGAUGGCUCAUCCAACCAACAGGGCUGCGGAGCAGGAUUAGUCCUCACUACCCCCGACAAAGUGGCGAUGGAAUACGCUCUUCGUUUCAAAUUCAAGGCAUCGAACAACGAGGCCGAAUACGAAGCCCUUCUAGCAGGCUUGCGUUUGGCCAAACACCUUGGGGUUAAACGAAUUGAUAUCUUCAGUGCCUCCCAAUUAGUGGUCAACCAAGUCACAAACAACUUUGAUGCUAAGGAUAGCUCCAUGGCAGCAUAUCUUGCGCAAACGCGACUUUUGCUCAAGCACUUCCACUACCAGAUCACCCAAGUUCCUCGAGCGGCAAACAGUCAUGCAGACGCUUUGGCUCGCCUCGCCUCGGCAGUGGAAGACAAGAUUGGGAGAAAAAUUCAUGUCGAAUUGUUGGCAGAACCAAGCACCAUGGUCGCGAAGGUGUACAAUUUACAACAAGAAGAUAGUUGGAUCACCCCAAUUUAUAAAUUCCUUGCUCAUGGCACCCUCUCAAUUGACAAAGUCCAAGCUAAGCAGAUUCGAUACAAGUCUGCCCGCUACCUGAUCAUUAAUGACCAACUCUACAAGCGCGGUUUCACCCUGCCAUACCUAAGAUGCCUUACACCUGCGGAGGCGAAAAUUGUCCUUCGGGAAAUACAUGAAGGAGUCUGCGGAGAUCAUGCUGGGUCUCGAUCCCUAGCUCACAAGACUUUUCGCCAAGGAUACUAUUGGCCAACACUCCACCAAGAUGCCAUCAGAAUAUCUCGCUCAUGUGAUAAGUGUCAACGCUACGCAACUAUCCCUCACUCCCCUCCCGAGCCGCUCACUCCUAUGAUCAGCCCUUGGCCCUUCGCCCAAUGGGGACUUGAUUUGAUCGGCCCAAUGCCUGCAGGGAAAGGCAAGGUCCGCUAUGCAAUCGUUGCAGUUGAUUACUUCACAAAGUGGGCUGAAGUAGAACCCUUGGCAACCAUUAUUGAGGGAAAAAUAGAAGACUUCGUAUGGAAGAACAUCCUCUGCAGAUUCGGCAUUCCCAAUGCGAUAGUCACGGAUAAUGGGCGGCAGUUCGACAACAAGAAGUUCAAGAUGUUCUGCUCUAAGUUCAACAUCAACUUAUGUUUUGCCUCUCCAGCCCAUCCCCAGUCUAACGGACAAGUCGAGGCCGUUAACAAAAUAAUCAAGCGCACUCUGAAAACUAGCUUGGACAAAGCUAAAGGUUGUUGGCCAGAAUUCGUACCCCAAGUCCUUUGGUCAUACCGCACUUCAUAUCGGACUUCCACAGGAGAAACUCCAUUCUCACUUGCUUUUGGUACAGAAGCAGUUGUCCCAGUUGAGCUUGAGCAAGCAACAUACCGAAUCCAGAACUACAUACAGAGUGAGAACGACAAGCAACUCACCCUCAACCUGGAUCUAGUCGAGGAACACAGAAAUCAGGCUCACCUAAGGAAUGUCGCCUACAAGCAGCGCAUCUCCAACUACUACGACUCAAGGGUCAAACCUCGCUCUUUCAAAGUGGGAGACUGGGUACUGAAGAAAAGAUUACUCUGUGAUACAGUCCCGAGUGAAGGAACACUCAGUCCUAACUGGGACGGACCGUUCGAGGUCGUCGGCAUCAGUCGCCCUGGCUCCUACAAGCUCAGAAACUCUGACGGCAAGACCCUUGGCCAUCCAUGGAAUGCUGACCACUUGAAGUACUAUUACAAAUAAGACUCACAUUGUACAAGUGUUAAGCUACAGCCGUUCGGCAUCCUAUGUAACAAAGACCAUUUGGUAUGAAUUCAAUAAAGAGGUGAUUUAGCCAACUCGGCCAUAAACUCUUUUCCAUUCUGAGCAAUGAAACACUCAAGUGUUGAAGCUUCAACGCAAAUGUUUCCAAUACAAAACAAAAUCUAAGUAUGUGUCAACAAGACUAUACAAAGGAUCUACAUCAUACAUUCCAACACAUUCAUACAUAAACAUCAUAUAUUCCAACACAUUCAUACAUAAACAUCAUACAUUCCAACACAUUCAUACAUAAACAUCAUAUAUUCCAACACAUUCAUACAUAAACAUCAUACAUUCCAACACAUUCAUACAUAAACAUCAUACAUUCCAAUACAUUCAUACAUAAACAUCAUACAUUCCAACACAUUUAUGCAUAAACAUCAUACAUUCCAACACAUCCAUACAUAAGCCAACUGUGCUUCGAAAGGGUUCAACACACUUUGUGUCAUUCGACAUUUGCCACAAUGUGCCUCGACACCUUGCCCUUAUUCUCACCAACUAGGUGAUGAAGGAACUCACCUUCGUACCACCAACUAGGUGAUGAAAUGUACAACCCGUACUCUAAUAUUAUUUGGAAACUUGCCACCCUUAUCACCAAUCAGGUGAAGAAGGAACUCAUCUUCAUGCCACCAACCAGGUGAUGAAAUGUACAACGCGUACUUUCCUUCAUGCCACCAACCAGGUGAUGAAAUGUACAACGCGUACUCUCCUUCAUGUCACCAACCAGGUGAUGAAAUGUGAUGAAAGGUGAUUAAGGAAUUCACAUUCGUACCACCAACCACAUGAUGAAAACAACCUACCAUUCAUUCCAUUAACCAGAAGACGAGUGGUACAACUUGUACAUGUGAACUCCUAGCAUUCACAAAUAAUAAAAAACCAUCAAGAUUUACAACUCAACUAGGGGAGCACUUAUGCCUAACAAGAGCUAUAGUCACCAACAGAGUCUUAUUGCAAGCCAACAAUGGCUUCAAUGCAUGGUAUACGAAGAUCAAGCUCUUCAGCCCUCUUGCAUCUGCUUCAGACAUUUCUCCUCUGUAACAAUGCAAACACUACAACUCAUAGAACGCUUCAAACGCUUUUGAUCAAGACUGUUCGAAGCAAAUUCAAUUUAUAUGGUUCAUCCAAACCUUCGACUACUACAAGAUGUGGCUUGCAUCACAAUCUCUCGCUUAACAGUAUGGAAGCAAAAUUUGUAUACGUUGUCUCUCCCACAUUUUCAAAUUUCUAGUUUUCCCAAAAAAAAAAAAAAAAAAAGAGGAAAUUGGAAAUUGGGAAAUUCAACAAAAACUUCAUCAAUGGAGGACAAAUAUCAAUCCCAAAGCUUCGUACUAUGUUCAUCAAGAUAGUGCGAAACACAAUCAAUUUAUGGUGCCAACAAAAGCUUCAUCAAUGGAGGACAAGUAUCAAUCUCCAAAGCUUCGCACUAUGUUCAUCAAGAUAGUGCGAAGUGCGAAGCACAAUCAAUUUAUGGUGCCAACAAAAGCUUCAUCAAUGGAGGACAAGUAUCAAUCUCCCAAGCUUCGCACUAUGUUCAUCAAGAUAGUGCGAAGCACAAUCAAUUUAUGGUGCCAACAAAAGCUUCACCUAUAAAGCUUCAACCCCAAAGCUUCACCUAUAAAGCUUCAAACACAAAGCUUCACCUAUAAAGCUUUAACACCAAAGCUUCACCUAUAAAGCUUCACCUAUCAAGCUUCAACCCCAAAGCUUCACCUACAAUACCAAAUUUCAACACCAAAACACAUAAAAGCUUCACACACUCUUCAUCAAGAUAGUGCGAAGCUAAUUCCAGUGGAGCUGAAUUUUGGACAUCUUAUAGUUCUUGAGCAGAUGAACAACUUUCACGAAGGAAAUUUUUCUAUUUGAGCGACGGAAGUUAGAGUGUUGAAGCUCCAAACAUGACGGUCAGAUUUCUGCAAGCUUCAAAGCUGCUGCGGUGUUUCGAAGAUCUGGAAAUAUUCAACCGUUAGUUUGUUCUGAAUUUUUGAUAUGUUAUGGAAGAGAUGAUGAGGAACAACUUCCAUGAAGAAAGUAUGUUGAUCUGAACAAGAGAAAAUGGAGUUUCGAAGCUCACAACAAGUCUAACGGGUUAACAGAAAAUUGAUGAACAGUUACUCAUCAUACUUGAAUUUCUGAAGUUGUACUACUCCGAUGGAUCUCAAAUUUAGAUAUGUUGUAGUUCACAAGAUAAGGAACAACUUUCAUGAAGACGACUUUGCAAUCUGAGCUAUAGAGAAUGGUGUUAUCUUGCAUCCACUCAGGCUGAUUAGUGGAAACGAAAAGCAAUUCCACCAAAGAAAAGAUGAAAAAGAGAGAAAAGCUACUAAUUGCACUUGAUCUUGUCUAGUCAAUAGCAUGCAGCAUCAAACACACAAAAGUUGGAAAUAUUUUUAGAUAAAGCAUAUACGAAUGUGUGACAUCGAAACAAGGAUUCGUUACUUUGACAAAUUAGUAACAAGCGAGACACCUCAUUCGGCAACUCUCUUCGCCUGAAGACUUGGGGGACUCCCACCAUAUGCUACUGCACCUUGAUACUCGGUAGUCUCACAACCACUCAGUGACUUGGAUUUUUCAAGUCUCCAACCGAGAAGUUUUCCUCACUCGGGAAAUUAAGGGAACACUACCUCAAACUACACGCUUCACUCACAAAGCUUCAACAAUACAAGGUUUCAACAAAAGAAAAAAUUCAAAGAACUUUAGUGAAGAAGGCUUUGGUGUAUUUAACACAAUACGUUGAAAUGAAGCAAAGCUUAUUUAUUAAUAUUUUCGAUAAGCCACAAAUAUGUACAUAUACAUGAGUCAAAAUAAACAAACAAGAGGGAGCCUUCACAAAGGUUGCUUAGGGGAAGUCUCAGCAGUCGGUAGAGCCCCAGAAAGAGAAAGCACCGGAGGGUGGUUAUUCCGGAGCCUCAGUACUUGACAAAACCCCAGAAGGAGGAGGCAUUGGAGGUUGAUCAUUUGAAGCUUCAUUACCAGGUACAGCCCCAGAAGACGAAGGACAAUAAAUGCCUUUGGAACAAACCCACAAACCGCUGAUGAUCAAGUAAAACCUUACCAUCAGAUUCCUUCAUCUGGUCAAGCUUCCUCUUCAUGUUUGUAGCAUAGUCAUGUGCGAGCCGGUGCAACUGUUUAUUCUCAUGCUUGAGCCCUCUAAUCUCCUGUUUGAGACUCAUCACUUCAGCCAGCCAAUGAUUCAACUUGGCGGGUUCGAGCAAAUAGGCGUUGGGCCAUAUUAGACACAGAACCUGCACACUGAACACUAAGAGCCAGAGAAGUCCUUAACAGCCAACUCAUCAGACCGUUUGGAAAGUAGUCUGUUAUCUUUGGGAGUGAGAAGGUUCCUGGCCACCACUGCAGCGGUCAUAUCAUUCUUCAUCACAGAAUCCCCAACGGUAAGAGGACCAGUAGGGGAUAUGAAGGAUGGGCGCCAUAUGUUGUCUGGAGAAGGCGUGGCUGCCUCUUCUCCAAGGUUCAAGUCAAAACGACGGUCGGAGGGUCCAGACAUUUUCAAAUGUGUUGAAGAGGGAAGAGGUCAGACAAAUCAAGAUCUUAGAAGUGCAAGAAAGGAGCUUCUACUGGUAGAGAUUCAAGUGUGCUGUGGAACUUAAUGCCAGCCUCUAUAAAAAUCUGCACUCGACGGAGCUUCAGAAAUCGAAGAGGCGUUUGCUUUCUCAAAAGCUGGGCUGCUCAGAGACCACGAGGGCCGAUCUCAGAAAUCGAAGAAGCACCUUCUUUUUCAGCCUCGUCAGCACCUGUCACAUGCACACUCAGCUUUGCGGAAAUUACGGGCAAUCUGUCGAAGAUUUCUGGUGAAGUAGAAAGCACGUGAAUCUUACUGUUCAAUCACCGCUCUCUAUAUGCACCAUCAACUCCUCGGGUACCACAUAUAACUUUGUCAAAGAUCUCUGACAAAGUUUAGGCACGAGAAUUUCGAAGUUCCAGCUACCCUACUAUUACCCACAAGGGUAAAGGAACAGCACCACUGCUUGACAACUGGAAAGUCCCUAUGUGUGUCGACCUCCGUGUUUUGCGGCAAGACAGGUUGGCAAGAACGUCCAACCUUUACUCACAUUCGAGAAAAGACUCCCAACAUAAUUACUUUCUCAAAAACCGGAGUAGCACCAUUUUCCGAAUCUCGAGAGUCAGAUCCUCGACGGGAUUGCUUGUUCGAAAACCGAAGAGGCACAACUCUCAAAACUUCGAGAGCCAGAUUUCCUUAGAUAAAGCUUGUCUGUAAUCUUCACACGUAACAUCAGCUUUCCAGAUACCACAUACCACUUUUUCAAAGUGCUCUGACAAAAUUAAAACACGUGAAGCUGGCAGCUCCCACUACAUUGCUGUGACCAAGAAAGGUAAAGGAAUAGCAUUACUACUUGUUAUUGGGAAAUCCCUAUAUACAUCGACCUCCCUCCUCAACAGACAGGCAAACCUGCAAAAAUGCUCAACCCUUUCUCGCAUUCGAGAAGGCACUCCUCAACAUAACCUCUCGAAAUACUCAGCUUUAUUUCCCCCCGAUAAUACCUCAGCAAAUAAGCCACACCAAGAACAAGAGUAUCUCAUAUCAUCAGGGUUCGAAAGCAAGAGUAUCCCAUAUCAUGCUUUUCUCCCUGUCUUUGUCUUUGUCCUUGUUCCACACCUGCAAGGACAAUGAGAAAAGAGAGCAGUCAGUCGGAACCUGGAAAUCAAACCUCCAAUUUGGAACUGACUGCCUGGAAGCCUUUGCCUGGUUGCUUACUUAGCAUUGCUCUCGAGUACUCAUCCUCAAUUGCUGUCAAGGUCACGAAUUCCACCGGCAAAUACCUCAUGACAGUUGAUCAGAUAUUGGCUCUUUACACUGAAGCUGCCAAGCGUGGAUGAGUCACUAUGAAGGAAUGUUCUGAAGGACCAUUUAAAUGCAAAGGUUGCACACCACUUCUGCCAUGCAAAAGAUUGAAGCAGAAGGUUCAACGGUGAGCUGAAACAGAUCACUACAGCACGACACAUUUCCAUACCACAUUCAUUAUUCCGUCAACAGCAAAAGUAUCCCAUAUCAUCAAGGUCGAACGUACUCUAGAUUUGAUGGACUUGUUUUGACCCUCAAAUUCUUGAGUCGGCCUUAUAUUCUGAAGGGAACCAGAAAACCCUCCAGCACAGUUCAAGAAUAAGCCUGUGGAAAGUUACUUCUUCAAAAGCAAAAGUAUCUCAUAUCAUCUCUUAUCCAUUUGCUUCUCCUUAUCCUGGCAGUUGAAUGAGAGACAAGGAGAAGGAGAACAAUCAACCGGAAGCCGAAGUCAAACCUCUGAUCCUGGGUUGCUUACUUGGAAGUUUGACUGCUUACCUUGUCUGUCACCUCUUUCGGCAGAUCUCCUAGCUCGGCGACUUGGGGGACUCCUACUAUAGGGUUUGUAUCGCACUUGACCAAGCCCGAAACUACAAGUAAGCUUCAAGUGAAAUUGAUACAUUACCUUGUGCAUCUUCAUCGGUUAAAGAUACCACCCCUGGAUGGAGGAAGCGUACUUCCAGAGAAGAUGCCACAUCUACCUAUGAGAAAGAUAAGGCAAGUGAAGACGAUACCACACCUCGGUACUUAGAAGUUUCGUAAUUACUCAGCGGCUUGGAUCUUGCAAGUCCCCAACCGAGGAGCUUCCCUCACUCGGGAACUUAGGGGAGCACUGUUUGUACCAUACUUGACUAAUCCCGAAACUACUGAACACCGGUCAACGUUAUACCGUCAAGGACCCAGAAGAGUUUCCCUUCAACCAGAAGGCCAAUCACAAUGCGACACGUGUCGACAUCAGAAGCUAAUCACAGCACGACACGUGUCAACAUCAGAAGCCAAUCACAACACGACAUGUGUCAAUAUUAGAACAAAACUAGAAACUCUCUUCUAUAAAUAGGGAUCAUUCUCCCACAAUAAUCUCUAAUGUCAUUUUGUACUAAACUAUUCACUAGAACUCACUAAACCAGAGCUUGAAUCUAUGUAUUUGUGUAAACCCUUCACAAUUAAUGAACUCCUCUACUCCGUGGACGUAGCCAAUCUGGGUGAACCACGUACAUCCUGUGUUUGCUUCUCUGUCUCUAUUCAUUUACGUACUUAUCCUCACUGGUGACCGAAGCAACCAAGCGAAGGUCACAAAACCUGACACUUUCUGCCACCUUACACCUGCCCCAUCCACAACUAUAUAUUCACCUAGAAAUAAUUAGUGAACAAAUCCAAGUGUAAAAACACCGUCUCCUCUCAGACUCCUUCCCCUCAACUAAGUGACGUAAAAUUAAACUUAAUACUACACAACCCGGAUGCAGCAUAGAAUAAUAGUUAAAUUUAAUAACAAGCUGCAAGCUGGACAUGAAUGAAGAUCCACCUUGUUUUGGCCUCGUAGUCGUUGCAGAGCUACCAUGUUUGUCUUGAGUUCUUUCAUCAAGGGAAUCUGCCUUAUGAGUGUUAUCUGUCUCAAUUUUUUCAUAAUUUUUAUCAUCUGGCUUUCAAUUGAAGGUUCUGCUGCCUUCCAACUGAUCUAACCUCAGUAUUUCUGGCAAUAGCCCACUACUCUUGGGGCUAACAUCAGUGUAAUCUGCCUAUGAUUGCAUCAUGCCCACGAGUUAUGCAUGCAAUAGCAACGUUGCGUGGUUGAAUAUUAUAGCAAUAGCAACUUGUCCUGUUGAGGAAACCGACUUUUAGCUGCCCCAACUUGCAACUUCUCGAAUGGAGGGAGGCGUUACCAUCACUUUCCUGCGAAAGCCUUAAAGAUAAACGUAACAAAACCUGGAAUAUUUUUUAUACUAGCUUUCUUAAUAUGAUAUUAUCCCAUUUGCCGUUGUUUUGCAUAAUCUAGCUCAAUUUCAUACUAGCUUGAAUACUAAACUGAACAUAUUCAAAUCCAAAAAGUGAUCAAUCAAAGAAAUCUCUAACUUAUUUACACGUAUAACACAAGCUCAGCAUUGGGCAAGAACCUGGCGGAGAUGGAAUUGAGGUCCAUGUUGGUGAGCUCGGCUUCUACUGGAUUCACCACCGUAUGCUUCUCGUCGGACAAGGCGGAGUGGAUCAGGAUAAUCGCCUCCACUUGUUCGUGGUCGCGAAGAACCAUCCUCUGGCUCUAGGUUUCGAUUGCGGCGUCGGAAACGGCGCCGCCACUCCCUUUAUUUGUUAGCUCCUGCUUGCCGCGGGGUUUUAUUUUGGGGGCUAUCUGAAAAUUUUAUCUGAAAUUUCCCAUAUAGUUAAUGGAACGGCGUAGUCAGGGGUAUUGGUUCGUCUUUUGCGAGAAAUUGAGGGCCACUGGCCCAAAAUUAAAGGCUAAAAUGUAAUCGACAACCGACAAGGGCAAGCCCAUUACGGCCCAAUGGCUAUGGAUUUUCACACUCCUCAUAUUGUUUAUUUCUGCUAGUUCUCCUUUAUUUUUUUUAAUAUAAAAGAAUAUAACAAACUUAAAAAGCUCAUGUGGAUUAAUUACUCCGUCUUUGUAUACAACCGCGUCAUAAAAUUCCGUUUCAACCUAUAAACUGUAUAUAAUGUUCGACAUUUGUUGGCCAUAGCUAAAUUAUUGAUAACUCACAUUUUAACCAUGACAAAAAGAAGGCACUAUAUGCAACCUAUUCCAAUCGAAUUUCAACGAUCCAAACAAUUUAUUUUGUAAGUCUUCAUAGAUCAUUAUUGCAAAAAUUUAAUUCAAUUUAAAACCAUUUAUUUAUUUAAUUAUCACGAUGAAAUUUUAUUGUUUCUUAUACAAUAAAGUGUUCGUUAAUUUCUUUGAACCCAUUUAGAUACCUUAAGUAUUUCUGAUUUGGCUAUUUUUUGAAAUGAUGAUAAGUUACAACUUGAAAAAUAGAUGGUUCGGAUCGUUGAAGUUCGAUGUGGUGUGGGCCUCACAACUAAUCUCUAUUUUUUUUUUUUUAAAAUGAGGAUCCCUUCACUUAAAGGCCUUUUAUAUAUACACACACGUCCUUGUACAUGGUUUUCUAAUUCUUAUGGUUGAUCGUGAAUAUUUGUUAAUAGUCGCUCAGCAUUCACCAAUGUGAACUACCCUCCACCAACCAGUACACAACGAGAGAGGCAAGUCCUUGGUGCAACUAAUCCGUUUCUUACCAGUAUAACCUUUUGUUAACAGGGAACUGAAGAAGUUGAAGGACUUGCUCUACAUUUGCUUUAUGGUUAUGGCAAGCUAGUUUCAGUACAGAAGCAUUUGCCAAUAUGAAAAAACUGAGAUUGCUUCAGCUCGACAUAGUAGAUGGAGAAUACAAACAUCUUCCCAAAAAGUUAAUACGAUUAUGUUGCCGUGGAUGCCCUUAGCAGUCCUUACCAGUUGACUUUUUUAAUCAAGAGAAACUAGUUUUUCUAGACAUGCAGGGUAGCCACUUGGAACAUGUUUGGGAGGGUUCCAAGGUACAAUUAAUUACACGUGAUGAUGUUCUGUUUCUAUUUUUUUCUGGAUUUCCAUUUUAUUUUUUAUGACAUCUUCCUUUUGGAUAUUAAUCAUUUUUCUUUGGUUUUCUGCAACAGUCGUUUCAGAAGUUGAAAACCAUUAACCUCACUGGUUGCCAUUUGCUAAUUAAAUCACCGGACUUUUCACAAGUCCCAAAUCUUGAAGAGUUGAUAUUGGCAUUCUGUUUCGAUUUGUCCGAGAUUCACUCCUCCAUUGAUCAUCUUAAAAGACUUUCUUUGGUGAACCUUAAACAAUGUGAUAGCUUAUUUCUCUUCCAAGGGAUUUCUAUAAAUUGAAAUCUGUUGAGACUCUUCUUCUUAAGAGAUGUUCAAAUUAAUAGAACUGCAUGAGGAUAUAGGGAAGAUGAUAUCGAGAUGUUCAAAAUUCAUAGAAGUGCAUGAAGAUAUAGGGGAGAUGAUAUCACUGAGAACAUUUGAAGCAGAGGAAACAGCCAUAAGACCACCUUCCAAAGUAGGAUUGAAGAAUCUUACUCGUUUAUCCCUAAGUGAUGUGAGAUGCAUUCAUUUGCCUCAUUCGCUACACGGCUUAAACUCUUUAAGAGAAUUAAAUCUCUCUGAGUGCAUAUUAGCUAAUAAUCAAAUCCCUAAUGAUCUUGUGAGUCUAAUUUCUUUACAAAAUUUGGACCAAGCCAUGAUGCAUCUGAUAAUAAUCAUCCCAUGAAUCAAAUGAGAAUUACUAUAGAUGACUGAAAUGGGAAAAGGUAGGAAGAAGUGAAGCAUCAUCUGUCUUGAUUAAGUCGCACCUAGAUCGGUUCUAUGGUGAAGCACGAUCGAGGUGGUGAUGCAUCAUCAUCAUCACAUAUACGAGUCAGGUCAUAACCAGUUCAUCAAAUGGCUCUUUCAUUUUUCGAUUUACUGGUUCGAUAAUGAAGACAAGUCCUUAUUUCAUACUUCUUUAGAUUCCUAUGAUUUUCUCAAUAAGUAGUUGUUUUGAAUUUUGAAGAAAUAUUACAUCUAAAAAACAUUUCAACAAUACAACAAUCAAUAUAAGACAUUCAUCCAAAUAUUUGACAAAUACUACUUGAAUUCGCACAAAUACUUGCCCUGCUUCCACCACAUAUUCCAGGAAAUCAAUGAUAGCCUCAAGAUGCCAGUCAAUAUAUAGUUUCUACUACGUUUUCAUUAAUUUUGACUUGCCUUGACAUAUUAGCAGAAAAAUGACUCUACAUUUUUAGUAGAAGAUCUAUUACCCUUCUACUACCUUUGAAGUCGAUGAACUCGUUUGCACAAGCAAAAAAUAGUUCGGUUGGAUUCUCCAAAACUGCAGACGGAAGUUGUUUGUAACAUCGUAGAGUGUUCCUGUUAAGAUCAAACCCCAGCCCAUGUUGUGCCCUUCUGUUAACACCAUCAAAUUAAGAUGUCACAAAGUUAAAAAAAAAAAAAAAAAAAAAAAAAAAAAGUAGAAUGAAAUCAUCAAAUAUAGCUUUGAUAUCUUUGUUGGAUUUCGAUUGAAAAAAAAUAAGAAAAAAAGAAAAAAAAGAGAGAGGUCUUUAUUGGGGUAACCAACUCUAUUUGACUUACAAAGAGAAAAUAUAUAAUUACAACAUAACGAGAAAAAACUCUUGUUCAGCAAAUCAUUGCAAAUAUAGCUAAACCAUCAAAAUUCAAAGAUUGGAAGCUACGGUUUCACCACCACCAUACUCAUCUCAAGAACAAAAAUUACUUAACCGAGUAAAGCGUGAUGAGAAUAAAAGAAAUGAGAAAUGGUGUAGGAAUGACUUAGGUAUUUAUAGGGAAAAAAGGGAAUUUAAAAAAAAAAAAAAAUUUGGCCCAAAAACAAAAAGGACAAUACCGUCGGAUAUAUCCGACAAAAAAAGUAUUAAUAAUGAAAAAUCCAGCCCGGCCCGGGACUGGUUGGAUUGGGCCAGCCGGUUGGCCCUUUGGCCCUUUUUUGUCCCGAGGGACCACGAGUCCUCUGGCCCUUUGGAUCAUUCGGUUGGAAAUAGCCUUAUCGACCCCUUCCCCACAGUAGAUGACAUCAAAUUAAGCUUAAUACACAAAACUCGAAUGCUGCAUAGGAUAAUAGUAAAAUUUAAUAACAAGCUACAAGUUGGACACAAAUGAAAUCCACCUUCUUUUGUCUUGAGUUUUUGUUGGAAAUAUUAGUAUUUAGGUUUAUUUUAGUAUUUGGGUUUUACUUGUUAGUUUAGGAUUUGGGCCUAGCCCAUCCGAGUUAGGGUUUCUUAAGUUUGGUUCUUUAUAAAUAGAGCUUGUAAUUUAGUUUGGGAAAUAAGUUAGUCACAAUGUAGUCUCUUAGGGUUUUGUAACCAUUUCGGCAUUCUCGUUUGUUUAAUAAUAUUCUUAUUAUUCUUGUUAGUCUUGUUCGUUGCGCACUCUGAUAUUCAACUGUUUUUUCAUGAAAGGAAUCUGCCUUACGAGUGUUAUUUGUCUCACUUUUUUUAAAAUUAAGCUUAAUACUACACAAAAUCCAGAUGCAACAUAGGAUAUUAGUAAAAUUUAAUAACAAGCUACCAUUUGGACACGAAUGAAAAUCCACCUUCUUUGGUAUUGAGUUCUUUCAUCAAGGGAAUUUGGCUUACGAGUGUUAUGUGUCUCACUUGUUUUUUUAUAAGAUUUAUCCUCGUCAUUUGCUUUCAAUUGAAGGUUCCACUGUCUUCCAACUGGUCUAACCUCAGUAAUUCUGGCAAUAGGCUCGCUACUCUUGGAGCUGACAUCAGAGUAAUCUGCCAAUGUUGCAUCUUCAUGAGAUAUGCAUGCAAUAGCAAUUUUGAGUGGUUUAACAUUAUGUUAAAAUACAUAAACUAAUAUUAUGAAAUCCAUAGCUCAGGAAAACUUGUCCUGGUCAGGAAACCGACUUUUAGCUGCCCCAACUUGCAACUUCUCAUAUGGAGGGGGGCUGUUACCAUCACUUUCCUGUGAAAUCCUUAAAGGUUGAACGUGAAAACUCGGAAUAUUUUGUAUUCAUCUGCCAUUCUUCGUAAAGUGAUUGAACAACACCUCCCAACAGAGUCACAACUUUAGGACUCAAACAUACUAUUCCGUUACGUACAGUAACUUUACCUUCCAAACAGACCUGCCGAUCAAAAAGUAGGACAAACAAAAGAUGUUCAGUUAACUCAAAAUGCGACCUUUAUCUAUGCACCUGUUUUUCCCUGAAUCACUUAAGAAAGUGGGACUAGAGAGACCCAUAAAACUUCUUCUGAAAUUCAUUGAGUUUCAUGAAAAAAAGUACUUAUAUCUGGUGCAUAAUGGUGUUCCACAUGAUAAUUGUCAAAAUUAAAAAAUUUGUCAGGGUCUUCCAGUGCAGUGUUGAGCUAAUGUCACAUAUGGGAUAAAAAAUAAACAAAAUUAUUAAUUUUCCUACUGGAUGUGGAUUCACUUCAUGAUUGCAUACACGAAGACGGAGCACACAGUGUUCAUCACUAUGUUUUACGAAAGUAUGAGUUUUCGUAGUUUUCCAUAAUCUAGCUUAAUUUCGUACCAGUUUGAAUACUAAACUGAACAUAUACAAAAUCCAAAAAGUGAACAAUCAAACAAUUAAAUAUAAACACAAGCUGAGCAUUGAGCAGGCAUCAAGAAGCAGAAAGUACCUUAGUUUCAGGAACGACGUCGUCAGAGAUUGCCGGGGUAUGAGAGUACUCCACAGCUGUGGCCGUCGUCAGGGAUCGUAAGGCAUCAAAAGCCGCCGACGACUCAAAUUCCUCGAAAAAUCCUCCAUUCUGCUUUUGGCAACGUCCCUUACCCAAGCCAUUUGAUAACAAAACACAAAGGAAAGACCACAUUUUUCUUUCUCUUUAUCUAUUUUCUCAGCAACCAAACAGAGGACAAGAAAAAAUAACGACAAAUACAGAAAGGAGUGAUUCACCUGGAGAACUUUGGGGCCGAAGAGGUGAGAGGACCUAAGGAGCGUAUGCGAGUCGGGCAUGGACAUGGCGGAGAUGGAUUUAAGGUUCAUGUUGGUGAGCUCGGCUUCCACCGAUAAGCGAAAGGUGUUAGGUUCGAUUUUUGCCAAAAACGAAUUUGAAUCACAUUAUUGUUAGUUCAUUGUGAGGCUAAGCCCACCGCACCCUCUUCCCUUAUUGUAGAUAAUAUCGAUUGUUAACAAAAAAAAAAGAAAAAAAAAGAGGUUUUAAGUUUGAAUCUGAUAAAUGGCAUGUUCAAUACAAAUUUAUAACCCCACCUUUAGUGUAUAUGUAUCGUUGUAUAAAAAUCAAUUAAAGUAGUUUAGUUUGUCUGUUAUAAUGAAAAGGUGCAAUCUUAGAUUGAAGUAAAUCAAAUUAUUAUUAGUUUGGUUUGGUUUGUUUCGGUUUGACGUAUUGAGAUAAUGCUAAAACAAAAACCAAUUUGAAUAUGUAUUUGUAGUUGUUGGAUUAAAACGUGUUUGUAAUUUUUGAAAAGAGAGGAGUGAAGUGACUCCAACUUUAGGAAGUUUUGUGAUUUUGGUUUGUAUGAGAAGAGAACACGAAGUGGGGGAGGAAGAUACAAAAUAGUAAGUUUAAUUGUAAUUUAAAUUUUUUUUUUUAUACUGUUAGUGGAGGAACCCAUCCGUUGGGUGAAGUGGUAGGUCUAAAAAUGGAUAUCAUCCAGUGGAAGAACCCAUAUGUGGUGUUUAUUUUUAGACAAGAUGGAAGAUGCAAACGAUUGGAGGUCCAUACCAUUUUCCAAGUUCUUUAUUUAUGUGAAUGUUUAUGUUAUUCUGAUUAGGAACUUAAGUGAAUAAAUUAUUUUUGAAACAAAUAAUUGCUUACAAAAUAAUGAACUCUAUUAAACAAAAAUAAUUGCUUACAGUAGAGAAUAACUAUAAAUAUUAUUGUAAAGUGUAUAUUUAAACAUUUUUAAUUUAUAUAAAUUGAUAGGUUGUUAUUGCAUUCGGAAAAGGAUCCGGCGAGGAUCCUUUUUUUGGAGAUUCCGAAGAUUCCGUGAUCGUGACCGUUCAUCGUACAUCGUGUGGUAAAAAAUUAUUUGAAAUUUAAAAUUUAAAAUUAAAUAUAAAUAGUACUUAACGAAAACUGACCGUACGAUAUACGAUGAACGGUCACGAUCACAUAAUCCCGGAAUCCCCAGAAAAAGAAUCCGGUGAUGAUCAUUUUCCAUUGCAUUCCAUGCCUAAAUCAAAUCACUAACUUGAACCAUGCUCUUUAUUUGGGAACCGUGCGUUUUUCUUAUUUGAAUUAGUAGGGUUUGUAUUUUUGUUUUUCAAAUUUGAUUUUGUGUGAUUUCAUUUUGAUAGAUAUUUAGAAUUUCAGAAAGCAAGUGUGGUUCGAUCAAUUAAAAUCAACCUGAAUUAGAGAGGUUUGAUUACAGGUAUCUCAAAUCAAUCAUGCAUUGUUAUGUGUCACAUCCUGACCCGGGAUGGACCACUUUCAGGGCCCGCUCCACCACCGUAGCACGAUAUUGCCUGCUUUGGGCUUACCAUUCCCUCACGGUUUUGUUUUUGGGAACUCACGAGUCACUUCCCGUUCCUCAGUGGAAAUGGGAAAAUAUAACUAUGGAUUUCGUGUAUAAGCUUCCACGUACACAUAAUGGAUUUGAUGGUGUUUGGGUGUUUGUAGAUCGGCUUACCAAGUCAGCACACUUUAUUUCAUUGAGGGAAAAGUAUUAUUUAAACUGCUUAACUAUAAUUGUUUUUAUCGAAGGUUGUAAAGUACUAUAGAGUUCCAGUGAAUAUUAUUUCUGAUCGAGAUCCAAGAUUUACUUCUAAGUUUUGGGUAGCUUUUCAGGAAGCUCUUGGUACGAAACUGCUUUACAGCACUGCUUAUCAUCCUCAAACAGAUGAACAAUCAGAGAUGACUAUUUAGACGUUAGAGGAUAUGCUGAGAUUUUCAGUGUUACAGUUUGGUGAUUCUUGGCAUGAUCGCCUAGACUUGAUGGAAAUUGCCUACAAUAAUAGUUUUCAUUCGAACAUUGGUAUGUCACCAUUUGAGGCAAGGUAGAGCUUGUCGUACGCCUUGAUGUGUUGUGCUAGGGAGUUGUAGGGCGAACUCGAGGUGAGUGGGCAAUAUUUUAUGUAUUUACCUAUAUACUAUUGAUUUUUCCCAGAAAUUGAAUUUAAAUAAAAGUAUGUUUUUAAAAUGCCAUGCAUGCAUAUUGUGAAUUAUAUGAAUUAGUAAUUGAUGCAUAUAUAUAUGUGAAUUGGUGCCGUGGACUGAUCACUCAUAUAUUUCAUGCAUUUAUAUCAUCCAUUUCUAAAGUCUGUGUGAUGGUUUUGUGUUAAAAUUGUGGCAUUUUACCUUACCUUGUGUCAAUGUGCAGUUAAUUUUAUUUUAGGAUCAAAGAAAUAAAAAAAGAAAACAAAAGAAAUAAAAUAAAAGGGGGGUGCAGCACUGGCAGGAAGAAAAAGGAAAGAAGAGAAAUAAAAAAAAAGAAAGUGGAGGACACCAACUGGUGGAGAAAAUAAAGAAAAGAAAAGAAUAAAAAAAAGAAAUAAAGGGGAGCAGCAAGGGAGACUGACACGGACAGCAGCAAGAAGAAUAAAACAGAAGGGAGAGCACAGCAAAGCGGACUGGCGUAGAGAGAGAGGGCAGAGAGCAGAAGAUAUAAAAAAAAACAGAAAUUAAAGAAACAGGGCGGAGGUGAGAGGGGACGGACGCGGCAGGAGGCGCAGAGAAGAGGAGGAAGAGCACAGCGGGACUGACAGAUUGCAAAGAAGAAGUCAGGAGCAGAAAACAGAAAAUAAACGUACAGAGGAGACUGCGCAGCAAGGCAUAGGAGACACAAUAAGACUUGGGUGUGGUGUUGUCUAUGUAUUUUUAAUCUUCUCAUCGCGCACUCAGAGUCUCUACUAUGUAAUGGAGAAUAACUGUAUGGUGGUAACUAUUAUGGAAUUAGCUUGAGAGUGAGGCCCAUGAGCUGCAAUACUAUACGUCAGCGCAUGGGUCUCUUGAGAUUUUACAAACUCUCAGAGCAUGUUAUAUGUGUCGAUUGUGAAACUGGUGCCUGAUUGGGAGUCAGUUGGUUUGAGGACUGCCGGUAGUGCUCCUUUGACGAGUUGGAGUAUGGACGAUAUUAAUAUGUAUGAGACACGCGCUCGUAGGAUGAUAGCGUUCUGUGACCUAUGUCGCAGAAUGGAAAUUGAGGGAGCCACACUGAUUUAAUCGGUUCUGGCGUGUAUAGGACUUAGUAAAGAAGUGUUGAUAUGAAGUACUCAGUUCUGGUAUCGAUAGGCAAGCUUUCGUGGAACGAGUAUUAGAAUGGCGGAGUGAUCUGGCUAUAUAGUGGACGUUGUGUUACGAGGCGAGCGAUGUUUUCAGAGCUGUAAGAUUUGGAAGAGUAUAGCAUUAGUAUCUUUCACCAGUACCUAAGGGUAAUCAAAGGUCGACCGAUUUAAGUCAGGGCUGCUGAGUGUCCUUAAAGUCGCAAGUAUGGAGUAUUCUAGUCUUAGCCAGCAUGGUGUAUAGAGAUUCAAUAUAGGUAGACGUGCAUGGUAGUAUCUAUCGCCAUCCAUAGUCAUGGAUCACGAGCUAUGAUGAAUGCUCCUCGACGGUGCAGUGAUAGUUGACAGUGUUUAUAGAGUGCACCACUGAUAUAGAUAUGUGGUGACCAGAUAGAUCGGGGUAUGAGGAUGCUGAAGGUGUAGUGUGGUCUAUCCAGUGGCAGACGCGCCAGAGACUAUGCGGGCCGUACCGAUAUCUGUGUUGUAUGAGCAUAUUGCUAGUACAGGUCCGCUUCUCGAAUCAGUAUAAUGAUCACUUACUCGCAGAUAAGCCGUGCUGAUGGUGACUGCACGCUCGACAGCAGUCUUGGUGGACGUAUACACUAUGAAAGCAUCUCUUGGCAAUGAAUCCCUGUCUAGAAUAGAUGUAGCAUGUAGAUUGUUUUCCUGCAAUAGAUUAUGUAGAUUGAUAAUUGGAGCAGAUCAUGUUACAUGUGUGCGUGGCCGGAUUAAGCUACACGCGUGGAUAGGAUUGAGUUUAGUUGAGACUAAGAUAGUGUUGAAAAUGUUUAACGGGUUGAAGCUCAUAUAGUCAUAGUAUGCGUGAGUCCUAGUGUUAUUAUUACGUAAUGACUUAGUAAAAGUUAUAUAUGUGUGUCAUUUGAAUGUAAUAUUCUCGACAGCAUCUUUAACAGCUGUUCUCUGUUGUUUUAGUUUGAGUUUCCUAGUAGUCAUUGCCUAUAUACUAUUGAUGAAUCCCCAUACCAUAAGGUUCCUGUACAUGAUAUUGUUGAUAGAUUAAUGUUAGAUGUAUCAGAAGUCCAGCAGUUGCCACGCAGUUGAAUGAUGUUUAGAUGUGUAUAUGUACGAGUAUCGAAUGAUUGUACAGAUUGACGUCGUAUGAGUGAUCGCAGAUUCAUGCUAUUAAGUUAGAACAUGACGAGAGGACGUAAACUAUGCUAUAGAGCGAUGUUUAGGACUGAAGGCUAGUCUAUAUAGGAUGCGUCUGCGAGUGAGAUCUGGACGACUAUUGGAGAUGACUAUCAGAGGGGAUGUGUGGCCGAGGCAGCGGGAUCGGUGUAGUAUCCAUGACGGUCAUUUUAUUAUAGCGCAGGACGUGAAGACCGUCGCACUUCGCUCGAGACACGCGCAGGGUGUCGUGAGAUUGAUGUCAUGGCACGCCCGUCAGUGUGUAGUUAGCACACUGCAGGCCGCGAGACAUGACUGGUGAUGUAGCGCUGCAGCUGGGCGUACUGGUCGUAGAUCAAUAUGAAUCCACUUGGCCUGUAGCGUUACGGAUUGUAAGGCGUUUUGCUAAGCUUAUCCACAACGCUCAUUAGCUCAAUGAUUUUCUCCUCGUGUAUACACUAUAUGUAGUGUUGCGGUAGAGAUAAUGGAAGGUGGGCUUAGGAUGAAUAGAUGCGAGAGAGAGCGAACAGCGACACGUAUAGUUGUGGGCAUAGCGCUGAGUACUGAUGAAUGGUGUAUUAGAGCAUGAGUACUAAGAUGAUGGUGUGGAGAUGAAGGGUCUGUCUAUUUUAUAGAUUCUGUAUUAGAUUAUAUAGGGCCGGUGCGAGGGAUGCAGCUCUUAAAGACGCUAAUAUGAUAUAUACUUAGGAGUGGUGCGAUAUAUGGCUGACGUUGAUAUUCGCGUGUUUGUAUGAGGUUGCGAUGAUGCAUGUCUCAUAGUCUACGUAACAACGCAGUGACGCCUUGAGGGUGAGCAACGCCUGUUGAGUAGAAGUUAUGAGGAUUGGUGAGGGUUAUCGGCCGCAGGAGUUAGAGUUAGAUCGGGCGGUGAAUCACUUCGCAGGUGUGUGUACAUCGACUCUCUCUCUACGCUGAACUUACUCACGAGCUCUACAUACGCAGUGGAGUGUCUUCGCUGUUAUACGGCUAUGAGGAGUUGCUAGGCACGGCACGCGUGAUGUCGGUUUCUAUCAGCAGUAGACAGGCGUGCGAUCGUGGUCGGCUGCGCAUGUGCGACGUCAACUGAGCAGGUAACGCGAAAGACACUAGACUGCAGAUUCCUCUGUCGGGCAUACGAGGGUUACUGGCAAGCUUAUUGGUGCGUAUUGAUGACCUAUCCGGUAGAGCGACCAGAAUACGAGAGAUCGUGAUUCGCUAGCAGCGUGUGUGGUGGUUCGAUUCUGUAGGAUAGAUUUUAGAUUACUUUUAGUAGGCACUGCUAGUUGUAGAUGUGAGGGACAGGAGGAGCGAAUCUAAGAGCGCUGAGGUUGUCGCAUGUCCAGUGAGACUAUCACCUUUCGUUAUGUACACUGCGAUCCGACCUGUGACUAUGAGAGGAUGUGUCUGUCAGGUGCUACCAUUUCCUCGAGAAUUAGUGCAGGUGUAGGGUUGAGUUGAUGGCUAAGUCUUAAAGAUCAACCGUAUACGGAUCUGCGACAGUACUGCUAAUUGCCGAUUUCAGGGUGCAGGUCCGACUAGUGUGCUCCAAUUAUAGUGAUAGAUGAAGAUGUGCCGGAGGUACGAUGCGCACUUGUAAGAUUCGUAAUGUGAUACUGAGCUUUUAUAAGAAAGUUUCACCGAUGGAGCAAGCCUACUGACAGAGAAGCAGGAAGUAGGAUCAUAGCGUAACAGGGUACAUGUACAGGGGUGCUGUGCACCGAUAUUACGUAUGAUAGAUAUCGCAAUGUCUUACAACUUAUCAUUAACGUCAGCUAUAUACAACGAUUCUGUGGUAUGGACCAUCAUAUAAAGUCAUCUGAUUGUAAACUCUUAGUAUUGCUGUUACUCAGAGGUCAGUAGUGAGGGAGAGCGAGCUGAUUUAAGAGGAGGAUGAAGUCACUUACUCGCGUGAGAUGCACCAGUCUGUGUGUCAGUGGAUAAGUGAUAUAACUCUUCUGAGAGUAUAUUAUAUGUAUUUGUGUUAUAUGACAAGCUCUCUGAGCUGUCGCAUGUUUAUUUAGUUUACAUUCGUGUCCUCAUAUUAUCAGUCGAUCUGGACAAGUGUGCCCAAUAAUGUACGAAGAUAUGAUGUGACAUGUAGAGUCGACGUCUUGUGCGUUAAGAUGUGUCAUAGCUUGUGAUGGGUACUGUGAGCCAGUUACCAUAUAUUCGCUUUGUGUGAUGGGAAUGCGUAUUCGUUUUCUAGAGCACAGAUCGCAUGAUUACUCUACACGGAGUACUCAAGGCCGAAGGGUGAUGACGACGCACGAUGUUGGGAUAUAGUGAGCGCGAGAUUGAUAUUAUGAGUAUUGUGUGCGACAAAGCUUUGUUUUACUAACGCUACCUUCACUCACUAUAUACGGCUUACCAGUAUGUGUGAGGUGUUUGACGCGGCAUCCAAAUACGAAGGAGCAGAGUAUCCAGAAGUGGUGUCUAGUUGAAUGUAUUAUGAACCUUAUAGGUAAGCUCUGUAGGUGAGUUCGUGGAAUUAGCACCGCCUAGUAAUCUGUAGGAUUCACCUUAGAACAUGGUGUUGAUGAGAGGAAAAUGAUCAUCGAGAUGACUGGGCUUCCUAAGACAGCUGAGUCGAAUCACGUUUCGAGUGUGUCUCAUAGCUAAGCAUAUGUGCACGUUGUUAGGAAGGUUAAUUGCAGUAGAUCAUUUGUGUAUGUGUGAAUGACGGUACUUGCCAGAGAGUGCAUAUCCCGCUGAGUAUGGUUCUCGAUAUAGUGUAUCUGGUGUUCUCAUGCGUAUUCUGACGACAGUCUCAGUCACUGAUAGGUUCUUCGGUUGGUAGUACGGGCUAUCGUCGUAACCGUUGUCCCAAGUUCUUGAGUGCGCACGUCCGGUAGUCUAUUGCAGAUGGCUUUUUAACAUGCACGAGUCUUACGCCGAUAGACGAUAAUUAGCGGUGGUUCGUCGCAUAUGCGCCUGAGGAAUCAGUGGAUGCUGCGCGGCGUGGAUCGUUUGAGGUGAAAUGACCUGUUUAUCUCGGAGGGCAGAAGCUGGAGAGAUUAUCAUAUGAGAGUGUGUUAUAUAUUGGCUAGUCUAAGUGUAGCAUCUCGUAUGAUCGGCUUCACGGCAGACGUUAUCGAAGUAUUUGCAGGUUGUACGGUUGCGCUGUGAGAUGGAUGAUCUCAGAAGUAUUUAGCUAUGUACCGGAGCGAACUCGGAUGAUGGGUGGUCAAGUUUAGUCGUCGACGUAGGCGUUGCAACAGCUGUGUCUGAGAGGUGAUCCCGUCGGGUGUCAGUCUGUUGUCAUCGGCCCUGAGCUGCAAUCGAUAAUGAGGCGGAGUCGUGGUCCACACAGGUUAGAUGAGCAUUCUACUUCGGCGUCGUGAGAGGUUCAUCUGAGACCGCUGGAGGUCCAGCAGGCUCGCGAACUAGUCUGCGUACACAUCAUCGCCUGGGUAGUUGUUUACUAAGUUCGAGACGGGCGUCUUGUCACUUAGGUGCUGAACGAUCGGGUCGAGAGUAGCGCUCUGUCUAUUAGUCUAGUGCUCACUAUCUAUAUACAUAUGCGUACUUGGCGGGAUAUAGACGUUAGCAUGCUUGCUCUGUGUCCGUCGGCGAUGCGUCAUCUAAGUGCAGAGCAACGCGUGGCUACGUCUGGACAGUACCAUCGGCAUAUGAUCUGCUGGAUGCUUCCUUACCGCGAACUAGUUGGAGGUGUAGGCCGACGGAGCGAGGUCAGCGCGCUGAGAUUUCAUAGGUAUGCGAUAGCACCGCCGAGGAUCAUAAUUGCACGGGGAUGCUUGAUGGGGAGAUAGGGCAUGGAUAUGUCACGGCUACAUCGCUAGAGGAGAGGUUAUGUAGAGCUCGGACGUUCAGUCGGCUCAUAAGUGCAAUAAUAUUAUACGUUUAUUUUCCUCCAGUAUACAUAGUGUGUUGAGUCGAGGCUUCAUAGUAUUGCUCAGGUCAGUAUAGAUAUUGGUAGUUAGAAGAGUGUGUAACGAGUGACGUAUGUUGAUUAGCGUUGUCGGUAAGAAAGUGUCCGGUCAGCCGCUCGUGACGGGAUAUUCGGCAUGCAUAUUAUUCGAACAUAUCUAGUAGCAAAGUCCACUACGGAGUAGAGGGUGUGCGAUUGUUCGCAGAGACUGUGCAGCUAGGAAUCCGAGUGAGUGUGUAUUAAGGCUAGUCGAGGAGGUUGCGUUGAGAGCAUCGGCUCAGACUCUUGAUGUUAAUGUAUAUUAGGUGAUAUGUGGUGGUAAUAGCGAAGAUUUAGAGACGUGUUAUAGAGACCACGUCAUGAGAUGAUGGGUGUAGACUCUCUCUCCACUCGCACUCGCUCUGUUGAUAUCACUGUGUUGACUUAGACGCAGCAUGACGUUCUCUGAUCAGCACAUCACAUCGACUUAUUCGUUGGCAUUAUUGUGAUACAGCGGAGUAGGGAUGGCUCUGCGCGUUCUACAGUGAUCUCUAUAGCUGCCCACGGGUCAGUCCGCUGUAUAUAUCUCACCAGGCAGCUGUCUGCCCACUACCAUGCUCACCAGAUACUGGCGGACUCCAAGUGGUGCAUGUCGUACAGACCGCAUGAGAGGGGCUCUGUUCGACAUGUAGGUCUUCUGCAGGAUUGCGGAAGUUGAAUGAUCCGCUAUGGCUUUGACAUUUGCAUCUGUACAAGCCAGCACCAAGCCACGAGGUCGGGAGGAUUUAUCCAGUCGUUGCAUAGACUGUAGUGAUUUUAAAGGAUUUGUUUCUUAUAGGUACAGCGGAGUUCUGUGUUGACUGAACGGGACCUGACAUGUUGUGAGCUGCAAGGGUGAGACGUGAGCAUUCGACUGUCUGAACACUUAUAGAGAGGCGCCUUAUUCAGUGGCUAUGGAUCCUUGAUAUCUCAUGUCAUGGCGAUGGCUUCCAUCUUAUCUAUAUACUACCUAUAGACUGCUGAGGAAUCAUUUCUGCGUAGGAGCGAUACAUGAUCGCCAUAGGGAGAAUGGUGACUCGAUGUAACUAGUAUAGUGCAAGAGCCUGUCGAAGCAGCGCAGCAGGUGAAGAGCUAGUACGUCUGACGAUGAGACGCGGUGCUAUUGUUGCCGGAGCGUUGGUGAGAUUGGAUGUACACUAUCGCGAUGCAGACGAGAUCGCAUCUUAUCGUGCGGACGCUACUGUUCUAUAAUCGCUGGCGUAAGCAGUUGGGGACCCUACAAUAGGCUCUCGUCAUGCCAAGUAGAGCGUAGCGUGACCUUGGGUUCAACAGCAUCAUGAUUGUAUAUUCAUUAUGUAUCGACCUAAGUAGUUAGAUACAUUUAGAUGAUUCGGAGAUAUCUUAUUUGGUGGAGAUGCUUUAUGGUCUGUGCAUAUUAUAGACAAGAGCAUUCUUCGAUCUGGUAGCAUGGACACUGUCCGGUUAUGCAUUGGAGUGACACUCGAGGGAGGACACCUAUUACUCAGCAAUUAGGUACUGGUUGCGGCGUAGAGGUGUCAUGGCUAUUGACUGAGAUAGUCCAUUGGUGAGUUGGAUGUUGGUAACACGGGAUCAGAUGUAGUUGAUGGUUGUAAUUGGGCUAACGUCGAUUAUCAUUAGACGUAGGCAAUGUUAAUUGCAGCUGAGGUCGACAGUGAUAGUCGCAGCUUAGGCGUCCUAGUAACCGAUAUGUAGGCUACUGUAGCUUUAUGAUGUUCAGAUGUUCAGUUUAUUUUCAUGGAAAUUGUUCGUUACUCAUCACGCGCAUCUCUAGUCUGAGAAUAUGACGUAUGCUUGGACGCCCAUUAUACCGAAGAGCAUAGAGCGGAGAAGGUGAUAUGUACAGAGCAGAGUAGAUGAUCGAGGUUUUAAUGAAUCAUGAGCAGUAUCGGCCUUUGUCUAAGAGGUGACCAUCUGGUGUUGUAUGCAGCUCAUGGGAGCACCUGCCACCAGAACGAUGAGUUGAUGAUGUCAUAUUAAGCAUAGGCCGAGGUCAGCUCUGACGGAAACGUCAUUAGGUUAACGAGUAUGCGUGGCCCCAGUAGUUGAGUAGAUGACUAUAUAGCAAUGGCUUAGCACAGAGCAUAGUUUAGAGGAGAAGUAGGACAGUACUUCUGGAGAAUCGAGUGGUGGUCUGUGAUCCUUAAUCGCUUGAUCGUUAGAGGUGAUGUCCGAGUUAGGCCAGUUCCAAUUGAAUGAUACCGAGACAGGUGGAUCGGAGACGUAGAAGACUAUAUUGAGCUUGACGCUGAAAGAAGUGUAAUUCAUACUACUUUCGUCGUUAUGGUUCUGCAUAGGAUUGAAUGCUGGAUGUGUGUGUAGGAUUGGUUUAUCGAGUCAAGGGUAACAACAGCAAUACUGGUGACGGUAGUAAGAACAUAUGGUGAACAGAUUCCAUACGUCUUGCAAUCUUGAUAGGCGAGCGUGCAUGCUGAUAUUGGGAGUAUGCGUGAGGGAUGGCUGCUCUGGUAACUUCUCACAUCAGAUACAUUCACUUUAUAGACUAGCUCAGGUUAUGUUGUGUGGAAUUAUGCAGAGACUGAUACGUUUGGCGGUAUCAGUUAUCUUGUCCUACUAGCAAUAGAAUAAGGUCUCCGUUAACGCCGAGUUGUUUGCAUUCAGGCUCAAGUGUCGAGGCGUCAGAACAUAGAUCUCUUAAUGAUGUCCGAUAGUUCAUGGAUAGUUGAGGCGGGGGUCGGAUGUAUAAAUCAAGAUGUGACUGCCCAUGGGCGACGUGUAGAAAUAGAUUCCUUAUUAUGUCAUUUGGGGCGAGCUGUGGUACUCGGGUGGUCGGUCGUGAUCAGUGACAUCUGGAUUCGUUUCUGCGUGACAACUUUUCAUGCUGUAUUACACGUUGUAGGCUCACAUGACGUUAUGAUUUGAUUGAUAAUAUGACAUAUGGUCUUUAUUGAUACGAGGGUCCGAGUUAAGGAUAUCUGAGAUGCGAUUUCUGUUACAGUUGAAUCGGGUCAUAACGUUGAUACGGAUGACGUAGUAGCGAAAGGAAGGGUCAAGCGUACUUGAGUCGAGAUCCUCAAAUAUGUAGUAGAUGGUGAGUUGUGAAUGAAUUUGACGCUGAUGCAAUAUCGAUGAAUAUUAGCAAUUGCAGCACAAUAGACUAAUUCACACGCUCGCUGUCGACAAAGGUAAAAGGAUUAAUGGUGAGAGGAAGGCUAUUACUCGGAUGUGCUGAUUGUAUGCGUUCAUAGAGUAUUCUAAGGUCGCUAUCUAGUGCAUCGGGAGCGGAUCCGAUCACAAGCGCAGGUAAAUCGUUAAUGAGUAAUGAUUCUGAUAAGACUCUCCACAGAUGAGUUAGCGACGUCGAUGGCUAAGAAUGAUACGCGGCGCAGCAUAUCAAGAUUAGAUGUUCGCUGACGUCGCAUUCUAUACGGGCAGAUUACGAAUCAGACGUACUGUCCACUCUGAUGUAAGCUCCAUAUAAUACGGAUAGUUAGUGAAUCGAGCUAUCCUGCUCUCUGACUUGGUAAUACGGUAAGCCACUUCGUCAGAUUGGCCGCUGUAACUUACUUGUAUUAGGGAGGUGCUGACUAUGCACAUACCGUCAUCAUAAGUCGUGCGAGAGAGCCGUAUGAAGUAUCGACCAGUGGUACAAGAUGUGAGUGGAUAGCACUCGUCAUAUAGAAUCUCAUAAUUUUCGAAUCUAGGAUACACGGCCGUCGCGACGAUAUAUCAUAGUCGUUAUGUGGCAAUUCAAGCAGUUGCGCCGAGUAUUGCACGCAUCUACGCUUGGUUCGAUAAGGUAUGUGUCUAUUCACUGAGUAUGACUGGUUAUUGUUUUAGCGGGUGUAAUUCAAAAUAAACUCUUGAGAGAGUCGUAGUGCACUGCCAAGACCUGGAAUGUUAGUCGGAGAGACUGAGAGUAGAGCAGAUCUGCGAUCGCUGAGAGCGAGCGAUCGCUAAGGUGGAGAAUAAUGACUCUUAGUCGCUUGGCUGCGAGAGGACGAGGAGUGCUGCGAGCAGUCGCUAUAGAAGUGUGCCCACUCAACUCGUAUCAUAUAAGACUGUGUAUGAUGUUAACUGGUUCAUAUCUGUGUGCGAGAUGUCUCACUCUCACAUAUCGUCAGGACUGGCAUGAUAUUAGCGCUGCUACUGAUCACGUUGUGAAGAUCGUGAGCAGAGAUUCAUCAGUAUAUCGCAGAGCAUUGUUGUACGCAGUCUAUUAGCAGAGCUCGCGCGCGAGAGAGUAGAUUAUACACAUAGUCCGCUACCAGGACUAGAUAUGAUCGAUCACGCACGUACAAUAUAGUUAGUCCGCAGGGAAGAACACUAAUUAGGAUCACAAUGAGACUAAGUACGAACUCAUAGUCUUUCAUAACUGGCGUCGCUAGUGGGACGGGCUAGAGUAGAGCUAUUAGUAUGCAUUCUAUUGUUGCGAUAUCGCAUGUACCAUCAGACUUGGCAUCCAUUAGAUAGUACUCAGUGAAGCGCUACUACCGAGUAGGCCCAGAAGAAUAUAAGACUUAUGCUCGAUUGCUGCGAAAAGACGUCUCAGUGAGAGAAUGACCAGUAGGAGCUGUUGAGGUGUACUGCAGGAGGCCUCUUGCGCCAUCGGACUUAAUCAGCAGUCAUUGUUCCAGCAAGCAUGACCGCAAAUUACAAUGCGCGCUGUCGUGUUACGACGCCGUUCACGUGUUGCGAGGACGCGAGCUCGCACGACUAUGGUAUGCACAGCGAUGAGACGCUAUGGUAUCGAGUUGGAGUAGGGUAGACGAGCCGUCAGACCAGCACCGCUCUCGCGUGGCUGUAUGGUUAUUCAAAGAGACGCUGUAUUCCACUCAUCGAGAUGCAAGUAGUCUCUAUCAGAAGGGGCAUAGUGCGCAUCCUUGUAUGAACGCUAUCGCAUGAUCUGCGAGAUAACCAUUCGUAUAGUAGCUUGACGUAGUCCUGGUUGAGUAGAUUGUAGCGGAGGCUUCCUGCGGGAUGGCUGACACUGAUCGCACUCCACCUGGCGCGCGCGAAUGCCUGAUGUUCACAGCUUAACCUACGUAGGCUAGAAGUCCGUAUAUGUCCUAUCUCACGCUCUUUCUCCGGGUCAGUAUAGCGCUGAUAGUAUAACGUCUAUGGAGUUUUGAGCGACUUUAUUGAUGAGUGUGAUGACUCUGUGCGCAUAGUGGCUAUCAGAGCUCCUGAGGUGAGCGUAGUAUGUAUGGGAUUGAUAUGUUCGUCUUGCAUGACUGCUGCUGCUGCAUCCACGCGAGAGAGAUGAAUAGCGGUAUAGUAGAAUAUGAAAUUCGAGGCAGGCCUCACGUCAAACGCGCACGUGAUGAGGUGAAGAAUGUAAACGCGAUGUAAUAGCAUGAAAAUCAAAAAUUUAUCUGGAGUAUGGAGAUUGUGCACUUGCUCCUGUCUAUUCGCAUUCUCGUGACCGUGCUUGGUGAAAGACAAUAUUAUUGGUGUUGUGAGUCGAGAGGAUCAUCAUAUAGCCGCCUUGGACUGCCGCCAUUCUCCAGCUCAUGAGCAAGAGUAUGUAUCUGGAGUGAGCAGCAUUUUCAUAGUCGACGGGCAGGACUAAGAAUUAAGCUCGGGUGCUAUUGCCUAGUAUGCGUAUUAUGUGAGGAUAUUAUGUCUGAGACCCGCUGCAAAAAUUCGAGAUAGAUACUCACAUCAGGACGGACUGUUACAGUCAUCGCACAGACACGUAAUAUGUAGCCGUUCCUACGGAGGCUAGAGCAUCCAAAGGAAGUGGAGAGAGAGAGUGCUAUGUUAGGAUAAGGCACUGCCCACCCAGGUUAAAAAUUAGGAAAGCAUCUCCAGAAAACUCAGCUCGACCCGGUAUCAGAUUAUUAUGCACUUGGUGAUCAUUACGAUAGGCAGUCCGCUCUAGGAGAGCUGGACAUGUCUCGCCACUUAUAAAUGAACGAGUCAGGUCCGCUGGGAUGAUCAGAUAUAAGCAUAGUGGUAGUGAAGCAAUCAGAGUGAAGACAUGUCGAUUAGUGUAAUAUGACCAGUUGAGUCUUGGGUGUAGAUGUAGCGUAAGCGCUGAACCUAGUAAAAUUAGAUUCGGUAGUAGAUUAUGAGUCUUGUCUUGGAGUGAUCUAUCAGUGGAAUGGUAUAUGGAUAACGCUCGGCUCUGGAGGAUAAUCUGAGCAAGAUACGAGCCAGAGACAGCAACUGAUCUCUAGGUCACGGUGUGAGAGGAGAAGAAGAGUUUUUAUGUAGAUGAGAGUUAUCUAUAAAUGUUGUGGGGAUCUGUAUCUCAGAUGUCUCUGAUGAAGAGAUUUAUUAGUAAAUAAUCUGAUGCGAGUAUAAGGAGAGAGUUCGCAUGAGUCUGCACAUUUAUACCAUGACGCGUAGUCGACUGGAAGUAGUUGAGAUACAUAAGCGGAGAGAUAUAAAGAGAGUAGACCCGAGUGAGAGUAUAAAAAGACUAGGAAAGGUGUUCUUAGUCUCUUCUGAGUCGCUACUCGUAGCAUAGUGCUUGAGUGAGCAUUCUCUCCAUUAUUUCGACGCGAUAGAGCAUAGGUUAAUCCUGCUCCAUAUAUAGAGGUAUACUUAAUAUUCGGAGACUCGAUCAUUAGGGAUGUGUCACCAGUACAACGCGCCUUCUUGUAUAGAGUGUAAACACGUCUUAGUACAUGUCUGUUGCAUAUAUACGUUAUUAGAAGUAUGACGAUAUACUGAUUCGCAUCGCACUGAGACCGGUGGUAUCAAUCAUCCAGAAGGAUCACUAACGGGAUGGUCUAUCUGUUACGGUGCUAUGCUACUUUACGAGUAAGUAUGAGUAGUGAGUUACUGUAACAAGGAGAAUAAUAUCAGCGUGUGGCAGUAUCCGUCCAGUGAUAGUAAUGUAGUGCAGGACCCAUCGAUAGAUAGAGACCUCGGGACGAUACAUACUCAAUACCUUCGUAGAUGCUAUCGGUAGCUGUGUCGAUAAUCAUACUGUAGUUGGUGAUCAGCAGGAGAAAGCUAUCAGAUUUAUAGAUACCUUAUAUUAUGAGUCAUAUGUGUACGAUAGAGUUGGACUAGUUCGUGUGAUGUUUGACGCCACCGAGAGCCUGGGUUACGCACACGUUCCGCAGAUUAGUGACAGAGAUACUUUCGUGCGCGUGCGAUAUUCAGCAUCGUCGAGUUGUGCGUUGAUGAGCUCUUUCUGGGAGCAUUAGAAGUAAACUUUCGUACACCGAUAUAGGAGCGAGACUGUGGUGAUAGGCCAAAUAAGGGCCUGGUGUAACCUAUUGAUGUCGCACUCCGAAGAAGCACAAGACUAUAUAUGUGCUGUGCUAAUCUCAAUGCACCGCCGUUGAAAGAGUGUAAUGCUUGCAGUCCUAACGUCUGAAAACGUUGUCACAUAUCAGAGAAUAGCGCUGCGUGUGUAGCCCCAUUGUAGACGAAUGACUGUCUUCUGCAAGAUGUCAAAUCACCUUCAGUAGAAGUCAGUGGUUUUUAAGGUGAAAACCUAGACUUUCUUUCAUAAUUGUGUAUUUAAGCUGUACUCGGUGACACUAGAGCUGACUGUAGUAUCGUAGUUCAACAUUGCUGAACCGCAGCACCACUCAGACCGACGAUGACGCCCGGAAGCUGCUCGAGACAGAUGAGGUAUGCUGCGCAUCGGAUCGUGCUCGCAUACGAUGACAGGACGCGGAACCCUGGGGCGUAUUUGGUAGGUAUGUCUAAUAGGUGCCAGCACUAGAGGAGCAAGCGAGUUAUGUUGCAUCUGCUCUCAGUCUAAGUUGAAGAACGUCGUUUAUACGUAUGACACGGCUAUGCGAUCGUGAGGCGAACGAUAUAUUUCUGAGAGGACUGAUGGUAAAGUUAGUGAACUAAGGGACUGUACCGAUCGUUGGUCGAGGUAUUACUAGGAAAUAGGGAAGAGCAAAUCAGACGCUGGUUAGAGGUUUUAUUCGAUGCUGUGUCGAGUACUGCAGUGCUCUAGGAAGAGUACUGUGCAUGAGUAGGAUAUAUGUGACAAUUGUAUGUCUCCGCGAUCUCUGGCUGAAGGUAGAGUGUCGGAGAGCCGGGAAGAAGGAACGCAUCUAAGUGAUCAAGGUGCAAUGAUAGGUGAGCAGAUAUAUGGUCUUUGUUGUGAGGAUGCUCCAGCGUACCGCUAUUAGAAGAUUGAUCAAUCUUCGACAUGACUUGGGAGAGGAGUUUUUCACAGGAAUAUAUCAUCUCUUAGACGCACGGGUAACGAUGUUCACUUAUAAUGAAAAAACCAUAUUUUUAUACUAAAAAGUCAAUCCUGGUACUAUUAACUUUACCCUUUAUUUUGUCCUUAUCGUUAAAACUCAAAGUUUUCAAGCCCUUUUCAUUAGUUUUCCUUUGAUUUUAUGGUAGAACAUCAACUUUAUUCAAAGACAUCCUUUGAUCUAUAUAUGAACAACUCCAUAACUAAAAGUUAAAACAUAUAACAAUGGUAUAUGGUUUGAAAUACAAUCAUGGUGUUAUUAUAGAUGUAGCAUAUGUGGCAUGCUUUGAAAUACGGUCAUACUGUUAUUCUAGAUGUAGCAUAUGUGGCAUUAGUGCAUGCGUACAAAAUUUAUCCUAGGUUAAGCUGGACCACGUUGAUGGUAUGUAUAGUGGGCAUAUUUCACAUGCAGGCAGUGGAAAAACACACCUUUGAAGCACAACUCCACACUCUCACCACAAGACGGAUUGUGGAGAAACGAGGCCAGCGAACUUCUUCACUCUAUAUAACUGGCGACAUACAAAGCUCACUUAUUCAUAUCGAAUCCAAACUUCAAAACCAAACUCCAAAUGUGCUCUUGUUCUUUCUUUGAUUUCAAUUACAGUCCAAACUAGGGUAAAAAAGAAGAAGAUAUGCUUCCCCUUUCAAAAUUGAUGAUAAGUGCCUCGUGGUGUAAGAAGCAUGGAGAUGAUGACGAUGUUGGUGAUGACAGAUACAAUUAUGCCCCCACAACAUGUAUGGAAGGUGUUGACAAUGACGAUGAUUUGGAUUAUGGCUACGCUCCAGCAGAAUCCAUAGAAGGUGAUGACGACGACGACGAUGACGACGGUAGCUAUGAUUAUGCACCUGCUGCAUAAGAAAUAAUCAGUACUAGUUUUCUUCUUCAUGUUUUUAUGCUGGCUAAUUAGCUUUUUGAUGAAUUGAGGAAUUAUAAUGUACUAGUAGGAUUACUCUAUCCCUUCGAGAUUUUUUGUCAAGGGUCGAAUUAUUUACGAUGUACCUUUAAUUUAAGCAAAUCAGUGUUGUCUCUUAUGACAUUAAUAUAUGGUUAAAUGGAGGAUGCGUAUAUUUGAAUUAACAAGUAAAAUUAUGCAUGGUUAACUAGUUAUUAUUAGGAUGGACAAGUAAAAUUCUGCAUGGUUAACUAGUCAUUAUUAGGAUAGACUGUUUCUUUCCUAGCAUACUAAGAAGUAUCAUAAUAUAUAUGGAGAGGCAGAUAAUGGAAUUUAGAGACUAAUUAGUGGUCACGGGAGUGCAGAUUUGUCUGUUUAUCUAAAACACAGCAUGUUACAUCAAGUAUUAUAAUACAAUUGGUUUGAAACUUGAAAAAAAAACAAAUUUAAACCACUUAUAUUAGGACAUUUGAUUUACCGGCACAAUAAAAAAUUUCUCAUGAAAAAGGGCACCUUAAGAGUACAUAAGCACGUGGUACUAAUCUUUUAUAUAUAAAGCCGGAGGCUUAGGGCUGAUUUGGUAUUGCUGUACUUUGAAAAAAAAAAAACUAUUUCUGCUGUGCUGUGAGAAUAAGCAACUGUGAAGUAAAGCAGCAGAGUGUUUGGUAAACUUUUUUUGUAAAAAUGAUUUUGAAAAAAAAAAUAGUGUUAUAGUGUUUGGUAAACUUUUAUGUAAAAC